CCAGGCUAGAACUAAACUUUUGUUUACUUAGGUUCCAGAACAUCUUUUGGGACCUUUACCUCAUUUGCCAAUUGUUUUGACUGCACUGUACUGAAUCAAAUUAACAACGGCUGCCAUAAUUCCAACUUGCAGAGAUUCUGCCUUUUCAUUGCAUAUAUUGUUGUUUUCUCAUUGGAUUAUACCAUUUAAGCAUGACUAACUUGAUUAUUGUAUUUUUAUUUUAAACCAUGAAUUUUUUGGAUUUACUUGAAACUAUCUAGUGAUUGUGUUUGGAAUUUAUCAUAUCUUCAACCGAAAGAUUAAUACUAGUGAGAAUUGACAAAGAGAAGAACAUCAGUGAUAGAGUGAAGAUGCCUGCCCUCACACCAUAAAUCAUGAGGAUUCCUGGAACUUGCUGUAUGAUAUUCUUUGUAGAGAUGAAAACAACCCUUUUUUUUUCUUUUUUAGAAAUGAAAAUGACUUAGCAUGCAUAAAAACCCUACAUAUACCUACCAAAACUAUUGAUUACUUCCCUUUAUUCAUUCACAACAAAGUGGGCCAUAACUUUAUCCUUCUUAAGAUGAAAGUGAUUGUUUAUCAAGAUGAUUGCAAUUACAUAUAUCCCAUUAGAAAUUCGAGAACUUUAUAAGGAAGAAUUAUGAUGGGAAUCACUCCCAGAAACCCAAUAAGAAAAGGAAGAGAAAAAAUAGUUAAGCUGUGAAGAAUCAGAUGGUACAGUAUAAAGAGCAUUCUCUUUCUGGAUAUGUCACAGAAAUGUGAUUGGUGGCAAACGGGUAAGGAAGCCAGGUCUUGGGCACAACUUUAAUGGAGGUAAAAGAUAAAGACCAAAGGAAUUUUGAGAGGGUGCAGGCACUAAACUGAAGGGUCUGAGUCCAUUCAAAUGGAAUAAGCCUCUCUUAGAUUGACACGUCUUAGAGUUUGACACGCAGGCCUUCUCCUGAGUCCCUCCUCAAUCAUCUCAGCAUAAAUUCAGGGCAAUUUUCCUUUUGCUUUGCUUUUGUGUUGGAACACCCUUUUUAUAAGUCAAAAUUGCCUUACGUGUUCUUUUCUUCAGCCUGCACCUAUAGCAUUUUCUUCAUUUUUUUCCUUGAACUUUAUUUCUCAAAUUACCAUAAAAAAAAGAAAAAUUAUAUACACAAGAAUACUUACGUAAGAGCCUAAGAGGUGUAUUAUUUAACAUUAUCUUGGACAAUGGAAGGGGGAGUAAGAUGAUGAUGAUGAUGAUGAUAAUAAGAGCGGAUCGACUUUAAAGGAGAGAAUCAAGUAGCAUAGUAUAUAUUAGUAGGAAGAAUGCAGUGAGUAAUAACAAAGUCUAAGAUUCUUCUCUCAAUUGCUGUCUCAGUGUGAGUAACUUUGUUAGUAAGUGGAGAAAGGGUAACCCAAGUGUGAGUAUGAACAUGGACACAUGUCCCCUACCCCAAUAUUUGGUCCCCACCCCUUUUCACCUUUAGAAGCUUUGGAGAUUUUCUUAGUAAUAACAACCAGAAUCUUCCUUUGGUUUCCCUUUUUUUUUUUUCUCAAAACAUCAAUGUCAUGCUCUCAUAUUUGAUAGGUUAUUUUACUUAGAUUUUCUUCCCCAUUUCCCCUUGUGACUAUCAAUCUUUCCCCAAGUUCAUGUCCAAUUUCCUUUUUUUAACUCUUCUACUCCUAAUUAUAGCUCUACUUUAUAAUAGUGCCUGCAAAAGACGCUCGGAAAGAAGGAAUGAUAAAGUACUGUUAAAGAGGAUUAGGAAUAAGGAGCUAAGGCGGCACCACCCGACUGGCCCACAGUGUUAAGAGUUGGAAUAAAUUGUUUACAAUUAUUUAAGGGAAUUCUAAUUAAUACAAUUUUAUGUGAAUUAAUGGAUCAUUAUAAUGGAGGAAUUGGUUGAAAACUUUGUUAAAUAUGUAAGAGAUUUAGAAAAGGAUUAGUAUGAUGUUUAUUAGUUUAAAUUAUGGAGAAGUGGUCCCAGACAAUUGCAUUAUGACUAGAAUUGGUUGGAUGAUUAUAGAAUAAUUAUCUCAAUGACAACUAUUUUAAGAUUUGAAUUAAUGAUGUGAUAGACUGUCAUUGAUAGAAGUAGAAGUGUAAAGCAUGAUCAUGGAGGAGUGAGCAGGUUGUAGAAAGAGGAACUCCAACAAUCUAAGAAGAGCUGACAAACCUUUUACAUUCAUCAUUUAGUUGCCAAUUACAUAGUCUUUUUGUUCUUAAUUAGAAGUAGGGUAACUUAGUCAGAAUUUCAUCAAGGGAAACCAUCUUUCAUUUGUUCACAUCCCUUGGUUCUUAAUCAAUGAAUUGAUUAAGAGGGUACUAUCUAGUCUUUAUCAUGUCUGAGGAGAAGGGCUUUUAUCCUUUUUUUCUCGAGGAUUUUUAUUAUCUUUAUCAAAGAGUUAGAUCAAUAUCAAAAUAUUAAUUUAGUAUGAAUUUCUCUAGUAUGACUAUGCCACAUUAGCAAAUAGAUGUUAUCCAGUGCAUACAUCAACAAAGGGUGAACAUUAGAUCAAAAUUCAUGCUAAAAAGUACUCUAUAGCAUUAGGUGUGGUCUAAUCAUUGCAGUGAGUGAUGGCUCCAAAGGUUGCUAUGAAGUUCUACAAUGGAGAAUCAGAACUGGGAGAUGACCCAAGUAGCAGUAUCCAAUGCAAUAUAAUAAAGUAAUUUCUCAAGGUGAAUGAGCCAGUAGGGUUGUGGUACAAUCAAUGUCCAUUUAUAUAGUAACAUCCAUCUGUUUAUUUAAUCAACUCGUAUUAGUCUAGUCUAUAAUUUAACUUAGGUGAGUCAAUAGUAAAUUGACCACCCAUUAUCGUGACCAAUUUAGUCUUUUAUGGUUUACUUUUAGUGUUUCUUGGUCUUGGCUUUAGUGGAAAUUCAAAAAAUUUAGAAGUUCUACAUGCAAAUAUAGAAAAAAAAAAAACUCAUAUGCACAAUCAUUUUGAUGAAAAGAGAAUUCAGCAACACUCACCCAAACACAUCACUCUUUGUUUAGUGGAAUUAGAGUAUUUUGACUUGGUGGCUUGUUCCUCAAAUUAGACUAGAUCGAUGCUCUUGAGCACGAAGUUGCCCUAACACGCUAACAUAUCACACCAACAAGUCUACCUUAAAUUAGUACCACUUCUUAUCAAAAGAUCGAAGCUUUUGCCAUAACAUCUAGUUUUCGGCAUGCCCGCUACAACAACUAUUGAGUUUACCAAAUUAGCAUUGGACUAUGCCUAGUUUCUAGAACACUAAUUGGGACAACUACUAAGCUUGACAAACUAUUAAGCUAAGAUUCACGUGCCUUAGGCCCAAAAGAUACUUACAUAUAGGUCCCUCUAAAAAAAGACAAAUGAAAGAUAAUAGCUAAAAUUUCUUAUAUGCAACUACAAUACUACUAGACAAGAUAGACUAACCACCAAGAGUAAUUGAAAGAAUCUCUAGAAGGACGAUGAAUAUCAUGAUUGAAAUAAUGGACACAAUAAUAGCGUCAAUGGUAUUUACCUUAUCAGCCUACUUGUAGCUAACCCUACCACCAUUGUCGUAAGAAACAUUAUUCCCAAGGGAAAGGGUACUUUGAUCGAUUGGGUUGUUUUAAGAAAGAAUCAUCUAAAGAUAUAUAUUAUAGUCUUAAAUAUUAACUAAUGAAAAUGACAACUAAUAGUUUCAUUGGAAUUACUUGAAAAGGGAAAGGGUACUUUGAUCGAUUGGGUUGUUUUAAGAAAGAAUCAUCCAAAGAUAUAAAUUAUAGUCUUAAAGAACUAAUGAAAAUGACAACUAAUAGUUUCAUUGGAAUUACUUGAAAUGAAAUUUCAAAAUUCUAUUCCUUAAAUUAUGACCAACAAUGUGAAGAAAUUUAGUAAUUUGUUCUUCUAUGUUAUUAUGUGCACUAUUUCUAAGAUGACCCAUUCCUCGAAGUUUAUUUACUAGUUUUGGAAUUGCAUCCUUUCAUAUGCAUAGUUGAUUAUGAAAAUUAUCAUUAUCCAUUAUUGUAAGUCUUUUCAUUAAAGCACGUUGUUCAUAAUCUCCUUCAUCGGAUAUUGACCUCUCCAAAUAGUUUGCAUAAUGAUAUAUACUAAAACAAUAAUUGUUGCAUAUGUAACACUUUUUUGGUUCAUCAAUAUUAGGGUCUUAAUUUUUAAGGCCAAUGUUAAUUCAUAUAAUGUCAGUCUAAGGUAUACAUAAAUACAAACAAAUACUAGGAACAUCCACAAGGCUCUAGAAUUUAGUUCCAAGAAGAACCCACCCAAUAAACCAUCCAUGUAAAGCUCUAGACAAUCAAACAAGAAGAAGUAGGGAACCAUCAUAUCCUGACACACAAUAUUCCUAGUGAAGAUUAUCAUCAGAACAAGUACUUAAAAUUUUCAACUUCUUGGAGAAUGUUUUUGUAGGAAACUUUAAAUUGAUAGGGAGUUUUUAUAGAAAAAGAGACAUACAUUUCAUUUAAAAUAAAUAUAAGAUUUUUCCCUUAUUUGAUUCCCCAUGAAAAAGUAUAAGCAUUUAGGUAAGCUUUCUAAGAAUAUAGCAGAGUCAUCACAAACAAGUUCAACAUUGUAAACAAAAGAUAACACUGCCCUCAAAAUUAUAUCAUUUUUUUUGCUUUAUGAGCUUCAAGGGGCAUAAAAAUAAUCAUGGCCCAUGACUACAUAUGAUAAUUUACAGAGAUGAAGAAGCUUGUAAGAGAAGGUCUGUGAGCUUUGGUUGAUGUUAUUGAUCUCAGUACUUGCACCAACAACACUUAACCUGUGGUUUUUUGGGGAACUGGUUAAAUCAACUAAUAUGAACAACCAAAGAAUUAAAAAGUGCAAACACAAGGGAAAUAUUAAGAUUCAAUUAUGAAGGGAAACAUCAGAUUUUUCAUAUCUGUAAAAUUUGGAUUUCUAGAUUUCCACAAAUUGAGAAGCAAGCAUGAAAUCAGGCUUUGUUGAGUAAGUCCCAGAUAUAUAAGUGAGUUCAACUCACACCUGAUUCGAGCAUAUUUGCUAAAUUUAAAGAAUAACAUUUCAAAGAAGAUAGGUUUUUGGAGACAUUAGAAGGUGGUUGGAGCGAUGGCGAUGAUCAUUGAGAGCGGUGGGAAGAGAUUUGGUGGAGAGGAGUUUCGGUGAAUAAGAGGAUGUGUGAGCCCAAUAAAUUUUCCCAUAAUUUUUUCCUUCCUUUUCACGCAUAUUUUCCUCAUUUAUCUUUCAAGUAAAAUGCUAGGAAAAUAUUUUAAUAUUUUCAUUAGCAUUUGCCUUCCCUUUUUUCUCAUCAUAUUUUCCGUGUCAUCCAAAUUAAGGAAAAUGAUGUUCCAACAUUUUUUUCCUCUUCCUAACAUUUUAUUGGAAUUAAACAUACCCUUCAGUUUUAUUUGACAAUUAAUUUAUAAAAUAGGUUUCUGAAAAAAAAAAAAUGAAAAAGUGCCCAAGUGGUUUGAUCCAACCCAACCCAAUAAAUGAGGAAAAUAAGGGGAGCGGUUUCUAAGAGUUUUAAAACUACUCAAAAAUUUUCACUAUUAAAUAAAUAAAUAAAUAAAUCUUCAAAAGAACUCUCUCUCCCUGAAAUAUUAAGGGUCUUGUACAGUGAGAAAAGAAUGAUAAAAGAAUGAUUCUCAUAUUCGUAAUUUCAUUCAUGACUUGAAGUGAGAAAAUUGGUCAAAGAAACAAUUAAUUGAGAUUCUUGGAUAUUUUAGAAGGUAACUGGAAGCAUUAUUUUUUUAUCGUUUGAUUUUGGAUAUUUGUUUUGAGUUCAUGUCCUAAUAAACGGAUCGAAAACAUGGAGAAUACAUUGGAAACAUUGAUGAGAUAUUCUGACAUUUAUCCUUAUGGCUUUGAUGGGUCUCCUCCCAAGUUUGAAAGGCGCAAAGGGCGGCCCUGUUUAGAAUAAAUUUGCUCCUACGAUCUGACUCCAACCCACCCAAUUGAAGGUUGUUAGGUCUGCACGGAUUCCAUUGGUGUUUUUUCCUUGUAAAGCCCAAACCCAAUCCUAUUCAGGCCUAGAUCUGGGCCAGUGCUUAUGACCCAGGGAACAUUUCAAUUGGGCCAGCCCAUGCACUAUAAGGCAAAGGCCCUUGGGACUUUGCCACAAAACCCUAAAAUGGCAAACAAUGCAACCAAACAUAGUUAUUAAAAUUAUUUAAACUCUUUUUAUCUUUUAUGGGUUCCUUUCCAAGGAAAAGAGAGAGAACCCAAAUUACUAUUCAAGCUAAAUUUAACUUUUAGACCCCCCUAAAAAUGCUUGUGAUAUACCUAAAGACAAGAAUGUGAGGUUGAAAGAUUUGAUUUAUUAGGGUUCUUAAAGGCACCAAGGCACUACCAUCUCCUUUGGGCUUAUGGACUAGACGUCGACACUUGGGCUAUGAAAUUACCAAAGUUAAAGCCUCGUUUGGGAGACUGUUUGAAGAUUUAAAAAGAUUGGGUGACAAUAAAACAUUAAAAACUCUUUCAAAUGAAAGACAUGAUGAUGAUUUGACCCACCAGGCAAAUGGAUGCAACCAACGGUCAAAAACCAACCACAAAUGGCCAUAACCCACCGGAUGUAGAGACGAGACGACACAAAUCACCAUCACAUUAAUAAACAAAGGAGUCUUCUUCACCUCACCUCAGCCAUCUCAUUUCAAUCACUUUCACCAUCACCAUCACCCCUCAUUAAACGCAGCGUUUUAAAGUAACCUUCUCCCCCUCAUCAAAUCAAAACAUAACUCCAAAUAAAAGCAUGUAAAUCACGAGAGCGACAGAGAUGGAAGGGUGAAAGCGGAGAAGGAGUGCUGUAAAUAAGGCUUUGCUUUUGUCACGCAAAGUCACUUCACAAUCUUUCUCAAUCUUCUUUCUUUCUUUCUUUCUUUCUUUUCUUUGCUAAAGCCUAAAGGCCGUAAAUCUGUGGGCUGUGAAACAGUCUGAAACUGCCAUUUACAAUCUCAAAGCGUGCACGUCACAGUGACUCCAUACCCAAAACCCAAAGCCAAAAACCCCGUUAAAACCCUAAUUGGGUAUCCCAUUUCUCACUCACUUUCCUCUCUGGUUUCCUCUACUCUGCCUUCCUCUUCUGCUGCCUGCUUGCAAUUUUCAUGUCUACACUUUACAUCCCCACUUUCUUUUUUUCUUUUUUUUUUGUUUUUAUGUUUUUUUUUUCUUCUUGGACACUUUUGCCCCUCCAUUUUCCUUUUGUUUACAUGGUUUAUCCUUCUUCUCUGGCAGUGUCAAAUAUUAAUAUUAAUAUUACCACAGUGAGACAGUCAGAAAAAACCUAAAAAUAAUGAAACAGGGGUAUAAUCGUCAUUUUAAUUACUUGGCCAUGAAAAUCACUUACGGAAGUCGGAAACCGCCAACUCUGAUUCUCUGAGUCUUCUGUCCUCCAGUUUCUUCCCUUUAUCACUGUUGCCAAACAGGCCCGGUCAUCAGAACGUCAGAAAAUGCCAAUCUUUGAGAUUCCCCACGCGCGUGCCUAAAUAUUAUCCAUCACGCGCCUGAAUGCAAUCCGUGGAGUACCCGUGCCCACGUGCUCCAGAGCGCGUGGAGUAAGAAAUGCUUAGAGCAGUAAAUGAAAAGUGACUAUUCCCCAUUUUCCCACGCUUUUCUCUCUGGACAAAUUUGUUGGAAUGAGUAUAAAAGGCCAAAACUUUCCUUAAUUAGCAAAAGAGGUCUGGCAGUAGCAGCUUUUUAUUUAUAUGCUUCUAAAUUUUUUGCAUCUGUGCCCUUUGAUUUUAUUGUUUUUCCGCAUGGCCCUUACAUUUAUAUGCUUUUUUUUGUACCAAAAAUACUAUUUAAAGUAUUAACUAAUUAUUUAUAAAAACAUAUAAAAAUAAAAAUAGAGCUUUAUAUUAUCUAAUUUUAGAUUUUAAAGGGGAAAUUAUUUUAAAUAUUAUAUGGUUGAAUUACAUUAAUUAGUUUAGAGAAUUAAUCCAAUCCAAUAUGCUAUUGAGUUAUAAUAAUCCAUUUAUAUUUCUAAUGAAUUUUGAAAUUUCUCUUUUAAUAAAUAAUUAAUCAUUUUAUAUGAUUCUAACUUUUUUCUUGUAUAUAUAAAUAUAGAAAUCAUUACUAUUAAUAUUUUUUUUUUAAAAAAAAAAAUGUAUUUGAAUGACAAAUUUGUUGGAAUGAGUAUAAAAGGCCAAAACUUUCCUUAAUUAGCAAAAGAGGUCUGGCAGUAGCAGCUUUUUAUUUAUGCUUCUAAAUUUUUUGCAUCUGUGCCCUUUGAUUUUAUUGUUUUUCCGCAUGGCCCUUACAUUUAUAUGCUUUUUUUUGUACCAAAAAUACUAUUUGAAGUAUUAACUAAUUAUUUAUAAAAACAUAUAAAAAUAAAAAUAGAGCUUUAUAUUAUCUAAUUUUAGAUUUUAAAGGGGAAAUUAUUUUAAACAUUAUAUGGUUAAAUAAAAUUAAUUAGUUUAGAGAAUUAAUUCAAUCCAAUAUGCUAUUGAGUUAUAAUAAUCCAUUUAUAUUUUGUCCCAUGAAUUUUGAAAUUUCUCUUUUAUUAAAUAAUUUAUCCUUUUAUAUGAUUCUAACUUUUCUUGUAUAUAUAAAUAUGGAAAUCAUUACUGUUAAUAUUUUUAAAAAUUAAAAAAAAAAUGUAUUUGAAGGAAAAUUUGUUGGAACUCAUAUAAAAGGCCAAAACUUUCCUUAAUUAGCAAAAGAGGUCUGGCAAUAGCAGCUUUUUAUUUAUAUGCUUCUAAAUUUUUUGCAUCUGUGCCCUUUGAUUUUAUUGUUUUUCCGCAUGGCCCUUACAUUUAAAUGCUUUUUUUUUUGUACCAAAAAUACUAUUUAAAGUAUUAACUAAUUAUUUAUAAAAACAUAUAAAAAUAAAAAUAGAGCUUUAUAUUAUCCAAUUUUAGAUUUUAAAGGGGAAAUUAUUUUAAACAUUAUAUGGUUGAAUUACAUUAAUUAGUUUAGAGAAUUAAUCCAAUCCAAUAUGCUAUUGAGUUAUAAUAAUCCAUUUAUAUUUUGUCUAAUGAAUUUUGAAAUUUCUCGUUUAAUAAAUGAUUUAUCAUUUUAUAUGAUUCUAACUUUUCUUGUAUAUAUAAAUAUAGAAAUCAUUACUAUUAAUAUUUUUAAAAAUUAAAAAAAAAAAUGUAUUUGAAGGAAAAUGUAGAGAAAAGAUUGGCCUAAUUAUGAAGAUGAAAAUGAUAAGAACACUUUAAAUCCAAUUGCCUAUACUGAAUAACCCACAGUCAUUCACUCGCAAAAUUCCAAAAUAUAAAAAUGGGGGGUGGAAGAGACAGGUCAUGUUACUGAGAGGUCUCAUCAGCCAUGUACAUGUACAUGUGCAUGUACAACAGUACAACAUGAUAUCAGCCCUCUUCCUCUUUGGAUGCAGCUGCCAAUGCCAUAAACUGGCCGACUAUGGUAAUGUUUUUGUUUUUUAUGCUUCUACUUUUCAUAUUUCAUAAUUCCAAUAACUACUCCUGAGUCCUGACUCAGUCCUCACCCCACUAUAUCACUUUCAUCAGGGUCUGUCUCUCUGCCCCCAUAUUUGUUCCUUUCUCUUCUCUCUCUCUCUUUUUCUAAUAUCCCCAAAAUAUACUCUUCUUUCUGUCCACAACCCCCAUACCACUAACUUAUUUCGCCAUAUGUUCAUUGUUUAUUUAUGGGUUCCACCAUUGCACCCACAAAUAUAAAAUCAUCAUUGUAGGGAGACAAAUUUUAUUUUAUUUUUCCACUUAUUAAUUGCUUUUAUGUCAAUAAUGAACUAAUAAUAUAUUGAUAUAACAAUAUAAAUAAUUUAAUAAAUAAAAUAAAAUAAAAAUCAUAAUUAUUAUAAUUAAAAUUAAUAAUUAUUAUCAUAAUAAAUAAGAUAAUUAUCUUUAAAAAAAAUCAAAGAAUAAUAUCAAAAUAAAAUUCUCAAAAUUAUAAAUAGAGGUUCCUCUUAUUUAAAAUGGUACUUCAAAAGAGCAAAAAAAAAUUGAAGAGCUAUUAAAAAAAUUUCCCUCAAAAGAAUUUAAAAUUUUCUUCAAAAAAAGAAGACUUAAAGAUAUUUUUUGUAUUUGAAAAUUGUAUGAUCUAUUAUUUAUUAAAGAAACCCAUUUUGAUUCAAAAUUAAGCAUUAAAUUACUUAGAAGAGUGUUGUCGAGAAUAAAAGGUACAUCGAAGUUUGUUCCUUCAAAUUAUCAAAUUUACAAAUUCUAUAACCAAUUUUAUUUAUUUGAAGAAAUUUGUGUGUACAAUGGUCAAUUAUUACUCCAUUGUUUAAUUUUUGACAUGAACACCCUUCACCAUUUCAUCCUUUUAAAAAGAACCCUUUCACCACAAAUUAAGAACAUAUUCAAAGUGAUUUUAUUAGAGUUGGAAGUGUUUUAUAAUAUGUGAAAAUAUUUUUCCCACGAACAAACACAGUGAAACACACUGCCAAAAUAUCCAAACAAUCACUGUCAUGUUUAUUUUGACUGUUCACAAAAAUCAUAGUUCCAUAAAUCUUGGAUAGACUUUAGAAUGUUGAAGGUGGGCAUGUGCAUGUGUGACAUUCAAGUUUUUAAUUAGUUUUAGUUAUAUUUAAUUUUUUAUAGAAAAUUAAAUAUAAAAAAGUUUUAUUUAAUUUUUUUUUAAUAUUUUUUAGGAAUUAAAUAUAAAUUAUGUGACUGGAGUUUCAAAUUCUACUUAUUCCACUAUUAAUGGUACGAAAAGUAGGGAAGCAUGUAAUAUUAAUUUUCGAUGUAAAGGAGCCUAUGGUUUGUUUUGUAGUAGAGGAAGGUGGCAAACAGGCUCUUAGAGUCCAAUUUCUCCAACCAACAUGCAUUAAAAUGGCAGUCAUAAAAGGGAAGAUAUUUGAACAGACUAUCUUCCAUAAAGAGGAAGCUCUCUCUUUCUUAACCCAUUCUUCAAUUUUCCUAGUGAUCUAGAAAAUCUAUAAUUUCCCAUUUUCUUUCCCACUUUCUCUUCAUCUUCCUAAAGCUUUCUUAUUCCAAUACACAGCCUUCACUCUCUCUCUGACUGUAUGAUGAUGGCGUUUAAGCUUGUGUGCUUUCAUCUCUUUGUGUUUCAGCUUCUUUUCUGUGUCUCCAACGCCAUUGCUGACCAAAAUGGAGAAGACCCAGAAGCCAAACUACUCAUUUCUUUCAAAAAUGCUCUUCAAAACCCUCAAAUGCUCUCUUCAUGGAACUCUACCGUUUCUCGCUGUCAAUGGGAAGGUGUGCUUUGCCAGAACGGCCGAGUCACCUCACUCGUCCUCCCUACUCAAUCCCUCGAGGGUGCUCUCUCUCCUUCUCUCUUUUCUCUUUCCAGCCUCAUUGUCCUCGACCUCUCCGGCAACCUUUUCUCCGGUCAUCUUUCGCCGGACAUUGCCGGGCUGCGGCGGUUGAAGCACUUGUUACUGGGUGAUAAUGAACUAUCGGGUGAGAUUCCUCGUCAACUAGGUGAGUUGACUCAGCUGGUGACUCUGAAACUCGGUCCUAACUCGUUUAUUGGGAAAAUCCCUCCGGAGCUUGGAGACCUGACGUGGCUGCGGUCUCUCGACCUCUCUGGCAACUCCCUGACGGGAGACCUGCCGACUCAGAUCGGAAACUUGACCCAUCUCCGGUUACUUGACGUCGGCAACAACCUUCUCUCAGGUCCUCUCUCUCCAACUCUCUUCACAAAUCUUCAGUCUUUAAUCUCUCUUGACGUUUCAAACAACUCGUUUUCCGGAAAUAUUCCGCCGGAAAUAGGUAACUUAAAGAGCCUGACUGAUCUUUACAUUGGUAUCAACCACUUUUCCGGCCAGUUACCACCGGAAAUCGGUAAUCUUUCGAGUCUGCAGAACUUCUUUUCACCAUCGUGUUCCAUUAGAGGUCCAUUGCCGGAGCAAAUCUCUGAGCUGAAAUCACUGAAUAAACUUGAUCUUUCCUAUAACCCACUCAAGUGUUCGAUCCCAAAAUCUAUUGGGAAGUUGCAGAACUUGACAAUACUGAACUUUGUCUAUGCCGAGCUCAAUGGUUCGAUUCCGGCGGAGCUCGGAAAGUGCCGGAAUUUAAAGACAUUGAUGCUUUCUUUCAACUCCAUCUCCGGGUCAUUGCCGGAGGAGCUUUCAGAGCUCCCAAUGCUGUCAUUUUCUGCUGAAAAGAAUCAGCUAUCAGGGCCAUUGCCUUCUUGGCUUGGAAAAUGGAAUGGGAUUGAUUCCCUUCUGCUUUCAAGUAAUCGGUUUUCUGGGAGGAUCCCACCUGAGAUUGGGAAUUGUUCUAUGCUUAAUCACGUUAGCUUGAGUAAUAACUUGUUAUCUGGUUCAAUUCCGAAGGAGCUUUGUAACGCAGAGUCGCUAAUGGAGAUUGAUUUGGAUAGUAAUUUUCUUUCUGGGGGUAUAGAUGAUACGUUUUUGAAGUGUAAAAACCUGACCCAGUUGGUUUUGGUGAAUAACCAGAUUGUUGGCUCCAUACCUGAGUACCUCUCAGAGCUUCCUUUGAUGGUUCUUGACCUUGAUUCGAACAAUUUCACGGGUUCUAUACCUGUGAGUCUGUGGAACUUGGUGAGUUUGAUGGAGUUUUCAGCUGCAAAUAAUCUCCUGGAGGGUUCUCUCCCACCAGAGAUUGGCAAUGCGGUUGCGUUGGAGAGGCUUGUUCUUAGUAACAACCGGUUGAAGGGCACAAUACCUAGGGAGAUUGGAAAUUUGACAUCCCUGUCUGUUCUUAAUUUGAAUUUAAAUCUGCUUGAAGGGAUUAUUCCAAUGGAGCUUGGUGAUUGCAUUUCACUCACUACAUUGGACCUUGGAAACAACCUUCUCAAUGGGUCAAUUCCUGAUAGAAUUGCGGAUUUGGCACAGCUUCAGUGUCUGGUUCUUUCUCACAAUGACUUAUCUGGAUCCAUUCCUUCAAAACCAUCUUCUUAUUUUCGUCAGGUCAAUAUUCCUGAUUCAAGCUUUGUUCAGCACCAUGGAGUAUAUGAUCUGUCCUAUAAUAGACUGUCUGGUUCAAUACCUGAAGAGUUAGGGAGCUGUGUGGUGGUGGUGGAUCUUCUACUCAGCAAUAACUUUCUUUCAGGAGAGAUUCCAAUCUCUCUCUCCCGGCUAACCAACCUUACAACCUUGGAUUUAUCUGGGAAUUUGCUGACUGGUUCCAUUCCAUUGAAAUUGGGCUACUCUCUUAAGCUCCAAGGCUUGUAUCUGGGGAAUAACCAGCUCACUGGCACCAUCCCAGAAAGCUUAGGACGAUUGAGUAGUUUGGUAAAGCUGAAUUUGACAGGUAAUCAGCUGUCCGGUUCAAUCCCAUUCAGCUUUGGGAACUUGACUGGGCUCACCCACUUUGAUUUAAGUUCCAAUGAACUUGAUGGUGAGCUCCCUUCGGCUCUUUCGAGCAUGGUGAACCUUGUUGGGCUCUAUGUGCAGCAGAACAGGCUUUCAGGUCAGGUCAGUAAGCUGUUUAUGAAUUCCAUUGCAUGGAGAAUCGAAACAUUAAACUUGAGUUGGAAUUUCUUCAAUGGAGGAUUGCCAAGGUCUUUGGGCAAUCUAUCAUACUUGACCAAUUUGGAUCUUCAUCACAACAUGUUUACUGGGGAGAUUCCCACGGAGCUUGGGGACCUUAUGCAGCUUGAGUAUUUUGAUGUUUCAGGUAAUAGGCUUUGUGGGCAAAUUCCAGAGAAGAUAUGCAGCCUUGUCAAUCUGCUUUACCUGAAUUUGGCCGAAAAUAGAUUGGAAGGCUCUAUACCUAGAAGUGGUGUUUGCCAAAACCUAUCCAAAGAUUCACUGGCUGGUAACAAAGAUUUGUGUGGAAGAAACCUUGGUUUAGAAUGCCAAUUCAAGACCUUUGGUAGAAAAUCUUCAUUGGUAAACACCUGGGUACUUGCAGGGAUUGUUGUGGGAUGUACUCUCAUCACCCUAACUAUUGCUUUUGGUCUUCGGAAAUGGGUUAUCAGAAACAGCAGGCAAAGCGAUACAGAAGAGAUUGAGGAAAGCAAAUUAAACAGCUCUAUAGAUCAAAAUCUCUACUUCUUAAGCAGCAGCAGAUCAAAGGAGCCUCUUAGCAUCAACGUGGCCAUGUUCGAGCAGCCUCUGCUAAAACUGACUUUAGUCGAUAUCCUUGAAGCCACCAACAAUUUCUGCAAGACAAACGUGAUUGGAGAUGGAGGCUUUGGAACUGUCUACAAAGCUGCUUUACCUAACGGAAAAAUAGUUGCAGUCAAGAAGCUAAACCAAGCCAAGACACAGGGUCAUCGAGAAUUUCUGGCAGAAAUGGAAACUCUAGGUAAGGUCAAGCACAGAAACCUUGUACCCCUGCUGGGGUACUGCUCUUUUGGUGAGGAGAAGUUUCUAGUAUACGAGUAUAUGGUAAAUGGGAGCUUGGAUCUAUGGCUGAGGAACCGCACUGGGGCUCUUGAAGCCUUGGACUGGACAAAACGCUUCAAAAUUGCAAUGGGGGCGGCUCGUGGGCUAGCAUUUCUUCACCAUGGCUUCAUCCCCCACAUCAUUCACCGCGACAUUAAAGCCAGCAACAUCUUGCUGAACGAAGACUUUGAGGCGAAAGUUGCAGACUUUGGGCUGGCGAGGUUGAUCAGUGCCUGUGAAACUCAUGUGAGUACCGACAUAGCUGGGACGUUCGGGUACAUUCCACCAGAGUAUGGCCUAAGCUGGAGGUCUACAACAAGGGGGGACGUCUACAGUUUUGGAGUGAUUCUGCUGGAACUGGUUACUGGGAAGGAGCCAACAGGACCUGAUUUCAAGGACUUUGAAGGAGGGAAUCUAGUGGGGUGGGUGUUUGAGAAGAUGAGGAAGGGUGAGGCUGCAGAAGUGCUGGAUCCAACGGUUGUGAGGGCGGAAUUGAAGCACAUAAUGCUUCAAAUUCUGCAGAUUGCUGCAAUAUGCCUAUCUGAAAAUCCAGCUAAAAGGCCUACCAUGCUUCAUGUGUUGAAGUUUCUGAAAGGGAUCAAAGAUGAGUGAAUGUACAGUUAAGUGUUUUGUCUUUUUUUGUGCUUGUAUGAAAAGAUGGUGUGCUAAUAACACUGUAAAGUAGCUAAGAAAUUUGAAUUUGGUAAACAGCUAGUGCAGUUUCAUUCUCUGAUCUUCCUAGUUCUUGCUGAUUUACUUGGAUUUGUUUUUUAGCCUUGUGGCAGUCAUGGGCUGCCCUUUGAGAUUGCCAUGCAAGGCAUGGGCUGGUGAUGUAUUCUAUAUGUUGUUGAUGGGUAUUGGGGCUUGUUUGUUUGAAGGUAUUUUCUGAAAUUUGUUUUUAGAAAUUGUUUUAAGGUAGUUGUAUUUAAGAAAAAAAAACUUGUUUUGAUUAAUAAAUUUUAGUUUUUUUUAAAAAAUAAUUUUUAUUUUGAUUUUGUAAAGAAAUUAUAAAUUCAAUUUAUAUGAAUAUCAAUUAAAUUCAAUUCAAGUCUUACUAGAAUAAAAAUAAAAAUAAAAAUAAAUUUGUAGUUGUAAAUGAAUUUAAAAUAAAUAUUUUCAAUAAAAUAUGAAUACUAAUAUUAUAAUAAAAUUAUAAAUUGUAUUGUUUAUGGUGGAUAUUAUAAAAUAUGGAUAUUAAGGCAUAAUUGAUUUUUUUAAAUAUUUUAACAAGGAACUAUUACAAUAGGUUUAUUAGAGGGAAAAUGUUCAGCUACAUAAGCUAUACCCAUAGAACUCUAUGUCUGGAAUUUUAUAUCUUUGGAUGAGGGUAUAAAUAAAAGUAAGGUAUAAUAAUGCAAACAAACUAUAUUAGAAUAGAAAUAAAUGAGACAUUGAGGCUUUGUUUGCUAACUGUUUUUUAAAACAGUUUUAAAAAAUAGUUUUAAGAAUAGUUUUUGAAAACUGUUUUUUGAUGUUUUAUAAAACAAAAGUUUGUUUGGGAAACUAAAAUAUUUUUAACAUGUUUUUAAUAUUUUUAUAAAUAAUUUUUAUGUUCAUAAUUUUAUUUUUAAUUAUUAUAUAUAUUUAUAUAAUUAUUUUUUAAAAAUAACUCUUAAAAAAUAAGUAAAAAUAAUUGAAAAUAACUAAAAAAAUAUUAAAUAUAAAUACUCUGUUUUUUAUUUUCAAAAAACAAAAAAAAAUCAUGAACAGAAAAUAAAAAUAAAAUUGAUAAUAAAAAAAUAAAAUAUUGAAAACAGUUUUUGAUAGUUAAAUUUGUUUUUUAAUUUUAAAUUUUAAAAAAUAAAAAAAAAUAUUUUUGAGAACAGUUGAAAGGGGCUGAAAUAGUGGUGCAUUUUAGAUGUAGUACCAAAAAGGUACCAGCCACCGGGUCCAAAGAGGUGCCAGUGGAUGCCUCAGCCAAAGAAAAAACAUGUUCCAAGGAGAUUAGGUAUUUUUCUUUGUCAUAAAAUCAAUGAAAAUUUAUUUGAUAGUGACCAUUGUUUCUUGUUUCUUUAAUUUUCAACAUUCAAUUGUUAAAGCCAACCGUAAUAAACAAGAAUUCAGAGAGUCAAGCAUUCGUUUCUUUGGAGUAGAUAGAAAAUUCUACAAGCCCUAGUUGAGAAUUCUCCAUGGUUAGUAGCUAAUAAUAUCUCACCUAAAAUGUAGUUGGCAUUCAAAUCUUUUUUGACCAAUGUUUUGGACUAGAAAUAGUUUCUAAGUGUACUCUCCUUAUCACUCUUAAUAGUUAUUUCUUGCAAUAAUGCAUUAUUUGUUUUUUUUUUUUUGUUAAAUUUUUAUUACAAAUAAUUUGUUUCGAGGUUCCAACUAUUUUAUUUAUUUUUAAUUUAUUACUUAUUUUUUUAAAAUAAAAAAUAAAAAUAUUUAAUUUUUUUAAUGCUUAAAGUAACUUGGUUGGAUUUUUUUACUUUUUAAACUACUUAAUACUUUAACAUUAUUAAAAUUUAUUUAAUUUUAAGUUUUAUUUAAAAUUAAAAAGAAAAAAAAAAACAUUACCAAAAACUAAGAACAAUUUUAGAGCAUCCACUCAAUCUCACAUCAAACUAUGAAUUUAAGUCAUGAAUAUGUAACAUGAGUUGUAGAUCAUUGAGUUAAGUUAUGAAGAAAUCCAAUCUAAAACCAAUAAGAACAAAAUAUGAGACAAUAAGAUGAUAUCAUUUGAAUAGAAAUGAAAAUAGAAUCAAAAUAAUAAAGAGUUACCGAAUGUUAUACUAAAAAUAGGAAACAUGAAAAUAAACAGAUUGAGGCGGAUAUUAUAAAGGCUUGAACAGAUGUGAGGAUACUUGACGGAUUUUUGAUAAGAGUACGACAAUUUAAAAAAAUAAUUCCUAAACUACCGUUGUAGAAAAAAUAAUUCAAAAUCACUGUGGAAAAAUUAAUUCUAAAUCUAUUGUAAUUUUUAUCAAGUAAGAGAGAUAACGUUAUUACCUUUUAAAAUCGUUUCUUUGAAAAAUGAUUUAUAUAAUAAUUGAUUACAACAAAUUUGUAAAUAAUAAUUUAGUAAAUCAAUAACAAAUUUGUUUUUUAUAAACACAUUUUUCACAUAAAAUUGAUAAUAAUUUUUUUUAAUUGCAAAGCAAAAGAAACAAAAAAUAUUAGAUAAAUAUUAUUUAUCUUAUAAAAAAUCAAUAGCAAAGUAAAGAAAAAAAUUGAAGAUUAAGAAGAAAAUAUUUUUUAAAUCAAUAUCUAAAUAUUAAACAUAUGUAGACCCCCUUUAGUGGUGAGGACCCGGGGGGGUUUGUUUUUGUUGAAUUUUCAUUAUCUUGUUGGAGGGGUAGGGGACCCCCAGCUGAGUUUGGAUGUCGUCUGCAUGAGACGUGCAGAUGGAGAGGGGCAGAGACGCCAGCCGUGCUAGUGGUCAGAGAUGCCAGCCUUGCUAGUGGUCAGAGAAGCCAAGCUGCUGACUGGUGAACAGGAAUUGGAGGGUUGGCUUGCUGAAGAAGACACCAAUAGGGGGGAUUUCUGGGAGAGAGAGACGGCCCAGAGCAUCCAGCUGAGGAAGAUAGCUUCACGGUUUCAGCAGUUUCGUUGACAUUGGAGGUGGAUUUAAGGCGUUUGAAGCCGAACAAGGCUUUACGGGAGAAAGGUAUUCUCGGGUAUGAACACUCAGUAUUUUUUUUCAUUUUUUUCUUACUUUUUACUUUGUCUGCUUCAGGCUCAUAUCCGUUGCUUAAAUGUGGGUAUAAUUGGCCAUAUGUUCAUUGCUAUUAUCUCUUUAGAUUGUUGUGCUCUGCCUAGAUGAAACAUGUUGCUCUUUCUGUAGUUUUUGUAUAAAUGCGGUUUGGCUUCAUCUUAGCUGCCUGUGAUAUGCCCAGAUUAAUGUUUUUGUUCUUGUGCCCAUCUAAGUUCCUUAUUUACCCAUAAGCUCAUUGAUGUCAACGCGGGAUGAGACCUAUUUUUGUGAUUCUUGGGUUUGUGUGAUGCCCUGUUUUUGGGAUGUUCUAUUGUUGUGGUUUCUUUGUCCCGGGCCCUCAUUCAAAUCUAGAGACCAUAUGGAAAGAAACCCAGGUCCGGUUAUGAACUCCCGCAUGAAUAUAUGCCCUGAAGCUGAAGCGUGUUGUCAGAGAACAAAGUUCUUCUUCUCUUGAUUUGAUACCUUUAGUUGGGAAGCCAUGGAUGCAUAUGGCAGAAAAACCCAAUGAGGAAAUCGUGUUCAGUCUGGAUUAAAAAGAUAUAAAAUAUAAAAAAAAUGAAUGAAGAGGAGAGAUGCAAGCAAAGAAAACACGACAUUUUUUUUUGUGGUUGGAGAAUGAGGAUGGCAUUAAUUCAGGUUUUGCUUAUGGAUCCAACUAUUUUGUUAUUUGAUGGACUCACCGAUCAUCUUGAUUUAGAAGCUAGUGACUGGUUGGAGGAGGCAUUGAUGAACCCGGACUGUAUCUUAGUUGUGGUUUCCCACUCCCUGGAUUUUCCGAAUGGUGUUGGAGGUCCAGACGUGAUCAUAUCCAUUUUCUUGAACUCUCGGAAAUGCAGGGUUUGGGGAUGAGAAGUCAUGCAAAUAGGACACCUUGCUGCCUAGCACCACAAGAACCUCAUCUCUGGUCUUCUGCCACUUCGCAAGCCAUGAACCCCAUGUACAUGCGGUCACCAUAUAUCAAUACAUGGCCAAUCCCUUUUCUCAUUCUCCAACUUCCCGUCAAGCUCUCCACACUUCAGUCACUGUUCACUCUUUGUUUGCUUACCACCUUUCAAUUAUUCCUCUCCAUUAACCAUUAUACCCAUUUAUCUCUCUAACCAUGCACCCUCCAUGCAUAGUCACUCCUCCAUCCCUUCAACCUCUCUUUCAUGCACAAGGUCAUCAUCCUACUACCCAUUCCAUUUAUCUCAUCCCAUGUCUUCCAUAUCCAUUCAUUAACGUCCAUAUACCCAUCACCACACACUCUCUCUCUCUCUACACCACGGGCCUCCCAAGCCCAUCAUCCAUACUUCAUUUUUCAUCCCAUACAUAUCCUCAUUUAACUACACCCCCCUUAAACCCAUUCCUCUCUCUAAGCCUUCAUUUUUUUUCUCACCACCUUUUCUCUCUCAUCACCACACCAUGCACCCUUCAUGACAUUUCCCAAAUACCAGCCAAACCCAUUUCUCCCCACUCUUGCAUGGCCAUGCCAUGCCCAUUUCUCCCUUAUAUCCAUACCACCAAUCUCGUGCAUACAUCUUCCUAUCACCUUCAUACUCAUAUCUCAUCACCCAUGCCACCCAUGUACAAGAAUAUAAACCCGUUUCCCGUUUCUCUCGCUACCCGCUUUCAUUCUUCUCAUUUCUCCAUACCACCAACCCUCAUGCAUGCAUAAUCACACUCACCCCCCAUACCCAUCUUCCCUACAACUCAUACCCAUCCAUCAUGCCAACCAUCUCUAUACCCAUCUUUUUUUUUACUCACCACCAUUCUCAUCCCCCCCAUACCCAUCUUCAUACCCGUUUCUCUCUCUAAGUCAUCUCCAUGCAUACCUAUUAAACCCGUCUUCCAUCCUCCCAUCUUCACACCCACUACCACCGAGCCUUCAUUUUCUCACUAACUCAUUCAUUUUAUACUCCCUACCCGGUUAUCUCUCUACACCACAUACCCAUUUUCCAAAUACCCAUCAACCCACCUUUGCAUGGCCACCUUUCUUGGCCCACUUCCAAAGCCCACCACAUACCCAUUUUCCAAAUACCCAUCAACCCUAUUUCCUCCACCUUUGCAUGGCCACCUUGCUUGGCCCACUUCCAAAGCCCACCAAUUUUAAAAAUUGUUUUUUUUGAAAAUCUAGUUUUUAAGUAAUUCAACUCUCUAAUAUUUCAUCUUUAGUUUCUUUUUAGGUCUUCCCGUAUUUACAUAUUUAAUAAUUAUUAUUUUUGCGAUUAUUCUUAUUCUAUUUAUUCAUUCAUUUAUUUUAAAAUUCCACCGUCAAACAAUUCCAACUUUCCAACUUUCAAAUUUAAUCUCCAAUUUAAAAAAAUUCCACUAUUCACGUUCAUUUAUUUAAUUAUUAUUUUCGUCAUUAUUAUUAUUAUCCCAUUUAUUUAUUUAUUUUAAAAAAUUCUAUCUUUAAACAAAUUUUUUUCAAACUUCUGAUUUCCGCAUUAAAUUCCUAAUCCCAAAAUUUCCUAUAUUCACAUUAAUUUAUUUAAUCACUAAUAUUUCAUUCAUUUAUUUCAAAAUUCCAUUUUAAAUCAAUUCUUUAAAACUUUUGAUUUUCGAAUUAAAUUCCUAAUCCCGAAAAAUUCUCACAUUCACAUUAAUUUAUCACUAAUAGUUUAUUUAUUCAUUCUAAAAUUCUAUUUUAAACAUUUCUUUAAAAUUUCCGACUUCCGAAUCUAAUUUCCAAUACGAAGAAAUUCCAAAAAUUCCGUUCAUUCGUUUAAUCAUCACUUUCGUCAUUAUUAUUAUUCUAUUUAUUUUAUUUCAAAAAUUCAUUCUUUAAACAAUUCCAAUUUUUCGACCUUCAAAUCUAAUUUCCAAUCUCAAAAAUUCCAGCAUUCCCAUUCAUUUAUUUAAUCAUUAUUUUCGUCCUUAUUAUUAUUAUUCCAUUUAUUUAUUUCAAAAUUCCAUUUUUAAACAUUUUUUUGAAUCCCAAUUUCCGAACUUAAUUUUCGAUUUCUAAUUUCUUUCAAGUUUGACAUCCUAAAAUUCCAACUCUUAAAUUUAAUUCCCAAUACUCCAAUUUUCAAAUAAAUUUCAAAAAUCCAAUUUUCUCUCUAACAGUUUUAAUUCUCUUCGGGUUUCAAAUAAUCUUUGGUUUCUCUUGAUUUUAUAUAAGCACGAAUGCUAUUUUCAUAAUUCCAGAAUAAUGGAAUUUGUGGGACUAAUUCGUGCAAAAUAGAAUGGGCUUUGGUGGGGGCCCCACAUAUGAGAUUUCAUGAUUGAUUGACUGAUUGAUCGAUUCAUUUGCCAUGUGUGAUCGAUUUACUAUGUUCCUUGAUAUACAUAUAGUCAUUUUGCGUUUAUUCACUAACCUCAUUCCAUGAUAGCGCAUUGUUGUUUGCUGCCCAGGUACGCAUUCACUCAUUCUGAUCAUUCACUAUACAUAUUCUGAUUCUCAUAUAUGCAUGAUUGAUGUGAGUAUCCAUUGACUUUCUUAUUCGAUUGUCAUGUCAGUUUCACUUUAUUAGUAGAGACCCGAAUUUAGGGACUUAAAGGGGUGCUACGGUCCGUACCGUACCUUCCCGAUAAGUAACCUGACCCCCGAACCCGAUCCGGUUUUUCGCAGACCGCCUUUUCUAAAAUAAGGAGUCACACUUAGGGUUUUUCUUUCUUAUUUUGUUUACCCUUUUAAAAAAUAAAACAAAAAUAAGUGGCGACUCCAAGUCAUUUUUCUUAAUCAAAUAAAAAUCAAAUUUUCAAAUAAAAAUCGAGCUCACCAUCGAGUGGGAAACGCAUGAGCCAAAAUGCGGGGUCCACACAUAAUUUAUAUUUUUAUAUACAUUAUUUUUGAUAAAUAUUUCAAUAAUCAUAAUUUUUUAAUAUAUUAAAUUUAGUAAAUAAAAUUAAUUAAUUUUAUAAUAUAUAUUCAUAAUAAUUAUAUUAUUAAAAAAUAUAUCAUUAAUUACAAAACUUAUAAGGAAUAAAAAAUGAACUUUUUUUAGGAGGAAAUAGUCUUCUGAAGAGACAAUUUGGCUCAAUUUUUUUUUUCUUUUUUAGAAAAUCGUUUCUUCUCGAGAUACAAUUUCUCCCAAAUUAUUAUUUUUAAAAUUUUUUUAAAGAAAAUUAUAUGUCCAAGAGAUGAUAUCUCUUUUUUCUCUUUUUUAUAUAUAUAUAUAUUAAAGAAAUCGUCCCUUUCGAGGACUUUAGUAUGUAAAUUUAAAAAAAAAAAAAUUUUAGAAAUCAUAUAUUCAAAAGACCAUUGGUUUAAAAGAAAAUAAUAUUCUUUUUUUCAUCUGAUAAAAAUUAUAAUAGAUUUGAAAUUGUUAUUUUUUAUCACUAAACUACUAUAGUUUAGGACUAUUGAGAAUGAAGUCAAUAUAGGCUGCCCUCUCUGACUAAGACAAAAAACAGAGCUCCUACAGAUUAAAAACCCAAGGACAAAAGGCAAUGAAAUAUCAUAGAGACAAGUCAAAAGACGAGGCAGUAACCUAGAAAACAGACAAUGACUAGCUUAUCAUAAAGAAAUUAGCCACCUACCAUGUGUUCCAAGUGGAACCCAUGGCCUCGCUCCUUGCAUGUGGGCUCUCAGUAAAAUUUCAGGAUCCACGCCUGCACCAGAUAUCCGUAGGGAUUCCUUCUCCAUAAAUUAUUUUCUACUUUCCAUCCUCAUGCAAUCAUGCUCUUAUGCCUGCCCACCUGCCUCCCCCCCCUCCCUUCUUAUUUCUAUGGAUUUAACAAUUUUGAGAAACAAAUCCCCAUAUUCCAUAAAAAGAGCAAAAAGAAAGACUUUAAUAUUAAUAAAGUGCGUUUCAAAGUAGGUAAUCUAUACUUGCACGUCUAAGACCCUCUAUAAUAACUUAUAUUUUCUCAACAAACCAUCUCCCAACCAUUAUAUUUAUUCGCUUUUAAUGCUCUACCUCGUAGUGUAAAUAGAAAGUAUUGUGUUUUGUCUGGUUUUAACUUGUAACUGGGAAAGGGUUUGUGAGUUGUAAAUAUGAAAAUCCAAAGACAAUUCUAGAAUCUAAACAGAGGUUUCAGGUUAUGAAGUUAAAAAAAAAAAAAAAAAAACCAAAAAUCCUAAUUUCCAUUUUUUUUCCCUAACGGAAUAUGCCCUAAAAGGUUUCGCGAACCACGUGAUUCAUUUCGCACGUGCCUCUCCUUGUACGGGCACUAAAAACAGCUGGCUGAUCAUCUACAUCACGCGUCUCUACAACUACCGGAUUGUGCAGACAAUAAUCUGCCGGCUCAGAUUUCACCUCCGACCAAGGCCGUUGGAGUUCCUGUACCGGAUCCGGGUCUGCCACCAAACCCACCCUCUCCUUCCCUCGCACGCUUCGCCCCAAUGGCAACACCGAACAAUCGAGGAGUCAUUUCUUCCUCUAUCAUCAUCUCGCUGGAGAACUGCUUCUCCGGGAACCGAUUCAGAGGUUUGUCCGUUUGCGAAACAUUUCCGAAAAUAUUGUUAGUAUAGUUUGACGAUAUCAGAGCGAAGAUGUUGUUGCAAAGAGUCUUCAUCCGGUUAAGUUCUCGAUUAAGCUCCACGUUCUCUUUCCUUAAUCUUUCAUUUUCAUCUAUCAGUCCGGCAGUAUUACUGGUGGCAUGUGGUGUGGUCGUGGUCGCCGGGGGCGAGUUCGACGAGAUCAAUCGUUCGUCAGCACAAUUUGACGACGAUACCGGCGAGAUCGGGGCCGUCGAAGAGAUUCUCCGCCGUUGUAUGUCGCAUAAAAGGCGUUUUUCGCCUCGGCGAAAGCAGUCGUUGGAGAAUUCCCAUCGAUCAGGUACGACCUUUCGAAAUCCCUAGAGAUUCGAAACAAACAAUUGAAAAACGCGGAAUCCACAGCGAAUGGAAACCGUGGAAAUAGGUUAGGAGAAAUGGACUCACGUAGGUGUUAAGUUGUCGAACGAAGCUGGAGAAAUUGUUGUGCUUGAAGUACUUAGGAAGCAAAUCUCUGGCCAACACGGCAGUGUUCCACACGACGAAAGCAGAUCCGUCUUCAUUCCACGAAAUCACAUCGUCCACUGUCCGAUCCUCAACCAGCUGAUAGGUUUUCGUCAGAAACGGCGUCGGAAGAGAUUUCUGUGACUCGCCGCCGCUCUGCUCCACCGGUGGCCUAGACAUCACCGGAGUUUCCAAUAAACCGGAAACCAAAAGAAUAAGGAAAAAGAGAUAUACUUUUCUGGAAAUGGAAGAUGAUGGAUUUGGAGAAACAAAGAGAAAAGAAGACGGUCACAGAUAUUGAAUGAGUGGAGAGAGAAAAGGGAAUAGGGGCUGUGGAUUUGAAGGGAAUUCUAGAAGAUUCAGGAGAGAGGGAGAAAAGACGAGAAAGUGAGGGAGAAUGAAAGGAUAAAAGAAAGUAAAGAAGCAACAGGAAGUCACGUUACGUCUUUUUCCAGAAACUUCCCUGGUCGUUUCUCCAUUUAUGGUGCGGACACUCCUGAAUAAAGUCAAAUCCCUAACAGUAAAAAUUGCUUCUAUUUAUGGUAAACUUCUUCUCCUUUACUCCAUUUUCAAUUACUACUUUUUUUUUUUUUCCUCCUUCUAAUAAUAUAUAUUACCUUUUACUAUUUCAAUACCAGUCAAAACAACUUUUCUAUUUAUUCCCUUCUAAUCUUGUAAUUUUUAAAUUAUUCAGGUAAAAUAAAAAGAGAAAAUGGUAAGAGAGAUGCAUAAUAAAAAAAUUAAAACAAAACAAUAUCAUUGAUUCACUGUCACUAACACUUUUUAUUCUAUUUAUUCUUACAUGCAUAAAACCGUCAUAUAUGGGAGAAUUUUAGAGAAUAAUAUACAACAAAAAUUGGAACAAGUAAUGUUUUUCAUUUUUUAAACCAAGAGAUUAACUUUCUAUCGUUCUAAAUGUGCAUUUCUAAGAACUUGAUAUUGAUUUGGAUUGAUAUUCCAUCUUUUUAUUUUGACGUGUAUUGUGAUUUUCAACACUUCCCAUCCCUCUUAAAUUGACAUCUAUCUAACUUGAAAAUCAAUAAUGAAAUGGUGUAAUGAUUAGGAGAUGUUGUGAAGUUGCUAGCAAUUACUUAGUGGAAGAAAGAUACAUGGUUUGAAUAAAUCACUAUUGAAUCCUUUUAGGUAUGAGAUGACAAUUGAUAUUGAUGUGUUUAGUGUGCUUACGGAAAAUAGGAUUGGUAGUGAUAGAGAGAGUUGCUUUGUUGCCAUUGAAAAAUGUUGUAUGCUUUAUGUUGGAGACACCAAGAUUCACAAGCAAAAAAUUUAACCAAUUGAUUUCACAAGUAGUGACCAUCCCUCGGUAUUUAGCUUCAAUCAAGGAACAUGAAAUAGUAGAUUGCUUUCUUGAAAUGCAAGAAAUUGGUGAAUCCCUAGGAAAAAAAAAUACAAUAUCUUGUGAUGGAACAACAUAAAUUUGGAUAACCAACCCAAUUGAAUUAUUGUAGUGCUAGACGAAAGAGAGAAGAAUUCCUUGCCCAAAACAAUCUUUGAGAUGAUGAAACAUGAAUUGUUAUAGUAGGGUGAGGUUGUCAUGGUUUAUUUGACAAUUGUGUUAUCACUUGAACACUAUAGGAGAUGUUUGGCCGAGAAGUUGUCAAUUAUCCAUUCCAAGAUGAUGUUCCACAAGGCAAAGGCAGGCUUGGAAGCAUCCAAAGCAAGAAGGCCAACCAAAAGUUAUCAUAUGUUUUUCUUUUUUGAACUUUUCUAAAAUCAAACACAACAUAAAUAGAAAUUGAUUAUAAUAAAAAUUUACUCUUAUAUUUAUUAUACCCACUAGUGGAAAGACAAGAAACUAAAAUAAAAGAAGGGUAAUAGAAGAAAUAAAGAGAAAAAAAGAAGUAAGAUUAGGGUAAGAAUUAUUUUUCCCUUUCUUACAAAUAUUUCUUAAUAUUGCAAAUAGAUUUAUUUGAGGUGUUCAUUGAUGUGGAUUCUUUAGAUAGUUUAAGUACACUUAGAAGUAAUUAUUGGUAUUAGGUGAUUGAAUUUUAUAUUUGGGAAUUAAAAUACUUUUAUCAAAGAUAAAGGAUGAUUUUGAUAUUUUUUAAAAAUAAUUAAAUAAAAACAUACUUUUCGCAUUGCUGGUAUAAAAACCAAAUUUAGAUGGAGUUGAUUUAAAAGUUUUACUCAAAUAUUUUAAAAAAUUACGUUUAACGAUUGUUUUAAAAGUGUUUUCUCUCCUAAAUAACAAUAAAAGAGUGCGUCUAAUAGUAAUUUUAGAAAAUGUUUUUAAUUUUCCUAAUACUUAAAAUUUUUUGUCUUUUAAGAAUUAAAGGUGUUAUAAACACUUUCUAAAAUAAUUUCCAAAUAUACAGUUGGUUAGAUAAUGAUUUUAGGAAUCACUUCUAACUUAAAAAGUGUUUUUGAAAAAAAAAAUUAGGUAUUUGAUAAAAUUAGAGAAACACUUUUAAAAAUUCAAAAGAUCACUUGUAGUUUUGAAAAAUUACUUAUAAUGUUUUUUGGAUAAACAUUUGAUAAGUGAUUCUGUUAAAAAUAUUUUCAGAGAUCAUAAUUCGAUUUGUUUGACAGUAAUUUUAGGAAAUGUUUUUAACUUUUUUAAUAUUUGAAAGAUAAAAUAUUUUCAUGUUAGAAAUACUAAAAACACUUCUUAGAAUCACUACCGAACACACUAUUCCAUUAAAAAUACUUUAAGUAGAAUUACUAUCAAAUGUACUUUAAAAGUCCGUUUAGUAAUGAUUAUAGGAAGAGUUAUUAAGCCUAAAAAGUGUUUUAAAAAAAAUCAAGUGUUUAAUAAAAUUUAGGAAACACUUUUAAAAUUUUGAAAAAUUACUUGCACUAUUGAAAAAUAUCUUGUAAUGUUUUAUAAAGAAACACUUGAUAAACAAUUCUUUUAAAAUCAUUUUCACUAAAAAUAGUUCAAGUAAAAACACUAUCAAACACACUCUAAGAGUGUGUUUGACAGUUUUUCUACUCAAAAUGUUGUUCAUGAUUUUUUUUUUAAGGAAAAUUACAUAUUAAGUGUUUUCUUAGAAAAUACUAUAAAUAAUUUUUCAACAUUAAAAAUGAUUUUUUAAAAUUUUAAAAAUAUUUCCUAAAUUUUGUCAAAUACCUAAUUUUUUUUUUCAAAAACAUAUUUUAGGCUAAAAGUGUUUCUUAGAAUCAAUGACAAACGAACUCUAAGUACUUCUUUAUGAAGUAUUAUAAAUGAUUAUUAUUAUUAUUUUUUUAACUUUUAAAAAUGUUUUUGAAAUUUUAUCAAACCCCUUAUUUUUCAUCAAAAACGUUUUAAUACUAAAAUUAUUUUCUAAAAACACUGCCAAAUAGACUCUAAAUAGGUAACAAAAGAUUUUUAUUAAUUACUAAAUUUUGAAGUUAAUCUAAAUAGCAAAUAUAUGGUAUACACCUAAAAGAGCCAAAUGAUAACAAUCAAACUAAUAGCAAAUAAAAUAAAAGAAAAAAUAGUAAGAGAAAUGCAUGAUAAAAAGGUUAAAACAAAAUAGAAUUGAUUCACUAUCACACUUUGUACAUAUAUUAUAUUUAUAUUUAUAUUUCUAUACAUAAAACCAUAAUAUUCAUAAGAAUUCUAGAGAAUAAUAUACAACAAAAAUGGGAAUAGGUAAUGUUUUUUGUUUUUUGUUUUAAAACUUUUCAUCUUUCUAAAUGCCUAUUCCUAAGAGUUUGAUAUUGAUUUUGAUUGAUAUUCCAUCUUUUCAUUUUGAUUUUGAUUAUGAUUUUAAGAAAUACAUGAUAAAAAGGUUACAACAAAAUAGUAUUGAUUCAUUAUCACACUUUGUACAUGUAUUCUAUUUAUCUUUAUAUAUAUAUAUAUAUAUAAUAUUAUAGAGAAUUCUAGAGAAUAAUAUAUAUAUAAAAAUAACAAUAAGUAAUGUUUUUUUUUUGUUUUUUUUAAACCAAGGAAUUGACUUUCCGUCUUUUUAAACGUGCAUUCCUAAGAGUUCGAUACUGAUUUGGAUUGAUAUUUCAUCUUUUCAUUUUGAUGUUGACUGUGAUUUUCAAUACUCCCUCGUGCCUCUUAAAUUGACAUGUAUCUAAGUUGAAAAAUCAAUGAUAAAAUGGUGUAAUGAUUAAAAAAUAUCGUGAAGUUGUUAGCUAAUUACUUAGUGCAAGAAAGUUAAACGGUUUAAAUAAGUCCCUAUCAAAUCUUUUUAAGAAGGAGAUGACAAUUGAUAUUGAUGUGUUUGGGGUGCGUAUGAAAAAUAGUAUUAGUAGCGAUAUGGAGAGCUACUUUAUUUUCAUUCAAAAAAAAAAAAAAAAGUCGUAUGCUUCAUAUUAGAGACACCAAGAUGAGUAAGCAAAAAAUUUAACCAAUCGAUUUCACAAGCGUGACCAUUAUUUGAUAUUUGGUUUAAGUCAUAGAAUAUGAAAUAGUAAAUUGCUUCCUUGAUUUGCAUGAAAUUGGUGAAUCCCCAAGAAAAACACAAUAUCUUGUAAUGUAACAACAUGAAUUUGGAUAACCAACCCAAUUAGAUCAUUUUAAGCAUUUUACUCUAUUGGUAGAUGAAGAGAGAAGAAUUCCUUGCCCAAGACAACCUAUGAAAUAAUGAAACACGAUUUACUCUAGUUAAGUGAGGUUGUUAUGGCUUAUUUGACAAUUAGGUUAUCAAUUAGCCGAAUAGUUGUGAGAUAGAAUAAUUUGCCAAUUAUUUUCCAAGAUGAUGUUCCAUAAGGGUAAAGAAAGGCUUGGAAGCAUCCAAAGCAAAAAGGCCAAAUUCUUCGACAAUUUAGCACGAAAAAAUGCUUCGUGGCAUGGAUUGCAUCAAUAUUAUUAGCUUCAACAAUAAUGUCAUCAACAUAUACAAGAAUUGCAAUGAAGGAUCCUUUGUAAUCUUAGUAAAUAAUGAAUAACAAGCCUUUUAUUACUUGUAAGUUGUAACCAAUAUCUAGUCAUUUUGAUGAUGAUUUAGCAAAUCAUUGACUAGAAGCUUACUUAGAGAAGCCAAGAGGCAGCAGCAUAUAAACUUCUUCAUCAAGGUUCCCAUGGAGAAAAGCAUUACUCAUGUCUUGGUGGGGAUGCCAAUUUUUAAUGACCGCAAGAGCAAGUAAGCAACACAUUGAUACAAGUUUGACAAAAGGUGCAAAGUCUCUUGCUAGCCUAAAUCCUCCUACAAAUCUUAAUACUUCCCAUCAGGUUUAUAUUUCACCAAGUAAACCUUUUUGCAUGCAAUUACCUCUUUUUCCAUUUUUAGAUUCUAGAAUUGGACAAAUUUUAGCCAAAAAUGAUGUUCCAAGGUUUAAAAUGUCGGAUAUUUUGUCGAAUUUUCGACUAUUUUAUCUCUGUGUCACGGAUCUUUUAGGUUAUGUUUGAUUCCCAGAAAGUAUAAAAAAAAAUGCAAAAGAAAAUGAUUUUCUCAUGUUUGGUUUCACUAUAAAAUUUUAAAAAAUAAAUUAAAUAUAAUUAAAAUUAGUUAGAAAUUUAUACAUUUUAAAAUUAUUUAAUCUUUAUAUAAUAGAAGAAAUUAAGUGAAACGAGUUUGAAGAAAUAUAUAAAGAUAUUUUUUAAAAUUUUAAAUCUAUUUUUUAUUUUUUUUCAUUUUUUCUUUCCUUCCACUUUUCCUCUUUAUUUUCUUUCCCUCACAUUUUCCCUCAAAUUUUUUCGGGAUAUGUUUGAUUCCCGAAAAAUACUAAGACAAGAAAAAAAAUGUAAAGGAAAAUGAUUUUUUCAUAUUUGGUUGUCCUAUGAAAAAUAUCAAAGAAAAUCAAAUAUAAUUAAAACUAAUUAAAAACUUACAUAUUUUUAAAUUAUUUAAUCUUUAUAUUAAUGAGUUUAAAUAAAUAAAAUGAGUUUGAAGUAACAAAAAAAAUAAUUUAUCAAUUUUUAAUCUAUUUUUUUAUUUUCCUUCACUUUUUCGUUCCUUCUACUUUUUCUUUUUAUUUUCUUUCCCUUACAUUUUCUUUCAAAUUUUCUAGGAACCAAACAUAUAUAAAGUUUGAUUUUCAAAAUUUUGGAUUAGGGCCUUGGCUGUAUAGCCCAAGUGCGCUCCCAGUACACUUUCCUUUUAAAGCCCGACCCAACUCGCUAUACCCCACCCAAAGUGUGGUUGCAGGGCUAAAUAUUGGUUUUAAGUGUUGUGCUUGUGCACCGAUGUGGGAUUGAAUUUCUAAGGGUGAAAUGAAAAAUAACUUGGUUUUUAUAGAGGGAUAGGAUUAAACCAAGAUCUCAUGUGUAAAAGGGAAGGGUUGUACCACCAGGCCAAUUGUAACAAAUUGGACACACUCUAUACAUAUAUAUUCAAAUUAUGAAAUGUAUAUAUCCUAUAUUUAUUUAUAUUAUAAAUUAUAUAUGCAUCAAUUAACAUAUAUUAUAAAUUAAUUUUAAUUAUCAUGUAUUUUGUAUAAUAAUAAAAUAUAUAAUAAAUCUAAAUUUAUAAAUAAAAUUAUUAACAUUUUAAAUUAAAAAAAUACUUAUAUAUAUAUAUAUAUAUAUCAUCUUUCUCAAUAUUUUCUUGAGCGGGAAUUGAUCAAUAUUUUGUAUUAGAAUAUCUUAAUAUAUGUGUAAAAUUAUGUUAUCAAUAUAUUUAUAAAAAUUGAUAUUUUCAUCCUCGGAUGUUAAUGUAUGAUAAAUGAUUACAAAUAGAGUAUGAAACACUUACAAAUGGAGAGGAAGAUGUUAGAGAUGAUAAAUCACAUGAGACUAAGGUGUGAUGAUAAUCUUGGAGGUUGUCCAAUUGUAGGUGGCCUAAUAGAUCAAGUAAGGAUUAAAGAUGUAGUCAUGCAACAACCAAAGCACACUAUCUUAGAAUAUUGUGGGGUCUUGACACAACAUUUUUGUUAAAACAAUAGAGAAAAGUGAAUAAAGGAAAGGUUUAGGAAUUAUUUGUAUGUUUGACUCUUGCUUAGAGUAGUCUAUUUUUGAAACUCAUUAAACUUUUUAAGACAAUUUUGUCUUAACUAAACAAAGUUAUUUUUUUCUUUUUCUUUUAUCUUAAUAAAAAAAGUCACUUCUUUCUCUUUUUAACCUUUCACUUAUUUUUUUUUUUAAUUUUAAAAAAUAGGUUUUGUUUUAUUCAUUUUCCCCCUCUUAUUUCUUAAAAUCUUCUCCCGAAUUGUUUCUAAAAAUUGAAAUCAACAACAUAAAAAUCACUUAAUUCUGAUGAGAAAUUAAUAUAAAACAAAUCCACAGAAUCUCAAAACUAAGGGUUUGUUUGGUUCCUAUUUUCAAGAACUGAUUUUUGUUUUUGAAAACAAAAAACACAUAAAACUUGUUUGGGGAAAUGAGUGUGUUUUUAUUUUUUUUUGUGUUUUCCGUGUUCUCAAAAACCACUUUUUUAAGAACAAUAAAAAAAUAUUUUCAUUAUUUUUUCACUAUUCAAAGAAUAAAUUAUUUUUCGUGUUUUUCCUUAAUUCUUUUUAUGUUUUCGUAGCUGCUUUUUAUGUUUCCACAAAGAUGAGCUCCACCCAACUACCACACCCCCAUCCACAAACCCUUUCUUCUUCCUUAAAUUAUUGAAAUUAAUAUACUUAUAAAUAGUUACAAAAUCAUCAUUUGUUUAAAAAAAUUAUAACUUAUGUAAAAAUUUUAAAAUGGAAUAAUUUUUUUAAUUUAAAUAAGUUGUGCAUAUAAAAAUUAUUUAUAUAUUUAUAAUAUCAAGUUAAUGGAAGAAAACACUUUAUUAAUUAAAAAAAUAACUUUUAAAUAUAUUUUUUAUUUUAUUUAUUCUAAAAAACUUUUUUAUUAACUCAACCAAACAUUUUUUUAUAUUUUUGAGAAUAAAAACUGUUUUACAAAAUUCAGUUCCCAAAUACAAUUUUUUUUUUUUUAAAACACAAAAACCUGUUUUUAAAAACUAUUCUCAAAAACUGUUUCUAGAACAGUUUUCAAGGGCAGCAAUCAAACAGGCCUAAAACUUAAAUUUUGCUACAUAAUUUUUUUUUCUAUGCUUCAUAACUCAUCAAAUUUUUAAUAAAAUUAAAUGCCAUAACUUUUCGUAAAUUCCUCUUUCAAAAAUGAAAAUAAACAACAUUAAAAAAACAUAAAUUUACUACAAUUAUAGCAAAACUAAAGAAACUAGCCAUCAUCAAUAUCCAUUGUUUUUUUUUUUUUUAAUUAGAACUGUAAAGCAUAAUUCACACGUUCAUAAAUAUCUACUAAAAUCAACCAUUCUAAUUAAUUUUGAAAAAUAAAAAAAUUAAUAUUUAAUACUCUUUCUCAAAUUAAGAAUCCCAAAAUUAAGGAAUGUUUCCACUUUCCACAAUGAAAUACAUAUUUUAAUAACAAAUUCAUAAAUUCAAAGGAGCAUAAUUAUAACACUUUCCACAAGCAUUUACUUAGAAAAUUUCUAACAUUUUUUUAACAAAGGAGCAUAAUUAUAAAUCCUAUUUAUCAUCCAACUACCGGUACCCAACUAAUUAUGUAAGUAAUCAUCGAGGAAAAAUGUAUUUUACUUUUCAAUUAGAAAUCAAUCCCAAAGGAGUUCGCUAUUCUAUGUGUGAUACCUCAUAGUUUAAAUGAAUGUUUUUCUCAAUAUCAGCUAAUUCCCAAUGAUUAACAAUAGAAAACACUAUGAAGGACCACCCUCAAACUCUGCCCAUAUCACUGCCAAAAGCAAUCAGAUCAAAAUCAAUGUCCUACAAGCUCCAAUAUGUGACAGUUAGAAACCCCAUCCAUGGCUUCCAAUCCGAGGAGCUGACUACACCCGCCAUGGCGAGCCUCAAGUAAUCCAAGGAUUUCCAAUGAAAAGAAUCGAACCCGAGACCAUGUGCCUCUACCACACAUCUUGACACCCAGGCCAUGCCUAGAGCGAUGUUGGAAGGUCAUUAUUGUCAUAAACUUGAACUAAUGAGGAGAAGAUUGCUACAAUGGCUCAAGUAGUAGUCGACUUCAUUCAGUACCAUGAGCCAACCAGCAGCUCAUGAGAAUUGUCACACGAUCAGAAUCAUAUGGGAUUAUCUGAACAGCUAGAAAACUUGUUAUUCAAUAGAAUUUUACACCAUUCCUCCUACAGAACUUAUGGGGAUUAUUAGAAUCAUGGGAUCAUCUAAACAGCUAGAAAACCUGCUAUUCAAUAGAUAUUUUACAUCACCACUCUUACAUCUCUUAUGGGGGUUAUUAGAAUCACGGGAUUAUUUGAACAGCUAGAAAACCUGCUAUUCAAUAGAUAUUUUACACCAUCCCUCUUACAUAUCUUGUGGGGAUUAUUAUUGAGAUCGACUUCAAACCAGUAUACCUAGUACUUGCCAUAUUUCUAAAACUGUUAUUAUAUCUCAUGAUAUCCAACUUGAGCCGAAAGUAUUUUGUAAUGGUCACUGAAAAACAUAUGGCUUCAAUUAACUACAUCUUGAAAUGAGGAUCAGGUAUUCAAAGUAUCUCAGAACAAUAAUGGUGUCACCCCCUAUCAGGUUAAGACCAGAGAUGCUCAACCAAAAACUUGGAAGAACUAAGUUGCAGUAGCAGGAAAAAGACAAAAAAACGUCAUUUGCAUACUUAUAAAGCCUACGUCUUUAUUUACUUGAAAGUUUUACAGCAAAAUUACAAAGUAGUUAGCUUCAUCUCUGAUCCUAUAUUUUAUGAUUCUUCUAAAUACACAAACUCGAAUACAAGUUUGAAACAAAGUAAAUUGACAUAUACACACAUUAUAACAGCCUCUACAUUGAUCACAAUUCUUGACUCCACACAUCAUAAUUAUAUUUAAAAAUUUACUACACUAUUGAAACAUGUUUGGCAUGCUAACUACUGAUAGGUACAAGUUUACAUAUCAAAGAAUAUUUCAUGCUAAAGAGGAAAGACAGAAAAUUUCUUUUGAUAAACUAAAAUGGCAAAAUGUGAUUCAGGUUUCCAACUAAAGAUGAUUUAUGAAGUAAUGGUUGCAGAAGUCCAAGAAAACACUAUAGGGAAAGCAUGAUUUAUGUUUCCAACUCCAAUUAUUGGGAAUAAGACGUUUCAUGACAACGCUCCUGAUUCAGACUCUGCUACUAGUAGUUGUUUGUUCACUCACAAAAUGAAGAACGGUGGAAGGGUUUAACGAAUGGGAAAAUUCUGCAACAAGUUCACCUUCAGGUACUCGCUGUUUAUAGUUCAAUUAUUUUAGCUCCUAGAUCAAAGUUUUAUCUCAAAUGCAUCUUUCAAAAGCUCUUAGCCUUUAUUCAAUUUGUCAUCAACAUAAAAUUCAUAUAUGCAACAAACCAAACAGAGCAUGUCAAGUGUAAAAUCUCUAAGGAGUUCUUCAUUGUUGUAAGUUGCAAGUCAUCAAACAGAUAAACGGAUACAAGAUCAAUACAAGCACAAAACUUAUCAAAGGAACAAAUAAAACCCAACUCAAUGGCUGACUAUUUUAGGCCAAGACAAAAAAAUACAGUGUCAUCAUGAAACAUACAAAAUGCCACGCCGAUACAACAAAAGGCUUGCUGAAGUAAAAAUCGCCCAAACAAAGACAACCCACCAAGCCAAUAACAAAGCAACCUCUUUAAAAGAAGCAGAGCAAGGCAGUAAACUACUUAUGAACUGGAAAUUUUCAAAUAAGUUACUCUCAACCUGAGACAAGCCAAGAAAGAGAAGUACCAGUGCUGGCGGUGCAAAAAACUGCAAAACUACAAGGCAAAAGUAGUGAUUGUGCAGAAACACCUUUGCCCUGCUAAAAUCCAAGUCCGGAACCUUGCUAGAGUGCAAUCGCUGGUACCACGACAACACUGCUUCAUUCAAAUACAUUUGCAAGUUCGGGCGCAAAGCCACAACUUGCAAAAUCCCCGAAAGCAACAAACACCAAACUCUAAGCUUCUCAAAAUCUGAUUGGGAUAUACCCAAAUUCUCAACCAAUUUGUCAGCAUUCCCGAUUGCUUCUUUAGUAUCACUAUUGUUUACAUUGACAAGGACUGCUGUCAUUGGUUUAAUCCAGAGCAAUGCUGUGAACACAAUUAACAGAUAAUUAACAUAAAGGAUCACUCUAGCAAUCCAGCCACAUGAAAUUAUUGACAAAUUCCAUCGAAGCUGAUCAGUUCCAAUCCAAAAUGCCCGAGCACACUUGGUUGCAGGCAUAAACAAGAAACCCGAAAAGCAGCCCAUCAAAAGAGCAACAGAAAUCCUCCCAAACCCAUCAAUUGAUCCAAAUUUAACAUCAAAAACUGAGGGAGCCAAUUCACAACAAAUAAUAAACCCUAACAAAAACCCCAAAAACCCCAUACCAACACUCAAUUGCUUCUCAGACCUCUUCGACGCCGAUUUCUCGAACGAUACCUUUGCGAGAAUCACAAACACUUUACCCACACCCACAACCCCCAAAAGCACCGGAACCAAAACCUCAUUUCCCAAAACCCCAGAAUCCUUCGAAACACUUAAAAAAAUCUUAAGCAAUAAACACAAAACCCCAACAAGAGAGAGCCUAAAAGCAUCACAAUACUCUUUGAAAUAGAUUCGCGUUUCGAGAUGACCCUCGUCCAGCUUCAACCUGAAGAUCUGAGCAUUGUUUUCAUCGAAUUCGUACUUCUCUUUGGAUUUGCCCCUCUUUUUGAGCUCAAAACUUGAAGAAUCCGAAUCGGGUCUUCGAAUAGCUGCUUUGAUACCCUUGGAGUUGUCAACAGCAUCCGGGUGAAUAUAAGUGAAGAGCCCAUGAAGAAAAAAGAUUGGGAUUUUGAGCAAUUUGAGAAUGAGGGUGAGUGUUAGACAGAGUGAUGUGUAUAAGAUCAGAUUUUUGUAAGAAGUUGCCAUCUUUUUUUGAGGGUUUGAAGACAAGAGGAAAACAGAUCUCUAAGGCUUGGGAUGCGCCAUGGAGGCGGCUGAUACGGACAGAGAGAAAAGCUUGGGUAGCGUUCUAUUCAAGAAGGCCAUAUAUUCGCGCUGUAAGUCUACCUAUAUCAAACCUGGGCUCUAAUAGUUUUUGAAAAUCAUUGCACGAUGUUUUUUGUGUUGUGGAACAAAAGUUUUUAAUACUUUUAAAUAUAUUUUUAAAAUAAUUUUCAUAUAUAUAUAAUUAUUUUAAUAAAAAUAUUUAAAAGAUAAUCCACUUCAUUUGUAACUUGAAUAAUUAUUUUCAUAUAGUCAUAAAAAGAAUCCAUUAAUUACGAGAUGAAAUAGAUAUACAAUUCUUUUUUUUUUUUUUUUUUUUCAUAUAACUUCAUUUCAAUAAAGAAAUAUUUUAUAAAUUUGGGUAAACUAUAAAACUUGAUUAUAUAUAUUUUAAAAUUGGACAUAAAUAGAAAAAUUAUUUUUGACUUUUACCCAAAUAUAUUCACAUUAAGAAACAAAAUUAAAAUAUUUAAAAGAGAGAGGUGUGGAAGACUUAUUAGUAUAAUUGUCUAUAUGAUUUAUUUAGUAAUUUACUAAUAUAUUAAUGUAGCUGCAAUUAUUUACUUGAUAUAAAUAGUUUUAACUACAAAGAAUUAAAUGACAAAAAAAAAAACUUAAAAAAAAUGAAAGGGAAAAAAGUAUCCUAUUUACUAGAUGUGUAAUAACAUGAAAGGAGACAAAUAAUUUUACUAAUAAUUACAUGCUUAAAAUAGACAUAACUAUCAUUGUCAAAUAAUGAUAAAUGGAGUAAAUUAAUAAUUCUUUGGUUAAAUGAAAUGUAUCAUUAAAUGAAACAACUAUUAGCGCAUUUUGAUAAUGAUAGGUCUUGUGGUGAAAAUAAUAUAGAAAAAUCAUAAUUUUGUGUACAUUGAUCUUACAAAGUUAAAAUCAUAAUUUUAACCUAGAAGAGAAAACAUGAAAAUAAUAUAGAAAAAUAGUUGACAUUCGACUGAUACUUGGAAAUUAAAUUGCAAGACUAAAUGCAAUUUAACUUUGUGUACUCACAAAUUUCUCUUUUAGAAAUAUUAUUUGUGGUCAAAUUAGAUUUUUAUUGAUUUGAAAAAUGACAUGAGUACAAUCUCUAUUUUGCCUUCUAAUUCUUGUUUUUCGUAGUUAUUAAUAAAGUGUUUCAAAGAAAUUUGAUUUUGAAUAGCUUGAAUUUAAUUUAGGACUUGACUUUGUUUGGUUAUGAGUGUUGACUUGAAUCUUGUAUUGUCUUAAGUCUUGAAGUGAUUUGAAACUUAGUUUAACUUGGACCUUAACUUGAUGUGGGUGUUACUAUCACUUAAACCUUGGUAUGACUUGAGACUUGAUUUAACUUAGACUUUAGUAUGUCUUGAGUUUUUGCUUGAUUUAGGUCUUAUUGUGACUUGAGCUUUGUUUUGAUUUAAACAAUGUUGAGUGAGAGGUUGAGCAACUUGAUCUUAGAUCAAAGAGGUCAUUUGUAGAUUUUGAUCUUAAAACUUAAACAUAAGGCUUUGAAGAUCUUAUAAAUUUGAAAAUAUUUUAAAGAAAUUGAAGAUUCAUUGAAGUUUCAUUUGAAGAUUUGGAAAAACUUUGGAUUUCCUUUCAAUAACUCUUCCCCAACUUUCGUUUUCUAAUUUGUGUCUUGAAAGUUUUGAUAUAAGUUCUAUUUGUAGAGAUUGAAAACACUACAUUUGAAUGGUUUUAUGAUUUCUUAAAAAUAUUAUUCUUUUAAUUUCUUUAAUCCAAUUUUUUCCCAGACUAUUUUUUAGGUUUUUUUUUAGAAGAUUCUUAUGAACAUGCCCUAACUUUUAUUUAAGUUAUCCUUUUAAGUUUUCAACUUAGCAGACUCUUUCUAUACUAACUUUUGUAAAAACUACUUUUUUUUUUUUUGGAUUUUUUUAAUCUUGUGAGCAUAUCUUAACUUUUGUCUUAGUUGUCUUUUUAAGUUAUCAACUUAGCAUACAUUUUUUUUGUACCAUACACAUUUGAAUUCAUGUAGCCUAGAAAGCAAUUUAGAGGUGCAUCACUUAUUUUGAUUUUGAUCUUAGAGUGGUAAAUGCUUGUUCUUGGAAACUUGUUAAUUAAAGGCUAAAGAUGACUUAUUCUUCACCAAACUUGUAUAUAACAUUCUUCGAUUGUUUUGUAUAAUGGAAAAAAAUCCUUUGAAUUUAUCCUUGAUCUUCACUCUUGAAAGUGGAUGAAUGACAUUUUUUUUGUCAUGUUUGAUAUUCUUCUAUGGGCUUGUUGAAGAAUGUUUAAAGUUUGAUAUUAACUUUUGUAACUUCAUUUUUCUAUUAGGCUUUAGAGUCACAUCUUCUUCUUAUCAUGUUGAAAAAAGACACUUAUGUUCAAAAGAAAAUCUAGAUAAUUUAAUUUACAAUAUCUAAAUUUGACUUCUUUAGUUCAAGGAAUUUGUUUCUUUGAUUUAAAAAUUGAUUUUCUUAAUUUAAGGAAUUUAUCUCCUUAAUUUAAGAAAUUUCCUAAGAAUUUUUUUAAUUAAUUUUUUUUAUCACUAUAGUUUAAGCUCAUGAAAGCAAAAAGUAAGUGUUUUUAAGGAGCAUUAUAACUUUUCACCAUUAAGUUAUAUUAGAUAGUUCAAGUAUAUUCAUAGGUCUUAUGUUAUUAGUAUUAGAGAAUUCAUUAUAAUAGAUUUUCUUUCUAUUUUCAAAUUCUUGUGAUUAGUUGUAACUUCCUAUUUUCUAUUGUAAUUCUCUAAUUCUAGGAUUGUUUUCUAUUUUUGUUGUAAUUCCCUAAUUCUAGGUUUGUUUCCUAUUUUUGUGUUUUGGGUAAAUUGUUUCCUAUUUUUGUGUUUUAGGUUUGUGUGUGUGUAUAUAUAUAUAUAUAUUCAUUCUUAAUCAAUGAAAAAGUCAAGCCAUUGUUUCUCAAUAAUUCUCUCUCUACUUCAACAUGGUAUCAAGAGCCUAAUCUUCUUGGGCAUAUAUAUUUUUUUUUCCCUUCUCCUCAAUGGCUUCUAGUGCAUCCUUCUCUUCCACUAACGAUCCUAUCACCAUCCAAAACUUCCAAGAUCCUCAAUAUCCCCUCCUUACAAUUAAUCUCUCCAAUAUCAUCAAAUUGUCAUCCACCAAUUAUCUCACAUGGAGCCUUCAUAUCCAAUCUCUUCUUGAAAGUUAUGAUCUUCAUCACUUCAUUGAUGAUGCUCAUACUCCACCACCACCCAUCAUAACCGUCAUUGGUGUUGCAUCCCCAAAUUCGGCGUAUACAACCUGGAAGCGUCAGGACCGUCUCAUCUUUAACGCUCUCCUUGGUGCUAUCUUUGUUUCACUACAACCGCUUAUUGCCCACACCACCACUGCCCUUGAUGCAUGGCAAACCUUAGCCAAUACCUAUGCCAAACCAUCUCGUGGCCAUAUUAAACAAUUGAAGGAACACUUAAAGCGGUGUACCAAGGGCUCAAAAUCAAUUAGUGAAUAUAUGCAGACAAUAAAAACUCGUGCUGAUGAACUUGCCAUUUUGGAGAAGCCAAUUGAUGAUGAGGAUCUUAUUGAUUGGGUUCUUGAAGGACUAAGUGAUGAGUACAAAUCUGUCAUUGAUGCAAUUAAUGCCUAUGACACGUCAAUUUCUUUUCCUGAGCUCCAUGAGAAACUUCUCAACAAAAAAGCAUCUCUUCAGACUGCUCAACCAUCUCCUCUAUCACUACCAUCAACGAAAAAUCCUACAACCUUCCGACAUCGUCCAAAUUGGUGUCCAUCAGCCACCACUCCAUAACAACCAGGGCUUACCAUUGCGUUUUCUUCUCAUGAUCAACGCCAACUCAAACCUUAUUUGGGUCGUUGUCAAGCAUGCGGUAUUCAAGGACACAUUGCCAAGGGAUGCCCAAUGUUUCGGCUUGUCACUAAUCAACAAUCCCCAACACCUCGUCCUCAAGACACCCAAGGAUACCGCCCCUCCACACCCUAGAAACCACGAGCCAAUCAUGUUGUUCUCGGCAACAACACUACUCCUACUUAACUGCUGGAUAGUGGAGCAUCUCACCACGUUACGUCUGACUUGAGCAAUCUCUCUCUUCAUAGCCUGUAUUAAGGAUAUGAUGAUAUCAUGAUCGGCGAUGGAUCGACCCAUUCCAUCACACAUACCGGUUCUACCACCAUACCUACUUCUUCUCGCACCUUUACUUUACAAAACGUCAUUUGUGUCCUUUCCAUGCAAAAGAACUUAAUUUCAAUUUAUCAAUUUUGCACUAAUAACCAUGUUUCUAUUGAAUUCUCACCCUCUGCUUUUCAGGUGAAGGAUCUACACACGAGGGCAAUCUUUUUGAUGGGUGAACCUAAGGAUGGUGUAUAUGAGUGGCCGACUACAUUCCCUUUUGUUACCUCUUCACCAUUGCUUGUUUUUUCCAGUGUUAAGACCACUUUGUCCAAGUGACACUCUAGACUAGGUUAUCCACAAUUUACUAUUAUGAAAAAUAUUGUCUCUAAGUUUUCUUUACCAUUGUCUAGUCCGUUAUCCUCUUUUACCCAUUGUAAUGCCUGUUCAUGUAAUAAAAGUCAUAAAAAUCCAUUUUCUUCUUCUACCUUAACCUCAUCCCAUCCACUUGAACUUCUAUUUUCUAAUGUAUGGACCUCUCAUGUUUCUUUUGUUGAUGGUUUUCAGUACUAUGUUAUUUUUUUUUUUAUCAUUAUACACGGUAUAUUUGGUAUUAUCCCCUAAAACGGAAAUCUCAUGUGUAUGAUGUCUUUGUGCGCUUCAAGGCAUUAGUCGAAAACCAAUUAAAACACCGAAUUGUUACCCUCUAUUCAGAUAAUGGUGGUGAAUAUCAAGCCCUUGAUAAUUUUCUCUCCACCAAUGGUAUAUCUCAUCUUACUACACCACCACAUACACCUGAACACAAUGGUAUUUCCGAACGACGUCAUCACCAUAUUGUUGAAACCGAUCUAUCUCUUCUCACUCAUGCAUCGAUGCCUCUAACUUUUUGGACUUACGCCUUUGCCACUGCAGUAUAUCUCAUCAACCGUAUGCCCACACCCAUACUACAUCUCUCAUCUCCUUUUGACAAACUCUUUGAGUUUCCAUCCAACUACACUAAACUUCGGGUGUUCAGUUGCUUAAGUUAUCCGUGGCUUCGUCUUUAUUCUCAACAUAAACUUGACUCUCGUUCCACUCCUUGUGUUUUUCUUUGUUACUCUUCAACAAAAAGUGCCUAUAUAUGUCUUGAUCUGUCCACUUCUAAAACUUAUAUUUCUCGUCGUGACAAAUUUCUUGAAAACACUUUUCCCUUUACCACUCAUCAAUCCCAUCUAGCUCAUUCCAUCCCAGAGCUCACUUCCAACUGGCUUUCACCGGUCCAAACUCUAACCAUUUCAAAUGGCUUACUCAAUACGCCUCCACAAAGGGAUUCCUUGUGUCAACAUCCGUCCCAAAAUGCCCAACCAGUCGACCGCCCCUCCUCACCAAUCGACCAUUUACCAUCAGAACCACAUAAUUCUGAGACCUCUUCCGCUUCAACCACACCUCCAUCCACCCAUCAAAAUACCCAUCCCAUGACCACUAGAGCCAAAAACAACAUCCAAACCCCUAACCAAGAUGAAUCUCACUGUUGUCCUUUCUCGACCAUCAAACAUUGAGCCUCAUACUGUUAGCCAAACCUUAAUCGAUCCCAAAUUGAGACAAGCCAUGAAUGAUGGAUUUGAUGCUCUUGUUCGGAAUGGAACUUGGGAGCUUGUUCCAUCUACUUCUAUGUAGAAUCUUGUUGGAUGUAAGUGGGCUUUUCGUGUUAAACGGCUUCCUGAUGUCUCUAUUGAUAGGUACAAAGCCAAAUUAGUUGCCAAAGGUUUUCAUUAGCGACCUAAUGUGGAUUAUCAUGACACCUUUAGUCCGGUUGUCAAGCCAACAACAAUACGACUUGUUCUAAGUCUGGCAGUCAGUAAAGGUUAGCAAUUGCGACAAUUGAAUGUUAAUAAUGCCUUUCUUCAAGGCCAUCUUUCUGAAGAUGUCUACAUGACCCAGUCUCCGGGAUUUGUUGAUAGAGAUAAUCCAACACAUGUAUGCAAAUUAAAGAAGGCUAUAUAUGGACUCAAGCAGGCCCCACGGGCUUGGUAUCUUGAACUUCACCAAUCCCUCAUUGAGUCUGGGUUCACAAACUCUCAUGCAAACACUUCUAUAUUCAUUCUCCACUCAGGUGACAUUACUAUGUAUCUACUUGUUUAUGUGAAUGACAUUAUUAUCACAGGUACUACCAACACCAAUAUUAUUCAGCGCUGCAUUGACCUCCUGACACAAAGAUUUUCAAUAAAGGAUCUUGGCGUCUUGUCUUACUUUCUCGGCAUUGAGGUUCUUACCACCCCAUCUGGUGUGUUGCUUACUCAAAGGCGCUACAUCUCUAAUCUUCUUGCCUCGACAAAAAUGUCUGGUGCAAAACCUGUUGCCACACCACUUGUUACAGAUGGAAAUCUCAUACUUCAUUCAGGUAUAGUUAUGACUAACUACAUAUAAUAUAGAACCCUUGUUGGUAGUCUAUAGUAUCUUUGCCUCACUCGCCCAGAUAUAACAUAUGCUGUUAAUAAGCUAUCCUAAUUCAUGCAUUGCCCGACGUCUGAACAUUGGAAUGCUGUAAAACGACUGCUUCGAUAUCUGUGUGGGACAUUGACUCAUGGAUUAUUUCUUCAUAAGGCAAAUACACUUUCUCUUCAUGCCUUCUCAAAUGCAGAUUGGGCUAACAACAAAGACGACUAUACCUUUAUGAGUGCCUAUAUUGUUUAUCUUGGUCGUCAUCAACUUUCUUGGUCAUCCAAUAAAUAACGUAUAGUUGCUCGAUCAUCCACAAAGGCUGAGUAUCGAUCAGUUGCCGCUACUACUUCAGAAAUCAAUUGGAUUUGUUCCAUUCUCAUAGAGCUUAGCGUCACUCUACCUACACUGCUUGUUAUCUAUUGUGACAAUGUUGGUGCCACCUAUCUCUGUUCUAAUCCAGUCUUUCAUUCGCACAUGAAAAAUAUGGCAAUUGAUUAUCACUUUAUUCGGGAUCAAGUUCAAUCAAGUGCUCUUCGUGUUACUCAUGUUUCCUCAACAGAUCAACUUGUCGACGCUCUUACUGAAUCUCUUCCAUGAAGCCACUUCCAAGAAUUACGGGUUAAGAUUAGCGUCUCCUCCGGAGCUCCAUCUUGAGGGGGGAUAUUAGAGAAUUUAUUACAAUAGAUUUUCUUUCUAUUUUCAAAUUCUUGUGAUUAGUUGUAACUUCCUAUUUUCUGUUGUAAUUCCCUAAUUCUAGGAUUUUUUUUCUAUUUUUAUGUUUUGGGCUAAUUCUAAGAUUGUUUCCUAUUUUUGUUGUAAUUCCCUAAUUCUAGGUUUGUUUCCUAUUUUUGUGUUUUGGGUAGAUUGUUUCCUAUUUUUGUGUUUUAGGUUUGUGUAUAUAUAUUCAUUCUUAAUCAAUGAAAAAGUCAAGCCAUUGUUUCUCAAUAAUUCUCUCUCUACUUCAACAAUUAGUUGGCUAAACAUUUUUAGUAAUGACUUGUUUGAAUGAAUAAAACUUCAAAUUGUAAGUAGCUUGUGUCCAUUCUUGCUCACUUGAAAGAGACAUUUUUUUUGGAGCAUGCAAAAUGCAGAGAUAUGAAAAUAGUUAUAGUUAAAUUUGAUGUUGCACUGUCUUCAUCCUCAUCAGUGACAUUUUUUUCCCCACUAGUGUCAUCUUCAAGUUCUUCAAUGUACAUAUUUUCACUUGUGUUAGAUUUUAUACUAAGCUUUCUAUCAUGUGUUUGUCUAGCUAAGUUUUUGGCUUGAUACUUCACAAGAUGUAAUGAGUUCCCAAUGCGUUCAUUGAGUUCAAAUUUCUAUGGAAGAACUUUCAAAUGUUUUUUAUUUUUUAUUUUUUUUGUGGCAAUUAAGACUUAAAUUCCCCCGCUUGUUGAAAUAAUCAAUUAUCAAUUCACCUUUUUGUUAUCUAGUAUUUGUGAGUUCAAACAUGCUAAUGGUAUGAGGAGUCCUAUAGAAGCAACUAAGGAACUCUUUUUCCAUUUGUUCCCAACUAUUUACGUAAUUGGCUUAGGAUUUAUGUACUAUCAAAUGCAUAUCCUUUUAAUGAGUGAACAAUUUUCUUGACUAAAAGAUCUUCUUUUAUUCGAACAUUAUUGCAUAUUUCCACAAAGUGAGCUACAUGUUGUUUUAGGUUUUCCAUCAAAAUAUUGAAAUUUUGAUGGUUGAUAACGAAUUGACAUCUACAUUAACCUCAAUUCUUCAUGUAUAUGUUUUACAUAUAUGAGAGAAAGAUGAGAUCCACCAUCCUAUGUUUCUUUUAGUGCCUUUAAUAUUAGAUAUUUUAGUUGAUUUAUGGGGAGAAACUCAUUUUAAGAGACUCAAAUAUUUUCUAUGGCAUCCUUUCUUUUAGGACAAAUUUUCAGGUUAUCUUAAGAUCCCUCUUGACAUGGAUGUGUGGCAUCAUUUCUUGGUCUUACUAUGAGUUAAAGUUUGUGAGAAGCUGCAUUGAUCUUGACAUCAUGCUUUUGAUUAGUUAAAUGCAUAAAUAUGAUAUCAUUUGUUAUCUUCUUAGUUAGGUAAAUGCAUAGUAUGCCUCAACUUAAGUUUAACCCACACGAUGUAUGCCUUUGGAGUUUCCCAUUUUUUCCCCAUUGAUUCAAUGUGUUUUUACACCACUUUGCCUCAAAGUACACCUUGAAAAUGCCUCUGAAAACUUUAUUAAAAUCAUUGUUUCCUCCCUUGUAUUACUUUUAUUUGGUGAGAUCCAAACUUGUUAGUUUGAUGAUUAUUGUUGAAAUCUACCUUUUAGUGAAAAGUUAUUGAUAAACAAUAGCCUCUAGUUUUUACUAGGGAAGAACUUGUUGUAAUUCAUUACUUUAUAAGAUUUUUGUUGAAGUAAGUUUUGUAAUUUUUCAUUUCAUAUAAGGGGUUUUCCACACAAAAUUUUGGGUUUGAUUUUUAUAUGGUUUAUUAAGUUAUUCUUCAUGAUUUACUUGUUGACUAUUGCUUGGUUUUCAUAUGCCCAUUUACAUUCACAAAGAAUGAAUAAUAAUUAACUUGUUUCCCUAUGAUAGUCCUACAAUUAGAAUUAUCUUAUUUGUGUUUUUUUUUUUUAACAAAUUGUAUUACAACUAAAAUAUGGGGUUUGAGUCGCAAGGGUAUCAAAAGAAUGCAAUACGGCGAUUCCUUGGGAAUUGGUGACUUAAAAAGAUGGUUUAGGUUAGCUAUAAGCCUCAAGAUGAGAAAAACACUAGAAUUUGUAUGUUGUGUGAUGAUUAAGCGCUAUGAUUAGUGUGAUGUUAAAUUGCAUAAAAAAGGUUCGAGUCAUAGGAACAUCACAACAUAUAUACCUUGAGGUGGGUAUUAGUAUGCCUCAAGGUAAUUAUGCCUUCAAACGCCACAAAAUGACAAGUAAUACACUGAGCUUAAAAAGCAACAACAAAUUAAGGUCAAAUUUAAGUUGUAGAAGCGUCUUAUUAAGAGAGGAAUUAAACCUCAAGAUGAUAACGAGACCCUCACUCUAUGAGCCUAGAAAUGAGAAAAUACUGGGAUAGGUGAAUUGUGGGAUGGUUAAAUCGAUCGUGAAAUAAAUAUGAUAUCAAACCAAAUAAAAGAGGUUUUGUUUAAUGUCAUUAACAACCAAUUUGCUUUUAAAUAAAAUAACUAAUGAUAAUUUGAAUCUUUGUAACAUGGUAAUGAGUUUUUCGUUGAAACCUGAAAAAAAAUAAAAUUAAACCACCAUAAAGAAUUUUGCGUCUUAAAGACCUCAAAGUUCAAUAAUAAAACAUUAUAAAUCAAUGUAAAUAGUUAUAGCAUUCGAAAAAGCUAUAAAUUAAACUACCACAAAGUAUUAUGUUCUUUAACUAUUCUAGGGUUCAAUGAUAAACAUUCUAAAUCCAUGCAAAUAUUCAUAGCAUGUAUAAUCUUUCCUGUUAAUUUUCCCCUUUUGUAAGAAGUCUAUUACAUUUUCCUUUUAAUUGACCCUUUUAUGUAAGAAGUCUAUUGUAUGGAUGAGGUUAGAAGGAAAAGUUUAAAGCACUAGCAAGCCAAUAUCCAUAUCAGCUUUUCCUUUAUGAAAGAAGUCUAUUGUUUGGAUAAUGUUAGAAGGAAAAUUUUAAAGCAUCAGUAGGCCCAUAGAACAAGCCAAUAUCUAUAUCAGCUUUUCCUUUUAAUUGUCCCUUUAUGAAAAAAGUUCAUUGUUUGGAUAGUGUUAUAAGGAAAAUUUUAAAGCAUUAAUAGGCCCAUUGGAAAUCAUAAAAGUGCAAUGGGGGCUUGGUCUAAGGAAUUUUAUUGAAUUUUGGAGCAUUGGACUGAUUCAGAUAUUUGGAUUGAUCCAGUCAAGGAGUUGGACCCCCUAGGCUCCUAGCUUUACCCUAUUAUGCAAAACUGUCACACACAAUAUCUAUAUAUAUUAAUUUUUUUUAAAUCAAAAUUUUAUUUUCUUUCAUUUUUUCUCCUCAUUUUCUUUUUUCUAUGCUUUUCCUCAAAUUUUUUAGAAAUCAAGUAUAACCUAAAAAGUCUUUGUAAAAGUGAUUUUGAAACGAGUUAAAAACCGUUCGUUGAAAAUAUUUUCUUAUAAAAAUUAAUAUUUUAUAAACUUUUAAAAAUUAGUUUUGAAAAUUUGGAGAAUUUAAUAGACUUUUCACUUAGUAAAAUAAAACAAUACUAACAAAAAUAAAAGUGUAUUUGACGAUGAUUUUAGAAAAUCUUUCUAAUUUUUUUAAUACUUAAAAAAUUAAACGUCUCUUAAAAUCACUAUCAAACGAAUUUUAAAUACAAAAAAACGCUUGAACUAAAAUUACUCGGCUUCGAUUCUUUAUUCGGAUAUGGUAAUUUGGUAAUAGAGGGCUUUUUCACUGCUACUUCUAAUAAGUGUAUUUUCUCAAAAUAAUAUAUAAUUUUUUUUAAAAAAAUUCUAUAGAAUAUACUGAUUCAAUAGAGUGAUGUUAAUCAAGCAUGAAGGGCUGAGACACCGGGUCAACUUGGGCUUACUAUGUGGGCCCCAAUCGAACACUGGGCCAGGCCAUACCCAAGCCCAAAUCCAAGAUCUUAAAGUUACAAAUAUUUUAUAGUUUGAAGUGGUCCAAUACCUAGGUAAAAUUAACUAUAAAAUAUAAUCUUAGGCCAAAAUAAUAAUAAUAAUAAAAAAAAAGCAGUUUAAUGAGACCCUCAGGUGCUCUCUAAUUGACUUCAUGCAUUUAUAGCAUGUGCCUCCUUCAAUAUUUAUUUAUUUUUUGAAUUUUGUUUGUUUUUCCACAUUCAUAUAAUAUACUAUUAUGAAACCAAAAUAUUAUAAAAUAUGUCUCCUUCAAUAAUAGUUAGUAAUGGUGAAGGAUGAGAAGAAGAAGGGCCAGAGGAUGAGUGGAGGGUUCAAUGGGAAAGGACAAAUGAGUUUACUGGUUUCAACAGUGAAUUGAAGGCCCUGAUUUUCUUAGUUUAUCUUUGAUCAUGUGGUAUGUUUCUUCCAUUGGAUCCUUCGACAUCCCACAUGAAAUAUCAACAUGCAAAUUUUGGCACUUUUAAUAUAAUGCUUUAUUUAUUUAAUUAUAUCAUAUAUAAUAAAAAGGUACAAGUUCUUGUACUUUUGUUAACAUUUUCACUUUUGGGGAUGUUUGAUAAAAUUUGAUACUUCUUAUUACUUAAGGAUUUAAGUUUAUUUAUUGAUUUAAUUACUUAAUUUUUUACUUUAAGAAUUAAAAAUGUUUGAUAAAAUUAAUUUAAAAUAAUCAAAUUAACAUAUUUAUCCCCAUAAAUUAUAAUUAAGGUAAAUGAAAUCGAGUAAUAAUGAAGAUCAUAGAGUAGUAAAAAGGAUCAUAAAGGUAAUUAGGGUAGAUAAAGAUAAAAAGGUAAUAUGAAGAUAUAAAUUUAAGAAUUACUUAAAAUUACUUUUCACUUUAAUUCUUACUAUUAAGUUAUUUUUAUCAAAUAUACUUAAUUUACUUAAUGAAUUAAAUUAAAUUAUUAAGUCAUUUUAAGUUAUUAGGUUGAUUUAUCAAACACGGAUCUAGUUAUUCUAGUAACUUGAAAAAUUAUUCAAUUUUUUUUAAUAUUUAUUUAUUUUUUAUUUUUGGAUGGUUGAAUAUUAAAAAUAUAAGAAGUAUUGGGUCUUCUCUUAAUAGCCAUGUUUGGUAAUGAAAAUAAGUUCUAUUUGUAAAUUUAUAAACUAAAGAAAAUAAUAGAAGAUUAAAGAGAUAUACUUCAUUACAUGCUUUCAAAAUUUUAUUUCCAAAUUAUAUUCAGAAAAUGAGACAUUUUUAUAAAAAAAGACAAGAGGAAAAAAAGGUUUUACUUAUCAAAAAGAGGAAAAAAAGAUUUCAAAACUAUUUUUGUAUUUUAUUUAUUAUUUUAAUUAUAUAUAUAUAUAUAUAUAUAUAUAUAUAUAUAUAUAUAAAAGUUCAUUAUUUCUAUACGAUAAUCUUGAAAAUGUUAGUAAUUGUUUUUAAAAAUAUUUUUUUUGUUUUUUAAAAUAAAAAACAAGAAAACAUGUUUAAUAAACAAAAACUGAUUUAUAUUUUAUGUUUUUAGGAAUAAAAAGUACAGUGUUUUCAAAUAAUAUAUUUUAUUUGUUUUAUGUUGUAUUUAUUUAUUUUUUGAGGAUUAUUUUAAAAAUUAAUUAUAUAAAUAUAAAAAAUGAUUAAAAAUAAAAUAUUAGAUAUAAAAAUUAUUUUUAAAAAUAUUAUAACAAAUUAAAAUAUUUUAAGUUUUUAAAUAAAUUUUUAUUUUAUAAAAUAUAAAAAAUUAUUCUUAAAAAUUAUUUUUUUUCAACUAUUUUUAAAAAACAAUUAUCAAUUGAGGCAUAACCUCUCAAGUUGUGGAACAGGCAUUAAAAAACAAAAAAGUUAAAGAAUAAUAAAAGAGGCUAAAAUGAUGACAAAUUUUCCAAAAAAGAAAGCCAUCAUUUUGUUGGUAAACCUUACGUGUUGAUGUUGUGCACUGCAACUGCAUGGAGCCUCGAAGGGCAUACAUGUAAAUUAGUGGUAGUAGCAAGGUCAGUUUAUUAAGACAACAAAAAAUCAUAUACCUCAUCUGGAUAUGGGUAGCUUUCACAGGAAAACUCACAAGAUCUUUUUCCAUAUUUUGUUUUAAUAUUAUUUUCCAAAUUGCCAGGAAGGAUUUUCUAAAUUCAUCCACAAAAAUAUCUCACUUUGUCGAGAUAAUUUUAUCUCUCUUCAGAUAUUUUCGUCCUCCACCUUCCCUACUUGUACGCGCUCGAGUACGUUUCUUUUCCUACUUGCCACGCGUUAGACUACGUAAAAAUCUAUGUUUGAUUCGUAUAAAAUGUAAGAGAAAGAAAAUAUAAAGAAAAAGUAGAAGGUAAGAAAAAACGAAGAAAAAUAAAAAAUAGAUUAAAAAUUAAUAAAUUAUUAUUUUUUGUUAUUUUAAAUUUAUGUUAUUUAUUUUAAUUCAAUAAUAUAAAGAUUAAAUAAUUUAAAAAUAUAUCAGUUUUAAAUUAGUUUUAAUUAUAUUUAAUUAUUUUUUAUAUUUUUUAUAAGACAAUCAAAUAUGAAAAAAUUAUUUUUUUUUGGUAUUUUUUUUCUUUCUUUAGUAUUUUCUGAAAUCAAACAUAACCUAAUUGUUUAUCAAAUUUUUAAAAUUUAAAUAAUAUUUUUACAUUAAAUUUUAUAGAUGUAAGAAUAACUUUAUGGACUUUCAUACUUUAUUUUUAUAAAUAUAAUAGGAAAUAAUUUUGUUUAAAUUAAUUAUAGACAUGUCUUAUAAUUCCUUGUAUACAAAAAUUUUAUAUGGUAUAUAAUAUUAGAGAUGACAAUGGAGGGAUAUUCUUUGAUACUUAUUUAUCUUAAUUUUAUGUGACGAGUUUGAAAUUUAAAUAAAUGAGUUAAACAGAUUUUUUUAUAAAUGAUAGGAUAAGUUUGAAGCAAGUUGGUGUGUUGUCUUUUGUCAUCCUCUCCACCUUAUCUCAUUGAUUAAGUAUAAAAUUAAUUUAAUUUAAUUUUUAUUUUUUUAGUUUUAAUAAUAAUAAUAAUAAUAAUAAUAAUAAUAAUAAUAAAUUACUUUUUAAUAAAAUAAGCUAUAAAAUAUUAUAAUAUUUUAAUUAUUUAUAAAAUAUAUUUAUUUUAAUAUAAUUAAAUUUUGUUUUAAAAUAAUUUUUAAAAAUUAAAAUUUUUUUUUAAAAAGAAAGUGAAAUGAGACGGUGCACACCCAUAUUGUCCCAUCAGGUCUUGUUUAAUUUUUUUAAUUAGAUAAAAAUGAGAAUUAUUUUGAAUAAAUAAGAUGAGAUAAGGAUGAAGCGAUAUAUCCCGAACCUGUUUCCAUUAUUAUCUCUAUGUAAUAAUGUUAUUUUCUAGAAAAACGACAUUGGAACAUGGAGUUAGAUGAGUGUCUAAGAUCAAAGAUGGCUGGACCCCAUUUAUUAGUUUUGGGAUAAGCAAAGGUUCCAAGAUGGAUACAUUAUAUUAGGCGUUAAGUCUUUUUAUAUACCUGAGAAUGGUUAAGCCUUGAUUUUCUUCUUUUUUCUUACCUUUUCUUUUAACAACUGGUAUCAGGUCAUGAGUCUGAGUCCGAGUCGUAAGAGUAAAUCUUUUUUUCCUGUUCUUCUAACGAGUGGUAUCAGAUCAUUCAAGUCCGAGUCGUAAGAGCUGCAUCUUUGGGGAGCCGCAUGUUAGAAAUGUAACCUCCGGAUGAAUGCAUGUAAACCUUCCACCAAACCCAAUGAUCAUAUAAUUUUUUUUUUUUUAAAAAAAAAAAGAAAAAAAAUGAACCCAUUUCUCUACAAGGAUGAAGAAACACAUUUCGAAAUUAGCUCAUAUUUGAAAGCUAUUCUUCAAGAUAGUUUUUUAGUUCUAAAGCAAAAAAUGGUAGUAAUUUUUUUUUAAUUUAUAAAAUACCAUUAAUAAAUUUUUAAAGAUUUUUUUUAUGAAAAUAAAUUAUUUUUUAAAACAAAUUUGAGGCUAUUUUAAUUAUUUUUAUAAAUUAAUUAAAAAUAUAAAAAAAUAUUUUUCCUAUUUAAAUUAUCAAAUAUGAUUUUAUUCUAAAAAUAAUAAAAAAUUAUUUUUAAUAAUCAUUUAAAAAAAAAAUGAUUUGAAAACAUUACCCACGUACAUCCCAAAUUUUUCGAAAGGUGGGGGAGCAAGAGCCGGCAGGCCCUCUCUACGAUUAUUGUUAUACGACACGUGUCAAUCAUGCAUAGCGAGUAGUUAUAAUGAAGACUCUCAUUACAACCACAUAGCCACCUGCAACAAAAAGCCAGCCACCAUAGCUGACGCUAUAAAAGGUUGAGACCCAGAAACCCCCCGAUCUCACUCUAAGGUUUUCCAAACCGCGUACCUAUUUAGCGGUUUUCGGGCACCGCAGGCGGCGUUUCCUUCCGGCGACCUCAGAAGAUAGGAACCAACAAGUUUCGGGGGCGAUGGAUUCGAACAGAUCGAUAAAUCCAAGUGGGUAUUGGACAAACGAAAAGCACGUCCAAUUCCUCAACUCCAUGGAAGCUUCCUUCGUUCGGGCAAUGUUCGAGAGCAACGGUCAUCCUCUUCCUCGUCUCGACCGUUACCUACCAGACACGUCUGACUCCACUCUAGAUUUGAAAACUCACCCCACGAGAAGAUUUUCCACUCCAGGUAUUCAUAGUUAAUUCAUCUGCAGGCCGCUCCUAACGAUAUUAUAUUUUCCACAUGGGUUGUCUUCUCUCUCUUCCAUGCCGCGACGGCGCAUUUUAGCGCUGAAUCCAUCAUCCUUUGACACUGCUUUUGUGUUUUGGAUCGUGCAACGGAGUGCAACUGGGGCAUGUUAGACUCUGCCGGAAUUUUGCAGAGAGGUGUUUGGAUGUGUGCACGUAAUUAGAACAACAAAAACCGUGUUUUCUAGCAGUAAUGCUGUUUCUUCAUACUAACAAAAAGCAUGUUCUUCUCAAAUCUCAAGUAAUGUCUACGACCAUGAGAGACUUUCACUUGAAAACGACGCCGUCUCAGUGAUUACACUCAUGGGUGAUGAUUACUAGACAGUAUUGCGUUCAAGCCUGACCAUGAAAGAUGGGUUUUUGGGGUUGGGGUUGGCAUCCAAACGCCGCCUUAAGAAUCUUGACCUUGAGAAUAUGUCAUAAAGAUUGAUUUUUUUUCACUCAUUUGGCUGAGAUCUUUUUUUGGGUUUAAUUGCAGUAGGUUCAAGAGCCAGGAGUUACCGUGGAGCUGACAAGAAAGCUGGCAGACCACUGUCAUCUCAACCGUACAAUUCUUCACAGGAUCAGGUUAGCAUCACAUUAAUAAUAUAAACCCUGUAGCACCGUAUCACAUCAUAAAAAUUUAACUCUUUUCUUCUAUAUUUUAAUUUAUAUACUGCUUCAUAGAAAUAUUAUACUGUUUUAAUGCAUGGUAUUUGAUAAAUGAUAAAUUAAUUUAAUGACGUGUCAUAUGUCCACAUCUUUGUGGAGUGUGACAUCAUAAUUAAUUUAUAAAUUUUUAAGGUUUGAAGGUAAUUUAUUAGGCUUUUGAAAGUAUUUUUUAUAUAUAAUGUUUUAUUUUUAAUUAUUUUUUAAAAUAUCUUUAAAAAUAUAUGGGAAAAUAUUUUAAAAAAAGUUUCUUAUUUUAAGAAUAAAAAGUAUAAAAUAAAUAAAUUUUUUUUAAUAAAUGAGAGUUUUAUUUUUUAUUUUAUCUCCUUUUAGCUAAAGUUUCGUAUAGUAAAAGGUUGAAAAGUUUGAAUAUGAGAGGUGAAAGUGCAAAAGAAUGAAGCUGGAGGGGCAAAGUGGACUUCAACCCUUGAUGUGUAAUUGCAUUACUUUAUGUAUUUUUUAUGAACCUUUAAUUAAAGAGGAGUGUUUUUUUUUUUUUUUUUGGUCCACAGGUGGUCCCACAGCUUGAAAGCAGAGCAGGUGAUAAGGCUUGAGAGAGACCACUCCAGUGUCUCCAUCUCUACUGCUAACUGAGAAAGAUUCUUCUUCCAUUAGGGCUUCCUUUUAUUUUAUAUUUUUUCUUUUCCUUUCUAGUAAAUAUGGCAGUGCUGGUGAUUUUCUAGGGAAAAUAUCAGUUAGAGGGCAUUUGGGUGAUUGAGAAAAAGGUUGAAGAUGAUGUUUUAUCACUAAAAUGCAUGCACUCCAAAGAUGGGAGAGGCCCUACUAGCUAUCUCCAUCAAUCGAGAAUGUUGGAACUCUAUGAUGUAAUAUUAAUUUAUUAGUUUUUUUAUUAUUAGAUAUUUGUUGUGAAUAAAUAAUUAAUUACUUUAAUUUAUUUGGAAAAAUUUGUAGGAGGAGAUAAUGGAGCAUAGGGAAAAGGACAAGGGAACAAUUCAAUUUAUACAUCCAAUCACAUCCUUAUCUUGGUUGGUUACUCAUUCUUUUCACGUCCAAACCAACAAAUAAAGAGACUUAGGGAUGGUGAUCUUUGAGGGUUGGAUGGGGCGGUUGGUUAACUCGAGCUUAAUCCAUAUAUAAAACUUCCAAAAAUUCUAGGAUAUUGAAGUACCAUAUAAAAGAUCUACUAGGACCUAUUAAAUUUUAAGAUUUAAUCUUCAUAAUUUAAUUAGAAAGGAGAUAGAUGUCGGUAAGGCAAAAGUUUGAUUAAUAUCGAUGUGUUUGUUUUUUUCUAACUUUUUGUUAAAAGUAAUUUGCUUUCAUACUUUAAGUUAUUUAUUUAUUUAUUUUAAAUUUUUUUAUAAUUUAUUAUAAAUUUUUGAUUGAAUAAAAAAAAUCAAAAUAGUUGUUUGAUAAACCAACUUAAUAACUUAAAAUAAACUAAUAAUUUAAUUUUAAUUAUUUGAUAAAUUAAGUAUGUUUGAUAAAAUAACUUAAUGAUCUGACUUAAAGUUAAAAAUAAUUUUAAGUAAAAAGUAAAAAUAAUUAAUUAAUUCUUAAAUCUACUAUUCAUUUUACCUUUUUACCUUUAUUUAUCUUAUUUAACUUCACGAUCUCAUUUGUUACUCUAGGAUUUCUAUUGUUACUCAAUCUACUUUACUCUAUUUAUAAUUUAUGAAGAUAAAUAUAUUAAUUUGACGAUUUAGAAUAAAUUUAAGUUAAUUUUAUCAAACAAUCUUAAUACUUAAAUUAAAAAUUAAGUAAAAAAUUUUAAUCUAACAAUUUAAGUAUAAUUUAACUUAAAGUCAAUUCAAGUUAUUAAGUAAUAAAUAUUAAAUUUUAUCAUCCACCCCUAAAAUAUUAGACUUUUUCUAAAUAUAAAAAAUAACAUGUUAAUUUUUCUUUACUUUUUAAUAUUUAAUAGAAAUAAAAUAUUACAAAAAUAAACAACUUAAUACUAUUAAACACUAUUUAAUUUGAAGUUUUAUUUAGAAUUAAGUAAAAAAAACACAAACACUACUUUAGAGGAUGUUUGGUAAACCUUAAUACUUAUUAAUUAAUGACUUAAGUUGACUUUACGUUAAAUUAUUAUUAAAUUGUUGACUUAAAACUUAUUACUUGAUUUUUACUUUAAGUAUUAAGGUUAUUUGGUAAAGUUAAUUUUAAAUCAUCAUUUGACACAUUUACUCAUAUUAAUUUAACUAAUAUUUAUUUUUAUUAAUUUUAAGCAAUAAAUUUAUUUAUUAAACACCUAUAUUUAAAGUAUUGUAAAUGCAUAAGAUAAUUACAAAAUAUAUAUUUACUAUAAAAGAUAAGUUGUGAAUGUGGAAUUAUAGUUGUAAAAUAUACUUUUACUAAACAUGGACAAUUAAGGUAAAAGAGAAUUAAGAUUAAGAAUAAGUGAGUAUUUGGUAAAAUUAACUUAAUACUUGUUACUUAUUUAAGUUAAAUUAUUUUUAAGUUGUUGACUUAAACUUAUAAUUUAUUUUUUAUUUUAAAUAUUAAAAUUGUUUGGUAAAAUUAGCUUAAAAUUCAUUAUAAAUAAUCAAAUUGACAUAGUUACUUUUAUUAAUUUUAACUAAUAUUUAUAUUUUAACAAAUCUUAAGCAAUGAAUUUAUUUUUUAAACAUUUAAUGUAGAUAUAUAAGGUAAUUACUAAGUUGUGAAUAUAGAAUUUCACUAAACAUGGGUAAAUGAUGUAAAACAAUUGAGAUUAAGUUAACUAUUUUGACUUAAUAUUUAAAAUUAUUUUUUACUUUAAGUUGUGAUAUUAAAUUAUUUUACUAAACAUACUUAAUGACAUAAAUUAAAUUAUUAAGUCAUUAAGUUACUUUAUCAGACACUAUUUUAGAUUCAUACUACAUCUUACACUUCAUUAAGCACUUAACACUCCAAGAUAAAUUAAAAUCUUUUCAAAAUUGGAUGAAACAUUUUCAUAUGAAAAUCAUACUUGUUUUAUUGCUAUUUAUGCUUAAAAUGGUUUUCAAACUUUCAUAUUCAAAUGAGUGUUAAGAAGUAUAAGUUUUAACUUAAAAAUAAGAGUUUUUGAAGUUUAGGACCAAGGGGCAAUUGAGUCCCUCACUCAAAUGGGUGGUCGUCAACUAGAGUGAUGGGUUGUGUCCCUUAAGUGCUUUAAUGCAUAAUUAAUAUGUUAGUGAGUUGUGAUGACCUUUCCAACUCAAUUGAGCAAUCAACUAACUGGUUCACUUGGGACUCGCCCAAAUAGUCACCUGUAGUAGUGCACUAAUUAUGUCUAAUUACUAGUUGGUGGUUGAUCGGACCCUCAACUAGGACUUUAAGGUUUUUGUUUCCAACAACUUGUUUUCAUCCAUUUUAUAUAUAAAGGUCUAUAAACUCUCAUUUAUGAUUUAAUGACCAUGAAUUUAAUGUCAAUCAAUGAGUGAGUGUUUUUAAGUGCCUUAGUUUUAUUUGUAUGUAAUUGACUCAAAUAAUUGUAAACUAGGAAUUUUCAUUAUUUGUAGUCUUAUGAGGCAUUUCCAACUGUGAGAUCACUUGAAGAUUUCAAGAGCGGGUAUUGCUUGAGAGAGUCCAUUGAAAUCAUAAUCCAAGGGCGAUCGUUUGAAAACUUUGGUUUUGAAAGUCUUGUGGUUGUAAAGGGUCCAUUGGAACCAUAAUCGAGUGUAAAGUUUGAAGGCUUGGGUUAAAAGCCUUGUUAGUGGAACCCUUAACGUGGUUAAGCUUGAUGAGAGUGGAUAUAGAUUGGGUUGCAUAGAACUAUUAUAAAACCUUGUGUUUGUAUUUCUCUAUCCCUUAAUUAUAUUUAUUUUUGCAUGCAAUUGCUCUUUCAUAACCCAACUCACCCUCUUUCGGUGAUUAACUUUAGUUGAUUAGUACAUAAUCCUAACAUGGGUAUCAAAGUAUGAACUCUAAUAUGGGGUUUAACUACCUUAGAGGAAUAAUUAAUCAACCAUAUUCACCAAUAAUAGACAAAAUUUCAAUUUCUAAACUCUUAUUCUCUUACAAACAUGAUUAUGCUUAUUAAAAAGCAAGAGUGAGUUAGGGCCUAUUUGGUUGGUGUUUUCAAAAACUGUUUUCUGUUCUUGAAAAUAAAAAAUAUUAAAAACUUAUUUGGUUGAGAAAGUUGUUUUUGUUUUUCUUGUUCUUUGUAUUCUCAAAAUGACACUUUUUAGAGAACAAAAAAAUGUUGUUUUCCCCGUUUUUUAUUGUUUGCAGAACAAAAAAAAAGCCAUAAGAGAACAAUUGUUCUCCGUGUUUUUUUUCUUCCUGUUUCUCAGUUCUAUUAUUCAAUUGAGAUCUGAGUUUUUUAUUUUUUAUUUUUUAUUUUUUGUAUUUUUUUAUCACGUGUUGUUAGUUUUUUUUUUUUUUUUUUUUCUUGUUUAUAUUUUCCCGUUUGGAUGUUGAGAAAAGUGGGGAACGAGAAAGAAAAAAAAAUUCCUGAUUUUUCCCGUUUCUCAGUUUUGAUUUUUCUUGAGUUGUUUUGUUUAAAAAAAACAAAAAACCUGCUUUAAGGACAUGGAAAAUAAAAAAAACAAGUUGCUUAUUGAAAGGGUUUUGCAAGUGAUUUUUUUCUCAGUUUUGAAGAAGAUGAGAGAUUGUAGAGAAUGAGGGUAGUAAUAUGUAAAUAAGGUAGUAAUAUUGGGUAAAGACUUUUCUCAAGAUUGGAAUGAUUUGAGAUAUUUUUAAGGGAUAUGAGGGUCAUUUGUAUGGAUAAAAUGGUUGGUUAAAAAAAAAAUUCAUAUAUAAAGUGAAAAUUUAUUGAUCAAAGCAUAUUGAUUGGUAAAAUAUAUUGGUCAACACAAAUAUAACACCAUCUUCAGCCAUGGGAAUCCAUUGGAAAGUGACCAUCUUCAAACUUCACUUUACUUGCAUUUAUUUUCAUGUCCUAUUUAUUUUAUUUACAAGCUUGUUAGGUGAAAAUCAGUUGUAAAAAUUAAAUUAAUUCUUUUUAAAACUUUUUAUCUCAUCUUAAUAGAAUAUACUAUAAUUUUUAAUAAAAUUAAAGAUUAAAUCAAGAAAAAAAAUGUUAAUAAAAAUGAUUUUAUCAUGAUUUAUUUUAAAAAUAUAUAAAAAAUAUUUUUAUUUUAAAAUUAAUCAAAUGUAAAAUUAAUCAAACUAUUAUCAUUUUUAUUUACUUUUCUUUCAUUUUCCCCCAAAUUUUGUUUCAAAUUUUAUAAAAACUAAAAAAAAGAGUAUUUAAAAUCUAAUUAAUAUCAAAUCUAUUUUUAAAAUUUUAAAAUGAAAUAUUUUUUUUUAAUUUAAAUGAAUUGUGUAUAUAAAAAUUAUUUAUAAAUUUAUAAUAUAAAGUUACUUGAAGAAAACACUUUAUUAUUGGAAAAAAAACAUAUUUCAAAUAUGUUUUUUGUUUUACUUGUUCUAAAAAACUUUUUUAUUAACUCAACCAAACAUUUUUUUUGUUUGUUUUUGUUUCAGUUCUCAAACACAUUUUUUUUUAAAAACACCAAAAACGAUUCUUAAAAAUUGUUCUAAAAAACUAUUUUUCAGAAUAGUUUUCAAAAACAACAACCAAACAGACCCUUAGUUUCUAAAGUCUACUGAUUUUGAUUUAUGGGAAGUCAUUUAACAUGGAUAUCAUUUUCCAACUAAAAUUGAAAAUAGAGUGUCCAUUCCAAAACCUAGCUACGAGUGGGAUGAGGUAAACAAAAUAAAUACAUAAUUAGAUGUUAAAACCAUAUGGUACUUGCAUUGUGCAUUGAUAGAAAAGAGAAUAAUAGGAUCUCCUCAUUUGAAUCGGCCAAAAAUAUAUAUGAAGACUCUUAGAAAUAACUCAUAAAGACACUAAUUAACCACUCAUAAAGACACUAACCAAGUUAAAGAGUCUAAAUCACUAUCCUUAUGCAUAAUAUUCAUCAUUAAGUAUUUUGAAUCUAUUGGUAAAAUGUUUGCUAGGUUCAUGAAGAUCACAAAUGAAUUUUAAGCUUUGGAGAAGAUGUACACCAAGGUGGAGAAAGUCAUAAAGAUCCUAAGGUUUCUACCAAACAAAUAUGAAGCAAAGAUGAUGAUAGUUCAAGAAGCAAAGGAUGUUACUAAGAUCCCUCUUGAAGCACUCAUUGGGUCAUGUAUGAUCCAUAAGAUCAACAUGAACAAUCAUCAAUAGGUUGAAGAGAAGAAGCAUGACACAAAAUUCAAAGCUUCAAUAAUUGAUAAUGAAUAGGUGGAAAGUGAAGGUGAGGACUUUGAUAUCAUCACAAAGAAGUUCAUGAAGUAGAGAAGAUCAAGGGGAUAACAUCUCAUUCAAAGAAAAAGUUCUCAAGUGCUAGCAAGAAGAAAGUAAUGGUGACAAUAUGGAGUGCAAAUGAUAAAGAAAAGUGUAAAAAUGAAGUUUCAGCAUAUACUUUAUGAUUUUAGAGGAUCAUGAAAAUGAAGUAAAUUAUAAUCCUAACUAUAAUCUUUAAGAUACUUUUUAAGAAUUACUGAUCUUUAAAAACAUGGUUUGGAAAAUGUCUCUCUAAAAAAGAAAGUUUCCUCUUUUCAAGAUAAGCUUAAUGAGCUCAAAAAGAAAUUUGAAAGUGUUGAAAAGAUAAAACAUCAUUUGAAAAAGAAAAUGAGGUUUUGAAAAACAAAAUUCACAAAAUUUUAAAUGGUUGCAUGACCUGCAAUAUGAUCUUAGCAAGUCAAAAAUGUAUUUUUGAUAAAAAUGGAUUAACUUAUUGGCUAUAUAAAAAUAAAAGGUAUUAUAAAAACUAUUUUGUGAAAGAGGCUUCAAGUAGUAAUCUAAAUACCAUUUUUAAUUUUUGUGGAAUAAAUUGUCACAUUAGAGGUAUUUGUCCUUUGAGAAAAUCCCCCAAUGUUGUAUAUGGUUCUAAAUCAUUUUGGAUUCUAAAUGAGAGAAAAGCUAACCCUCUAGGACUCAAGAAGAGAGGAAUAUAAGGUUACAUAAAUUUGUUUUGUUGGAAUCCAACCAAGAAGAAAGGAAGAUGUCCUCAUUUUGGAUAUAUAAAUGUGAAAAGGUAGAUCAUUGGUAUUGGUAACUUAAUUUCGUAAACACAUCUCUUCCUUUUUGGAAACAUUUUCUUGGUUAUUCAUUCGAUUCAUAAAAUUUUAAAGUAAUUUUUGAACUAUCAUAUAAACACAUCAUAAAGAAUUUUCAAAGUUAAUCAAAUCAUUUUCAUGGACCAUUUAAGUGACAUGUUUCUUGAUAUUAAAAAAUUUUAAAGAAUUUUUUUUAUUUAUAGAAAAUUGAAAGAAGUAUCUCUUGGUUACAAAAUGGGAUAUUCAAAAUUCAUAGAGAUAUCUAUAAUACUUGAUCAAUCUAAUCAUCCUUAUUGGGAAACUGUCGAAGUGGUAAUGAGUUGGGAUUUAAGAAAAAUAUUGAUAAAGCUUGGCUCAACAACAACAAAGAAUGAAAGAGAAUGUAAAGUUAGAUAAAUAAUGAAGAAAACUCCACAUAAGAAAGAGUAAGCAAACAAAGAAUAUUAAUGAGAAGAGAUAACAUCACUCAUUAUGAAAUGAUCAAAUUUGUAUAAGGGGGAUAAAAUCCUUUGCCCUUCGCAUAGAAAUGCUUCAAAUUGAUUUAAUUUGCUCUUUUUAUGUCAUUGAAUUGAAAUUUUAUUUUUUUAAUCAUAAAACAAAAUUAAUAAUUGCUGGAUGAUGGUCGUGCAAAGAAAAAUUGAUAUAUCAUUUUGAUAAAAUUGGUAUUGUUGUUAGUCUAAGGUUUCGAUUAAGAAGAAUAUAUAUAUUUUUAAUGAAAAAAACCCUUAGAAAUAGGAUGCUUAUGUCCUUACAUGUUUUAAUGAUAUCAUCUUAUACAUAAUAUGUGUUGUAUUUUGUUUUAGCAAUCUUGAAUGUUGAUGCUAUUUAUAUUCAUUAUACUAUUUUAGGAUCAUAUACGUAUGCAUCUUGUUUAAUAUCUUUAUUCGUCAAUUACUAAUUGCUCUUUGUGUUACUAUUUGAACACCCUUAAUAUACUUAAAUUCUUAAAUUGGAUAUUUUCUUAAAUAAAAAUAGACCUAUAUUGAAGGAAAAUAUUUUAGCAACCAUGAUUUUGUCAACAUAAAAAAUAAGGAGAUUUUUAGAUUAAAGUUUAAUUAAUCUCAAUUUUGAUGAUAACAAAAUAAGAUUCAUAUCUAAUGAUUUAUAUUUAAGUGUGUUAAGUAAUUUUUUUUUAAAGAGGAAAUAAAAAUAUUAAACCAAAAGAAAAUUAAGAAGGAGGAGAAAACUUCAAAGAGAUGUUCCAAGUUCAUUAAUUUAAGAUCUUUGAAAGGCUAUUAGUGCAUCGGGUUCAUGCAUUGUAUACUUCAUUAAGCACCCAAUACUCUAAAACUCAUCCAAUUGAUCUCAAACUCGUGUAAAAUCUUUUCAAAAUUGAAUGAAGUUUUCAUAUGAAAACCACAGUUGUUUUAGUUCUACUCAUGCAUAAAAAUGAUUUUCAAACUUAAUGACUGUUAACGAGUACAAGUUUUAACUUGAAAAACAAGGUUUUUAAAGCUUGGGACCAAGGGACAGUUGAGAUGUGGGAUCAACUGGCAAUCAACAGGAGUAGCUGAUUGUGUCCCUUAAGUGCUUCAUUGCAUAAUUAUUAUAGUGAGUUAUGGUAAUUUUUCUAGCUCAACCUAGCGGGGUCGACUGGUCUACUUAGUUUAUAUUUGCCAAAAUUUGUAAAAAGAGACUACAACCUAAUUUAUCAUAACCAAAUUUGUCCCCCUCCCUUCUUGGAUGUAAGGACAAAAAUAUCUUGAUAUAUUUUCGAAAUAUCGCUUAUCGGACGAUGCCAACAAGAAACAUGGAAUGCAAAUAUUGAUCAUCUGAAUUUUCGGAUAUUUUAUCUACUUUUUGUCAAUCUAUGGACAGUAUUUUGAUAUUUUAUCGACAUGUCAACAUUAUCACCGAAAAAUCGAUACCAUGUCAGCACCCUUUUAAUGUUAAAAUUUUUGGCAUUAAAAGCCUGACCCUGAUACAUGUGAGCUGUAGUAGUCCUUCUGAGGAAGGAGCUGAGCAUGAUUGAACCUAACGCAACCCAUUUUUUUGGGGGAUAUUUUCUUCUCGGCUUCAAGCCUACAAUAGACCAACCAUGCCCUUCUGUCAUAAUACGAGUGUGAUACACACACGUGACACUUUUGACAAGAGUACAAUAAUUUAAAAAAUUAUUCUUAAGUUACCGUAGUAGAAAAAGUUAUUUCAAAUGUGUGAUAGUUUUUGCAAGGUAAGAGAGAGACAUAUAUAUAUAUAUAUAUAUAUAUAUAUUUAAGCAAAAUCAUCUUUUGAAAAGACAAUUUUUCAUUAAAAAAAAAAUUUAAUAUUACAAAAAAUUGGUAAUCCAAACUAAUUUAAAAAUAAAAAAAGAGACGAUUUCCUAUUUAAAAAAAAUUAAUAUUACAAAAAAUUGGAAAUCCAAACUAAUUUAAAAGAAGAAAAAAUUCAAAGGGAAAAAAAAAUCAAAAGGGAAAUUAUCUCUUGAAGAGAGAUUUCUCAUUUAAAAAAAUAAUAUAUAAAAAAACUCAAAUUAAAAAAAAAUCAAUAUUACAAAAAAUAAUUUUUUUUAAAAAAAUCCCAAAUUAAAAAAAAAAAAUAUUACAAAAAAUUGGAAAUCCAAACUAAUUAAAAAAAAAAAAUUUCAAAGGGAAAUUUACCUUUGAAUAAUUUUUUUUAAAAAUUAGUUUGGAUUUCCAAUUUUUUGUAAUAAUAAUUUUUUUUAAUUUGGAAAUUUUUUUUAAAUUUAUUUUUUGCAAUAUUAAUUUUUUUUUAAUGGGAACGAUUUUUUUAUUUAUUUAUUCGUCUCUUGAUGAGAGAUUUCUCAUUUAAAAAAAUAAUAUAUAAAAAAAACUCAAAUUAAAAAAAAAUCAAUAUUACAAAAAAUAAUUUUUUUUAGAAAAAUCCCAAAUUAAAAAAAAAAUAUAAUAUUACAAAAAAUUGGAAAUCCAAGCUAAUUAAAAAAAAAAAUUUCAAAGGGAAAUUUACCUUUGAAUAAUUUUUUUUUAAAAUUAGUUUGGAUUUCCAAUUUUUUGUAAUAUUAAUUUUUUUUAAUUUGAAAAUUUUUUUAAAAUUUAUUUUUUGCAAUAUUAAUUUUUUUUAAUGGGAACGAUUUUUUUUAUCGGAAAUCGUCUCUUCAAGAGACGAUUUCCCUUUUGAUUUUUUUUAAAAAAAUUAGUUUGGAUUUUCAAUUUUUUGUAAUAUUAAUUUUUUUUAAUGGGAAAUUGUCUCUUGAAGAUAUGAUUUCCUUUUUUAUUUUUAUUUUUAAAUUAGUUUGGAUUUUCAAUUUUUUGUAAUAUUAAAUUUUUUUGUGUAAUAUUAAUUUUUUUUAAUGGGAAAUCGUCUCUUUGAAUUUUUUUUUUUUUUGGAUUUCCAAGGGAAAUUGUCUCUUAAAGAAAUGAUUUCCAUUUUAAUUUUUUAUUUAUUUAUAAAAUCGUCUUUUCAAAAGAUGAUUUUGCUUAAAAAUUUUUUUAUCCGUGGACUCUCUCUCCUACAUGACAAAAACUACUAUACAUUUGGAAUUACUUUUUCUCCUACGAUAAUUUAAGAAUAAUUUUUUUAAAUUACGGUACCCUUGUCAAAAGUCCCACACACGUGUGUGUGUGUGUGUGUAUAACAUUUUUUUGGGGAUAUUUUCUUCUCGGCUUCAAGCCUACGAUAUACCAACCAUGCCCUUAUGUCAUGAUAUGCGUGCGAUACACACGUGUGUGUGUAUAUAACACUUCCUUUUUUUAUUUAUUUAUAUAUAUUCUUUAAUAUAUUAUAACCAAAUACCAUAUUUCCUUUAAUAUAUAUCAAUUUCUUUGUUUGCUUGAUUAAUUUUAUUCAAAAAACUUAUUAGUUAAGAAAAAACUUAAUAUAAAAGCAAAAAUAAGAUAGCUUAUACAAGAAGUUUUUUGACUUAUUAGGAGCUCUAUAGACUUUAACAAAACUUUUAUAAUACCAUCUUUGUUCCUUUAUUAUUAUUUUUUUCUUUAAAUAAAAUUCCAAACCAAUCCUUUUAAAAACCUAAAUUAUUUUAUCUUUUUAUCAUUCAUUUAAUGCAAAGUACAAAAUAUAAAUUUCUAGGAUUUUUAUUUUAUUUUAUUUUAUUUUAUUCAUCCUUGCAUCUGUCUCACUUCCAUAGCCUAUGAUUUAGGUAUUAGAUAUCUUACUUAGUAGUCUCAGAUUUAGGCAUAAGAUUGGAGCUAUGAUAAGUGUUAAGUUCGUGAGAUUUUUAUGGUAAUUUGCACAAUAUUUCUUGAGUUAUUUUGUUUGCCUAAACUACUUUGAUUUAUUGGUCAUAUGUAGUUUUCGUACUCCUUUAUUGAGUAAACACAUCACAUUUAAUAUGAAACAUACAAGUCAACGACAAGAUUUAUGUGAGGACAAUUAUCAACUCUCAUUUGUUAAUACAACCAUUCAAGCCCAGUACUCCUUGCUUGUGCCAGGAAAAGACAACCUCAACCACUUCAAACGAGCUAUGAGCCUACCAAGAUUGAAAAAAGUAUAUGUAAUUUAAUAAUUCUAAUAAAUUUUAAAAACCCAUGACUAAUGACUAACAUUAUUAGACAUCCACAGGCUAAGGCGGUAGUUGGAUAUAGUUUUGCCGUCUUGAUUUAAUUUGUAUUUAAAAUAAAAAUUAUUUAAAACUCUUAAAAGGGAUGUGUUUUAAUGAAUGCAUUUUAUUUUUGUUUUUUCAUGCUUUAUAAAUUCUCAAAUUUAAGAAAUAAAAAGUGAAAAUAUAACAAUAAAACUAUUUCUUCAAAAAUUCAAAAUUUUAUUGCUUUGAAAUAAAAAUUAAAGCAAAACUAAAAUCCAAAAAUUAUAUUCAAAUUUCACUAAUCUUUUACUAAUUAAUUAAUAUAUAUGUAUAUUUCAUUUGAAAAAAAAAUAUAAAAAAAAAAUAAAUAUCGAUGAUGAUGAUGAUUAUUAUUAUUAUUAUUAUUAUUUAGCUAUUUUAGAAAAUAAAUCUGUUCUAAAAAGAAUUGGUCAUCCACUUUGGGGCGGUUCGAAACUUGUUCGUAUGCACAUAGAGUGAAUUUACACUUAGCCGGAUGAAAAUGAUCAGAUAUUUGUUGAAUUACUUUUUGAAUAAGAACAACGAGACGUGAUGUAAUCGCGAGGAAGAAAAUGAAAUGGUAUACCAGUUAUUGGGUUGUUGAGGUUACUACUUCAAAUUCAGAAAUCCAACUUUGAAUGGCUUUGAUUUCAUUACGAAUGAGAAAGUUGCUCGCAGCUUCCCACGCGUGGAAAAGUCAUUGGCUAUGUAUUAAUUUCCAGUUAGUGGCCCGAAAAGUCUUACUAUAUAUAGCUAUAUGUAUAGAAUAUUCAUACAAGCCGUGAUCAGAUUGAGUGCGCUCUCCUUCCUGUGUUUGCAUUCAUCAUAUAUGGGUUGGUGAAGGACAGAAAACAACACAAAUGCAUAAACAUACACGCAUCCAAAAAUAAACUGAAGCACACAAACUUUGAAGUCAACUACUCAUUCAAAUAUCCAUCAUCAUUUAUUGACUGCCACCGGAUGAGAGUUGUUGAGACACUGCUUAUAAAUACCCAACACUCACACCCAGAUUUCUCAACCCAGCUCCAAGAACGCUUCUCUUUCCUUCCUCAACUUAAUCUUAAGCUUUCAUUUCAGUACGUAGCUGGCAUCAAUGGCUUCAGUUGAGGAAAUUAGAAACGCUCAACGUGCCAAGGGUCCGGCCACCAUCCUAGCCAUUGGCACAGCUACUCCCGACCACUGUGUCUACCAGUCUGAUUAUGCUGAUUACUAUUUCAGGGUCACUAAGAGCGAGCACAUGACUGAGUUGAAGAAGAAGUUCAAUCGCAUAUGUAAGUAUAUUCAUUCAUUAAUUCUUAUAUCCAUAACACUUGUAUGCAUAUAAGAGUGUGCGCUAUCAGGUGAGGCUCACCUCCAAGUGAAUGAAUGUUUCAAGCUUUCUAGAGUAUAGCUUUUAGAUAAAUUACUUCAGGAAACUUGAAAAUUGUUUUACUUCAGUAACCAAUAUUCUUUGCAUCUUGCUGUAAUGGCUUGAAGAGCUGUUCUUUGAAUCAUGUAGCAUUGCUAGCUAUAAUUAAGAAUAACCUUUUAUACUUUUUUCAAUGUUAAAUGCUGGUUGAUCAUCUUGAACAUAUACCAUAUGACUUGUUGAUUGAUAAAACUAAUGUGUUCAUGUUACUUCUUUUACAGGUGACAAAUCAAUGAUCAAAAAGCGUUACAUUCAUUUGACUGAAGAAAUGCUUGAAGAACAUCCAAACAUGGGUGCUUAUAUGGCUCCAUCUCUUAACAUACGCCAAGAGAUUAUCACAGCUGAGGUACCUAAGCUUGGUAAGGAAGCAGCAUUGAAGGCACUUAAAGAGUGGGGCCAGCCAAAGUCCAAGAUCACCCACCUUGUAUUUUGUACAACCUCUGGUGUAGAAAUGCCUGGUGCUGAUUAUAAACUUGCUAAUCUCUUGGGUCUUGAAACUUCAGUUAGAAGAGUUAUGUUGUACCAUCAAGGGUGCUAUGCAGGUGGAACCGUCCUUCGAACCGCUAAGGAUCUUGCAGAGAAUAAUGCAGGAGCACGAGUUCUUGUGGUGUGCUCUGAGAUCACUGUUGUUACAUUUCGAGGACCUUCUGAAGAUGCUUUGGAUUCUUUAGUUGGCCAAGCCCUUUUUGGCGAUGGGUCUGCAGCUGUGAUUGUUGGAUCAGAUCCAGAUGUCUCGAUUGAACGACCCCUUUUCCAGUUAGUUUCAGCAACCCAAACGUUUAUUCCUAAUUCAGCAGGUGCCAUUGCGGGUAACUUACGUGAGGUGGGACUCACCUUUCACUUGUGGCCUAAUGUGCCUACUUUGAUUUCCGAGAACAUAGAGAAAUGCUUGACUCAAGCUUUUGAUCCACUUGGUAUUAGCGAUUGGAACUCGUUAUUUUGGAUCGCUCAUCCAGGUGGCCCUGCAAUUCUAGAUGCAGUUGAAGCAAAACUCAAUUUAGAUAAAAAGAAACUUGAAGCAACAAGACAUGUGUUGAGUGAGUAUGGUAACAUGUCAAGUGCAUGUGUGUUGUUUAUUUUGGAUGAGAUGAGAAGGAAAUCAUUGAAGGGGGAAAAUGCCACCACAGGUGAAGGAUUGGAUUGGGGAGUAUUGUUUGGUUUUGGACCAGGCUUGACCAUCGAGACCGUUGUGCUGCAUAGCAUACCUAUGAUUACAAAUUGAGUGAAGAAUGAUAAGAAAAUUUAUAUACAAGCCAUGUCUUAUUGUAUUAAGGAGGUGUUAAUGAAGAUAUAUACAUAUAUCUGCAAAGCUUGUAAUAAUCCUACAAUAAUUUAUUCCUAUCAUAAAAUUGAGGGAUUGUAAUUUAGUGAUCGUUGGAGAUUGUAGAGACCUCAAGUUAAAAAAGUGAGACUUCAAGUUCUUGUCAUUUUAUAUUCUUGAAGUUCCCUUGAAAUUUUUAAUUUUCUAUUCUCAUAAAUUCCAUUGAAAAGAAAGAAAGAAUUAUAUAUAUAACAUUGAUUUCAAUUUUGGUAAUGUAACUAAGAAAUUUUCACCUUAAUUUACUUUGCACUUGUUUGAAUUUUGAUUGAACACAAAUAUAAUUACAAAUUUUCUUAUAAUAAAUUAUAGUCACUCCUAAAUGUUUAUGCCAAAGCCUAGUACCCUAAAUUAUAGUUUAUGUGUAACAAUAGCAAGAAUACGGUGAAUAAAGGUAAAUCUCAUCAAUGGGGAAAAUGUCUCUACAUAAUCUAUUCAUUCUCUUUGGGUAUAACUUUUUUCCAUUAAGCGAGUGUGGACUCGUAUUUUUCACGUGUGCUCCGACUAGAUCGGCGAGACUUGCUUUUAUUGGUGAAGAACUUAGUUUUGGAAAAGUCGGAGUCACCACUUAUUUUAUUUUAUUUUAAAAGGGAAAAUAAAACAAGAAAGAAAACCCUAAAGAAGUGACUCCAUAGUUUUUUUUUUUGGAAACACGUGUCUUUGAAAAACCCGAGUCUUGGUUCGGGGAUCAGGUUACCUAUUGGGAAGGUACCUUUAAAAGGUAGCACCCCUCUAAGUCUUACAAAGGUCUCUACUGACUAAGUUGAGGGAAUUGGGGCAAUUAAUUGGUUGGUUGAGGCUACCUAGGUAGACUAAGGUGAUUUUUUUUUUUAAAUAGUAUGCUAAACAAGAAAACCAAUCACAAAUCAUAAAGAAGAUUUAGAGAGCGUACCUAGACUGCUUCUUAAGCGCUAUCACAAGACAUCAAAGUUAGUUCAAAUAAUAUAUCAUCCAGCAUGUGCUUUAUUAGAAAUAAUCAAACAAGGAAACAAUGUAUCAAGACACCCAAACACUAUCAAACAUAGGUGCGGUUCACAGUGACAAUCAUAUUCAUAGAAUUUAGAAGGUAGGUGAUAGGGGGUGUACCUGGAUAGCAUAGAUAACUCAUAACAUGCAUCCACGAGACAUGAGGGGGUUAAAUAAUAAAUAAUAAAAUAAAGAAAUCCUAGCAUGCUUGUUAUUUAAUUAGCAUAGCAAAAAUGAUCAAAGUAUACGAAAUCAUCAAUGAUCACAGUAUAAAGAAUCAUCAAUGAUCACAUACAUCUUGUAUAUAAUUCCUAAAAAAAUUGAUGAUUUUGAUUAUAGAAAGUAGCUAAAGUGGCAGGAAAUGUGAGUUUUGGAAAGAUUAUUUUAUGUAGGGGUCUCAUCAAGUCCCCAGUUAAUAUUCACAAAUUUAACCUGUGUAUUCCCAUUAGCUUGGGAACACAAGCUCAAACCUAUGUUGAGAAAAUAAAAUUUUGGAAACUGAGAAAAAGGAAUACAACUUGGAUAAAACUAAGUUGCAUAUUUUUUUAAAAAGAAAGUGAGAUCUUUGCACUAAAAUCCUAGAAUGGAUUUUUAUUAUUAUUUUAAAAAAAUUGUUAAAAGAUUUUAAUUCCUUUGAGAAUGAUUUUAGGAAAGCAAAAGGAACCAUGUGAUUUGAUAAAUCCAUAACACAGGACACAAAAUGAAGAUUUUUCUUUUUCUUUUCAUUUCUAAUUUAAAAGGGGUUUGAAAACAAAAUAAUAUCAACUUGGAUCCCCUUAUUGGCUACCUUUUCAUUUGGGAUCUAGGAGCCACAUCUUUGAUGGAGAAUAUUCAUUUUUUUUUGAAAGAAAAUAAGUUAUUUUGACAUAAUUCAAGAUGUCAAUUUAAAAGAGCUCUUUUCUUAAUAAAAAGGUUUGAGUUCAAGACUUAAAAGAGUUCAAUUAAAAAAUAACUAGAAUUGUCGACUUGAAAACAUGGAAAAAAUUUAACUAAAACCUAAAUCCUAAAAACUAAGUGGAUUCAAUCAAAGUAAAAAGUUAUCAAUUUAAAGACGUGACAAGAAUUUGACUAAAACUAAGAUUUUAAAAUAAAAAUAAAUAAAUAAACAAAUGAGGUCAAUCCAACUAAAAGAAACCACUAAGAGGAAACAUAGAUUUAACUAAAACAAAAAUUCUAACCAACUUAAUAAUUGCAAUGAUCAAUCAAACUCAGGAAUUAUCAAUUUAAAAAUAGGCAUGAAUUAAACUAUGACUACAAUAUAACUAGCAUAAUAACUAUAAGCCUUAAUAUUUAACUAAUUAUCAAUUUGGACAUACCACAUAAUUAUCUAAAACUAAAUUUUUUAACAAACUUAAUAAUUAGCCUAACUAGAGUUAUUAAUAAAGACAAGACAUGGCUAAAAAACAAACUCAUAAACAAAAUGAAAUCAACCAAGAGAAUUAAAAAGUGCAAUAUGAAGUUAAUGAUAUGGAAUCAAAUGAAUUAGCCAACCAAAAUUCUAAAGAUAUUAAGUACAUGGACUAUAGUGAAACUUAUAAAAACUAACACCGAGAUAUAAAAAAAAGAACUAACGAAGGACUAAUACACCCAACAAAUAUAAUUAUUAAGGAUACAAAUCAACAAAGGAAUCGUCAAAUUAAUACUAGAGAAAAAUAAGCAAUGAAGUAGUAGGAAAUCAAUGAGAACUAGGUAAUAAUAAAACCAAUAUCUCAAGACUUUUAAGCCACAAACUAACAAAAGGUAAAUGGAAACUAAUAACAUAAGAUUUGAAGAAGAUUAUUGAAGAAUCACGGAUCCUAAAAAUAGAUAAAUAUGAAAGAAUCAAGGUGAGAUUAAAAGGAUGACAAAGAACUAAAGAUUACAUUUUGCUGUUGCGUAUUUCUUUUAAAAAUUUGGUUGCUUUGAUUCAAAAAAAACUGGUGCCCUUUCAAUUAAAAAAUUUAGCGACAUUCUUACUCAAAAUACCUUCUAGUGCUCUCUCAUUUAAGAAAUUUGGCGUCAUUCUCACUUAACUGACGCUCUUUUAUUUAAAAAUCUGGUGGCUUUCUCAAAUAUUUUGGUGCUCUCUCAUUUAAAAAUCUUGUGGCUCUCUCACUUAAAGAAAAUUUUUUUCGUGCACUCUUAUUUAAAUAUUUGGUGGCUUUCUCAAAUAUUUUGGUGCUCUCUCAUUUAAAAAUCUUGUGGCUCUCUCACUUAAAGAAAUUUUUUUUGGUGCACUCUUAUUUAAAAAUCUGGUGGCUUUCUCAAAUAUUUUGGUGCUCUCUCAUUUAAAAAUAUGGUGGUUCUCUCACUUAAAGAAAAAAUUUUGGUGCACUCUUAUUUAAAAAUCUGGUGGCUUUCUCAAAUAUUUUGGAGCUCUCUCAUUUAAAAAUCUGGUGGCUAUCUCACUUAAAGAAAAAUUUUGGUACACUUUUAUUUAAAAAUCUGGUGGCUUUCUCAAAUAUUUUGGUGCUCUCUCAUUUAAAAAUCUAGUGGCUAUAAAUUUCAUUCUACACCAGCCCUGAUUUUAAAGCAAUAUCAAUCCACAUUUUUUUUUAUUUCACAACAGUUUGACAACAACCCAUAUUUCAUGUAUAAAUCAUCUUAUAUUCGAUCAAAGAUACGACCCAAAAUUUAAAUAAUAACCAACCUUGAUUCUAAGCUAAUCCAACUUGAAAAUCUUACCCAAUAUCAACCUAAAUGCUUGGCUAAAUAAAAUUCAGACAUGUCUCAAAAUGCAAUGCAGAAUUUUGGUCAAGUUCAAUCAAGUUCUCCAAACAAACAAAGCUUGGAAUUAGAUAUUAUGAAAUGUUAACACUAUUAAUCAAGAAUUCUUAAAUCUAAAAUAUUAUCACACAACUGAAGGAAUAUAAAAAAUUUGUAAAAAGUAAAUAAAUAUAAUCCAUCAAAGUUCUAAAAAAAAAAAAAAAUCAAAACUUAAAAUUGAAAAUAAAUAACAAACUAAUGUGUUCAAAAUUUACCUUUGGUAGAGGAAGAGAAAAUGUUGUUGUUUGGCUGUUGGUGAAAAAAAGUUGUUGAUAGUGAGUGUUCCUUCAAAAUUUUUCUAGUGUGUACAAUGUACAAAAAAAAUACAUCCUCUUUUUCUAUCUCCUUUGAUGGUACGACUCUUUGAUGCAGUAGUGCUUCCCAAAGCUUUUCUGGUGCGGUCCAUCUCUCUCUUCUCUCCCAAUCGAUCUCUCUUAUUUCUCAAUCAAUCUCUCUCACCCUCAAUGGCGUGACUGCCAAUCCUCACGUUCCAGAAUGGUAUGCCAAUCCUCAUCUUCUCCCAACAAGCCAAGCUUUUCAGGUCCCCCUCUUUGCUUCAGAAUGGUGCGGCUGCACCUUUUCUUUUCAUUUUUCUGCUGCAAAUUGUGCUCCAUUUCUUGAAAAACCAAACUUUGAAAGCCCUAUCCACAUGCUGACAUUUUUUUCUCAAUGGUGUGGCUGCACCUCAUUUUCUCUAAGGUGCGACUGCACCUCCACUUCCCGUUUUUUCCACUCCCCAUCGUGCCCCCUCUUCUACUCCCCCUCUCAUUCCUUCCAUUCUCACUUUCCUUUAUUUUCUUUCCCUCUUCUUCUCUGGUAAUGCAUCUUGAAUUAUUUUCCUUAGACACCACCUCAAUCUUUCCAUACUCAUGAUGAAUUUUCCUUCUUAAACCUAGCCCCAUUUCGUCCAUAUGCAUGUUGAAUUUUCCUCAUAGAUGCAAUCUAUUCAUUCCAAUUCAUAUGAAUCUUUCUUUUCAACGCAAUCCUAUUCAUUCCAAAUUCAUAUUCAAUCUUCCACAUAAGUGCGACCCCUUUUAUUUAAUUUGAAUCUUCCUCAUAAAUGCAACCCCUUUCAUUCUAUAUUCAUUUUGAAUUUUCCUUAAAAAAAAUGGUCUUCUCUUUCUUCAAAUUUUCUUCCCUUUAGUAAAUGAUUUAUUCUCUAAUUAGUCUUUCAAACUUCCCUUCCCCAUUGACCUUUCAUUUGGUAAGUCUUACUCUCUCUCUUGCAGCCCCUUUCAUAAUUGAAUUAAAUAUCUAAGCAUAGGCUAAAUGUUGUAUGGUAUUUUUCGAAGCAUGAGAAGAGUCCUUAAUGGUAAGAUUCAAUCGGCCACCCUUUCCUUUUCAUUGAUAAAUUUCCUUACAAAAGCACAAAAUUAUUAUAUUAAAUAAAUGAAUAAAAGAGGUAUUUUAGAAAAUGAUAGAAUAAAAUAAAUAAAUAAAUAAAUAAAAAUGAAAAAAAUUAUAAUAUAAGUAAAUAAUCAUAAAAAAAAGUGUCGCUCAAGCCAUGCAAAAANNNNNNNNNNNNNNNNNNNNNNNNNNNNNNNNNNNNNNNNNNNNNNNNNNNNNNNNNNNNNNNNNNNNNNNNNNNNNNNNNNNNNNNNNNNNNNNNNNNNGUAAAUAAUCAUAAAAAAAAGUGUCGCUCAAGCCAUGCAAAAAUGUGAGCCAUGCAAUCAUGCAUGCCAUGCAACCUAUGCAAAGAUUACUUAAACCUAGGUGGGCUAAGGAGUGCUUAGGUGGAUCAAGUGUGGCUAAGAUGGGCUAGAUGUGCUUAUGUGGGCCAAGUGUGCUUAGAUGGGCCAUGGUAUCCUUUGAUGGGCCUAGGGUGCCUAAGUGGGCCUAAGGUGGUGCCUAAUGGGCCAAGUGUACUUAAGUGGGCCUAAGUGCACUAAGCCCAAUGAAGUGUCUAAGUGGGCCUAAGGUUGUGUGUAAUGGGCCAAGAGUGCCUAAGUGGGCCUAAGGUGGUACCUAAUGGGCUAAGUGUACCCAAAGGGGCCUAGAGUGCCUAAGUGGGCCUGAGGUGGUGCCUAAUGGACCAAAUGUACCUAAAUGGGCCUAGGAGGCCUAAGUGGGCCUAAGGUGGUGCCUAAUGGGCCAUGUGCAUCGAAAUGGGCAUAAGGUGCCUAAUGAGCCUAAAGUGGUGCCUAAUGGGUCAUGUGUAUCUAAAUGGGCAUAAGGUGCCUAAUGGGCUUAAAGUGGUGCCUAAUGAGCCAUGUGUAUCUAAAUAGGCCUAGGGUGCCUAAGUGGGCCUAAGGCGGUGCCUAAUGGGCCAUGUGUAUCUAAAUAGGCCUAAGGUGUCUAAGUGAGCCUAAGGUGGUGCCUAAUGGAUCAUGUGUAUCUAAAUGGGCCUAAGGUGCCUAAGUGGGCCUAAAGUGGUGCCUAAUGGGCCAUGUGUAUCUAAAUGGGCCUAGAGGGCCUAAGUGAGCCUAAGUCUAAAUUAAGGCUGCCAAGAGUCACAAUGGAGUUAGAUAAAUCCCUCAACCAAAGUCCCCAAGGUGGCUUAGAGAAAUAUAGACUACACGAGUAGUAAUAGGUCACUAGGGAAUUGCUGUAAAGUACGGAACAAAUACCUAAUAGGACAUGUGCUAGGAGGACAAAAUGGAGGGUCUACAACGAGCCUUUAAUUUUUCAAUUGAACCAUUUGAUUUAUGUUUUAUUUUUAUGAUCCAAUUAUUUACUGUAAUCUUAUGCCUAAGCAGAAUAUCAAUCAACUCUCAAACAUGGUUCCUUACCAUGGAACUCAUUUAUUCCCUUAUAAUUUCUAACCAAUCUACUGAUUUUGGUGAAAUCAAUGCUUUCUUGUAAGAAGUAGGUUCAUUAAUGUCUAAUAGAGCACAAUGUAUCAUUCUUCUACAUUUUAAAGGCAACAAUUAGGAAUGUGACAAUAUUUUAUUCGAUGUCACUUGAGACCUUGUGAAGAUCAUUUUUAUGGUACAUUCCCACUAGAUGGCAAGUCACUCCCAUUAUCUUUGGUGACUUUACGUGGCCAUAUUGGUUUCUAUGUAACUCGAGACCUUGUGAAGAGCCUUUUCAUGGUUCAUUCCUACUAGAUGGCAAAUCACUCUUACUAUAUUUGGUGACUUUAGGAUAGGUUUGUAAUUCCUUAUCAUUACUUAAAGAUUAUGUUGUUUCCUCUUGCAACUCAUGGGUUUCAAGAUUCUUCUUUAUUUCACCAAUAUUGGGAAAACUGCUUUCCAUAAAUCAAUAUCAUCUGAAUAUUUUAAUCAAUCCUUCAUUAGGACAUUUUCUGUAUAUCACAUAACCUUUUAAGAAGUUAGAAUAUUUUAUAAGGACAUUCUUAAUUGCUCUAAGGCCUAACCUCUCAUAUUUAUGAGAAAUGUUAUGAACAUAACUUGUGUAACCCUAAGGUUGCAAAUCUUCUAGAUUUGGUUUUGCGUCAUUCCAGGGCUUAUAUGGAGUAGUGACUAACUUAGAAGGUGCUCGAUUGAAGAUGUCGGUAGUAAUUACAAGAGCAUCCACCUUGAAAAAGAUAUUAGGAGGUUAGCAUAUGGCAUCAUUGACCUAACCAUGUCUAAUAAAGUAUGAAUAUAUAUAUAUAUAUAUAUAUAUAUAUAUAUAUAUAUAUAUAUAUAUAUAUUAUUUUUUUUAAUUUUGUGCUGUACCAUUUUAUUGCGAAGUGCCAAGAAUUGUCAACUUCUUGUGUAUACCUUUCUCCUCACAUAGUUUAUGAAACUAAUGUGACAAGUAUUUAUGACCUCUAUUAGUUUGAAAAAUAUUCAUUUUUUUUGUUAUUCUCAAUUUCUACCAUAAAGCGCUUGAAGUAAUCUAAUGUUUUAAAGUAAUAUGAGAUAAGAUAUGCAAAAUUAAAACAUGAGUAAUUAUUAUAGAUUGUGAAGAAAAAAAUAAGAGGCACCAUGAUGUACCUUCACAUUCAUAGGUCUACAAAUGUCUAUAUGGACCAACUUCAAAGGGUAUGAGACCCUAGGUGCCUUUCUAAAAGGCUUCCUAUAGGCUUUGCUAGCUAGACAAGUCUCUUACAUGGGUAGGCUAACAUUGGUGAGAUACAUUAGAAGGCCUUUUCUAACUACAUAUAUCUUAAUCUAGCAUGCCACUUCAUAGAAUUAGUGGUAUUAUCACAAGCCAUAUAAGAAGAGGCAAAAUCUAAAUUCAACAUAAAAUGGAAUUAUCACAAGCCAUAAUAAAAUUAACGUUGCCAAAUAGAGCCUUAUUUAAAUGGAAUUCAACAUUUGACCAAACAAAAUGAAACAUGAAACUCAGUUCAAGUAGGGCUGUAACUGAAAGCAAAUUACAUUGGAUAUCAAGUGCAUAUAAUACAUCAUCAUAGAGAAGUAGUGUGCACCUCAAACACUAUUUAAGUUGUUAUAUGCCAACUCUUAAAACAUCCUCCUUUGUUUUGUUACCUAGGGUAACAUACUAUCGGCUUAUUAAUAUUGUUUUGUAAUCCACAAAUCUCACUUGAUCUUUUACUACAUUUUUUGUUGCUCUUGAGUGUAUAAUCAACCCAAGAAGAGAAUGAACAACUAAUACAUAUGUAUGAACAUAUGAAAAGAAAGAGUUAGGAUUAAAGUAUACCUUCUUUGGCUCAAUCUACUCACAAGCAAAGUGACCCAAUUUUGCAUAGUUGUAGCAUUUCAUUUUAGCCUUCUUAUUCUCAUCAUGCUUACCUCUCUGAAAAUUUUUUAUUACCUUUCUUUGGACCUAAAUUACCUGUACUACCAUAUUUUCCUUGUCUAUUAUGCUUACACUUGUUAGCUUUUCUUUGUCCCACAUAAACAACAAGUGUGGUGUGUUGCACCCCCUUAGGUGCAUUACUUAUAACUCAAUUAGGUAAGAAAUAUCAGUAAAGGUUUUGAUAUUCUUAUUGUGCGUGAGCACAAGUUUUAUUUAGCCCCAUAAUUUGGGCAAAGAGCAAAAUACUAUUAUGAUAUUUUGCUCAUUAGUUAUGUUAUUAUCGUCAACUUUAAAGUCACAAAUUAGGGUUGAAGUUAAUCUCAAAUGCUUAGCCAUCAUGUGUUUGGCAUCUGUGACAUAUUUUGCUUGAACUUCAAAGUGACUUCACGUAACCUAGUUGCAAUUGUCAAGCCAUACGCAAUUUUGAGCUUAUUCCAUAUUUUCUGAGAAGUGAGGUAGUGCUCGAACAUCCUUAUGAAGUCAUUGUGCAUACUAAUAAACAAGGUAAAGCCUGCACAAUGAUAUUUCUUAACCUAGAAUUGAUAAGCUUUCAUAUCACAAUGUUAUUAGAUUGAAUUUCCUUUUCUCGAGUUGGAUCAUGGCAUCAAGUCAAGGGAUUUAAGACCUCUUGUUCAUUUAAAAAUUAUUAUAUUUUUUGUGCUACAUAUCAUAAUUAUUGUUAUUUAAUUUGUCUCUUUAAGUCAAGUCAACAACAACAUUCUUGGUGGUCAUUUCACUACAUUUAUUGCAUAGAGUAUGAUAUUAACAUAUAUUUCUUAAUUUCAAAUGCAUUGAUGUUAAAUACCAUUACACAUUCAAGGCAUGGUUGGCUAAAUGAGGUGAUUGUGGAAUGCAUUUGUAUGAGUCAUAGGGUUGCAAAUCCUAUGACUAAGCCAAUAGCUCGAGAUGUUUAUCAAGCUCAUAUUAGGAGUUUAAGACUCCAUGGACUGUGAUUUGUUUUUUAUUUACUAAUUGACUAUGGCAUUAGAUCUUUAUUAUUCAGGAUAUUGUUAUUUAUGAUACACAUAUUUCAUUGUCUAUGUUUAAUUGUUGCAUGAUAGAUUUUGGCACACACAUAGUAAGGUAUAUCAAUAGGUAUAUAUAGAUUCACUCACUUGACGGCCUCCUUUAGCGCUCUUGGAAACUGAGCUAAGAUGAAACAUGUUGAGCUUGAGAUGCUAGAAUAGCGGGCUAAGCCAAAUCUAUUUGAGUGUUGUCUUGGAGGGAACCAAGAUGAGGUUUUUUUUUUUUUUUCCCUCUUCCAGAUAGAGUAUAGAAAAAUGUUUAGAUCUCACUAUCCAUACAUAACCUAUAGAAUGGUUGGAUACAAAACCUUAAUAUGCAUGGCACUAGGAUUAGCAAAUUUAUGGAGAUUCGGGUUAGACACCUAGUAGUGACUGGACUAAGAUCCGUAUAGAGUUUUUGAGGAGAGAUAGCUGCUCUUUAAAGAACAUUCCACUAUAACAUGUAUUCCAUACUACAUGUGCUUGGCAGCUAAGAUAAGGAAGUUGAAAAAUGAAUUCUUGCUUCUUCAUUGUAUGAGUCCUUAUAGAUCAUUAUACUUUAGAUGAUUCUAUAUUUUGCUGUGCUCUUUGUGACUUUUGACUUUUCCAUGAAAUGGAGCUAUAAUGUAUGUUACUCUAGCAUAUUUUCUAUGGUCAUGUUUAGAAAACAUUUAGACAAAAAAGAAUAAAAAAUGGUAUGAGGGCGAUAGGAAAACUAUUUAAUAACAUAUCCAUGUUUUAUGUUCAUUGUUGACAAGUUAUUUAGUGCUUAGGUGCUACAUAUUUAACUAUGAACAUAAAUACUAGAUAGAGGGGCUUCUAGCAAGGCUAUGAGAUAUCACUUAAAGGGAUUUGAGAUGCUAAAAAUGAGACGUGACCAAAUGAAUUUGGUGCAUAAUGAGAGAUAGAAUGCUCUAGGAUGGUCUAGAUAAGAUUUGGUAUAUUGCUCGCAAAUUUCUUUUAUAGGUGGCUAGACCAUCGUGUAACUCAUUAAUAAAUAUGUAUGGAAUAGUUAAUAAGAUGUUGAGAGAUGUUUGAGCCUAUUAUGUGUGAAUACGAGAUGUUGGAUUAUUUAUUAUUUUGGGUGUUAUGGGUAGACUAACAGGGGUAUCCUUAGUGGGCUGGACCAAUUAAGGGAUAAGUGGUACACGAGGAAUCUAUUACCAUCUAAUCCUAAUCCUAACCAAAUAAAGAGUUGGAAAAGUUUUUUAGGAUCUCUCUUCUAUAAAUACCUUCUCCUCUCCCUCUUAAUCACAAGAUGGGAGAAUAAUUUCAAAGAAUAGUUCUUGACCUGCGGAUUUCUGUAGGUGAUUCCCGAGUAAAUCAUCUUCAGGUAUGUACCAAAACACCUCCGAAAAUUUAGAUGUAUUUGGGCAUAUAAAAGAAAUAAUUAUAUACGUAAAACUAUUUUUUUUAAAAUAUUAAUAAUUUUAUUUACUACUUUAUAUUUGUCUUGUAAUUAAUUAUUAUAAAAAUCAUAUGAAAAUCCACCCAUUGUCAUUUCACAUGUGAUGUGUGCACACAAAAAUGAGAGAAGAAUGACAAAAUUGGGAUAAAAUUAUGAAAUAUCGUUGGAAUAUCUUGAAUUUUUUUUUUUGGGAAAAUAUAAAAAAAAAAAAAUCAGGCAAUUCUCAUUUAUUCCGUCCAGAUGGUAACAUUUUUGUUCUUUCAUUAAUCAAACGUAUAAUUAUAUAUCAAUAUAAAGUUUAAAGUUUCGAUUAACUGAAAAUUUUCAAAAAAUAUUUUUAAUUUUACUAGGAGGAAAUUAUUGCUUAAAGUUGAUGAAACUUACUAGACAAGUGAAGUCAAUUAUGGAAGCUCAUUUGUUAAUAAAACCUUUCCCUGAUGAAUCCCCUCCCAAUACUCCCCACUUGUGCUUGGAAAGACACCUUCAACCACUUUAAAAAUUGAAAAAAGUAUAGAUAAUUUAAAAAUUCUGAAGAAAAAAAAAACGUUUGAGAAUCAAUAGGUUAAAUAAAAAUGAGAUAUUUGUUGAAUUACUUUUUGAAUAUUAAAGUUAAAUGACAUGUGAUGUAAUCCUGAAGAAGGAUCGAAAAUAGUGUAUUGGUUAUUGGGUUGUUGAGGUUAUGACUUCAAAUUUAGAAAUCCAACUGUGAAUGACCUUUUCACGAGCAAUGAAGAAAGUUGGUAGCAGCUUCCCACACAUGGAAAACUAAAAUAAACAAUCAGCGGAAAAGUCUUCCUCUGGGUAGUUGAAGAACAGGGAAGAAAGAGACAGCACAAAUACAUUAACACAUGUCCGAAAAUGAACCCCACCAAAAAAUAAACUCAAGCACACAAACUUUGAAGCCAACUGAUCAGUGACAGUCAAUGGAUAAGAGUUGGUGAGACACAGGUUAUAAAAGCCCAACACUCACAUCCAUCUUUCUCAAGCCAGCUCCAAGCAUUCUUCUCUUUCCUCCCUCGACUUAAUCUUGAGCUUCAAUUUGAGUACGUAGCUGGCAUCAAUGGCUUCAGUUGAGGAAAUUAGAAACGCUCAACGUGCCAAGGGUCCGGCCACCAUCCUAGCCAUUGGCACAGCUACUCCCGACCACUGUGUCCACCAGUCUGAUUAUGCUGAUUACUAUUUCAGGGUCACUAAGAGCGAGCACAUGACUGAGUUGAAGAAGAAGUUCAAUCGUAUAUGUAAGUAUAUUCAUGCAUUAAUUCUUAUAUACAUAACACAUCUAUACAUAUAAGAGUGUGUGCUAUUAGGUGAGACUCACCUCCGAGUGAAUGGAUGUUUCAAGCUUUCUAGAGUAUAGCUUUUAGAUAAAUUACUUUAGGAAACUUGAAAAUAAUUUUACUUCAAUAACCAAUAUUCCUUGCAUCUGACUGUAAUGGCUUGAAGCGCUGUUCUUUGAACAUGUAGCAUUGCUCGCUAUAAUUAAGAAUACCCACUUAUACUUGCUUCAAUGUUAAAUGCAUGUUGAUUAUCUUGAACAAUAUACUAUAUGACUUGUCAAUUGGUAAAACUAAUGUGUUCAUGUUACUUCUUUUAUAGGUGACAAAUCAAUGAUAAAAAAACGUUACAUUCAUUUGACUGAAGAAAUGCUUGAGGAUCAUCCAAACAUUGGUGCUUAUAUGGCUCCAUCUCUUAACAUACGCUAAGAGAUUAUCACAGCUGAGGUACCUAAGGUUGGUAAGGAAGCAGCAUUGAAGGCACUUAAAGAGUGGGGCCAGCCAAAGUCCAAGAUCACCCACCUUGUAUUUUGUACAACUUCAGGUGUAGAAAUGCCUGGUGCUGAUUAUAAACUUGCUAAUCUCUUGGGUCUUGAAACUUCAGUUAGAAGAGUUAUGUUGUACCAUCAAGGGUGCUAUGCAGGUGGAACUGUCCUUCGAACCGCUAAAGAUCUUGCAGAGAAUAAUGCAGGAGCACGAGUCCUUGUGGUGUGCUCUAAGAUCACUGUUGUUACAUUCCGAGGACCUUCCAAAGAUUCUUUGGAUUCUUUAGUUGGUCAAGCCCUUUUUGGUGAUGGGUUUGCAGCUGUGAUUGUUAGAUCAGAUUCAGAUGUCUCGAUUGAACGACCCUUCUUCUAGCUAGUUUCAGCAGCCCAAACGUUUAUUCCUAAUUCAGCAGGUGCCAUUGCGGGCAACUUACGUGAGGUGGGACUUACCUUUCAUUUAUGGCCUAAUGUGCUGACUUUGAUUUCCGAGAACAUAGAGAAAUGCUUGACUCAAGCUUUUGAUCCACUUGGUAUUAGCGAUUGGAACUCGUUAUUUUGGAUUGCCCAUCCAGGUGGCCCUGCAAUUCUUGAUGCAGUUGAAGCAAAACUCAAUUUAGAUAAAAAGAAACUUGAAGCAACAAGACAUGUGUUGAGUGAGUACGGUAACAUGUCAAGUGCAUGUGUGUUGUUUAUUUUGGAUGAGAUGAGGAGGAAAUCAUUGAAGGGGAAAAAGGCCACCACAGGUGAAGGAUUGGAUUGGGGAGUAUUGUUCGGUUUUGACCAGGCUUGACCAUCGAGACCGUUGUACUGCAUAGCAUACCUAUGGCUACAAAUUGAGUAAAGAACGAUAAGAAAAGUUAUAUACAAGCCAUGUCUUAUUGUAUUAAGGAGGUGUUAAUGAAGAUAUAUACAUAUAUUUGCAAAGUUAGUAAUAAUUUGAUUUUUUUAUUAUUUCUAUUUUAAAUGAGGAGAUUGUAAUUUAGUGAUCGUUGAAAGGUGUAGUGACCUGAAGUUAAAAGGAUGAGACAUCAAGUUCUUAUUGUUUUAUAUUCUUGAAGUUUCCUCGAAAGUUAUAGUUUUCUUUUGUCAUAAAUACCAUUGAAAAAAGAAAACCAAAAGAAUUAGAUAUAUAGCACCAAUUUUAAAUUUUGGUAAUGUAGCCAAGAAGUUUUCAACUUAAUUUACUUUCCUCUUGUUUGAAUUCUGAUUGAACACAAAUAUAGUUGAAAGUUUGCUUGUAAUCAAUUUUGGCCUCUCUCAAAUGUGUAUGCCAAAGCCUAGUAUCCUAAACUACAUGGAAUUUGUUAUGUUGGGUCUAAAUGUGCAACAAUAGCUAGAAUAAGGUGAAUAAAGGUAAAUGUAAGGGAGAAUGUCUCUUCAUAAUCUAUAUACUCUUUCUUUUGGUAUAUCCUUUGGCCACUAGAAAAGCCUUGUAUUUUUUGAUCGAACCAUAUACUUUGUGUUUGAUUUUUAAUAUACAUUUAUUUCCUAUGGUCUUAUGGCCAAGUAAAAGAUUAACCAACUCCUAAACACGGUUCUUUGCUAUGGAACACAUCUCUUCCCUCAUAAUGGCUAACCUAUAUGAUGAUUUAGGUGAAUUCAAUGUUUCCUUAUAAGAACUAGGGCCAUUAAGGUUUAAUGGGGCACAAUGUAGGAUUCCUCUUCAAUCAAAAAGCAAUGAUGGAGAAUAUGGUAAAAUUUGCUUCUACAUAACUUAGGACCUUGUGAAAAGCCUUUUUACUGGUACAUUCCUGCUAGGACACAAGUCACUUUCAUUAUCUUUAGCAAUUUCAAGGUGAGUUUGUAAUUCCUCAUCCUUGCUCAAAAAUUGUGUUGCUUCUUCUUACAACUCAUGGAGUUCAAGACUCUUCUUCAUAACUUCACCAAUAUUGGGAAAAAUACUUUCCAUAAAAUCAAUAUCAAGGGACUCUAUUUCAAUCAAUCCCUCAUUAAUUAGGAAGUCACCAUACAUCACAUAACCCUUUACGUAGUUAAUUAAAAUAUUUGAUUCUUUCUUUUCGCUAUACUAUUUUGUUGUAAGUGCUAAAAAAAUGUCAAUUGUGUGUGUAUUCCUUUCUCUUCAUAGAGUUUUGAAACUAAUAUGCCAAGUAUUUACGACCUCUAUUAGUUUGAAGAAUCUUUGAAUUCUUGUCUUUAUGAUUUUCAACCUUUGCUAUAUAUAUAAAUCACUUGAAGUAAUCCAAUGCUUCAAAGCCGUCACACCCCAAAUUCUAAAACUAUGGUUUAAUUAUAAUACAAAAGGGUUAACCCAUAAUUCUAGAAUUUGAAAUGGGAAUUAAAGUAUAAUGAUAUAAUAUUUGUAAUAUAGUAUGUUAAUCAUUUAUAUUUCAUGUUCAUAAAUUCAAGUUCUAUCAUACAACUAGUAUGUUAAUCAUUUAUCCAUAUAUAUAAUAUUAAAUUUUAUUUUACAACUUUUAAAUUUAAAUUUUCUUUUUGUUUAAGAGUAUAGAUAACGUGGUCCAAUAGAGUUUUCAAAUAUGUCUUGUAUACUAUCUUAACUGUGCAUAAAUUUCAUAUGGAAAACAAACUAUUUUUAAAAGUUUCAAAUUUAAGAUAAAAAGUAGUAGAUUUUUUUUUUUUAAUGCUGGUAAUACUCAAUAUAUAUAUAUAUAUUGGAUUUUUAUCUUUGAUAAAUUUACUUGAGUGGACUUUUUCCUAAAGAAAUUCAAUAAAAGUUGUCAAUUUAUAACUAAAUUUGGAACAUUAGGUUUUGAUUUACUUGGAAUUAGGUUCUAAAAGUAUUUUUAUUGGUAUUUCGUUAUUUACAUUAGAAAGUAAAAGUAAAUGGAGCAAUAAAUGACAAAAUAAUAAAUGAGUUAUGUGUUGAGAGUAAAACUGUGUUGAGAUGCUGAGAAGUGGCGCUCCAUAGACCAAAUUGCGCAUUUGAACUAAAAAAUUUGUGCACCUUAGAUUUGUGCACUACCAACUAGAGCUAGAAUAUAGAAAAUAUACAUUUUAUUUACUUUCUCCGAAUGCUAUACAUACUAUUUAGAUUACAAAAAAAAGUACAACUAUUAUAUACAAUUGUAAUUCUUUACUUUUAUAACAUUACAAAAUUUCUUUAACAACAAAAACACCCAUACUUCAACAACACAGCCUUCUAGGUCUCUUAAUAGCAACACAAUACCGACUUUUUCUUCCUUUUUUAUCCUCUUUAACUUGGUUUGUAUAAAAUAAUUUUACAUAAAAAUGGUGAGCUUCAACUCAGUAAAGAAGGGUCUAAUUUAACAAAAUAAUUGUAAAGCAACUGUUUAAAUUAUUUUGCAUCAUUUAAAACAACAAUUCAUAUAAAAUAUGGAUUUUACUCAACAUAUGCAAUUAUAUCAUAUCUAUCAACAAAUAUCAUACCAUUUACCUUUCUUGGAACAACUUCUUUUCAUAACCUAUAACAUUAGUCUCAAUACACAAAGUAUUAUAAGGCUCUCACCCAAGGACAUGCUUCCAUGCCCCACAUUAAUCCACAUAUGGAUAGAUUUUCUUAAGAAUGUUUUGGGUUUUUCAUUCUAGGGUACUUUACCCUUUUUCCUUAAGGGGCUCUCACCCAGGGAUUGUUUCCUUUUAUUUAUUUUUUAUUUAAUUUGGGCCACGCAUCAUGAUGCCUUACAAUAAGAUAUACGAGUGUUUUCAACACUCCAUGUUGCUCAUGCUACAUUAACAAGUUAAUUUAAGUAAAAUAUAGUAUGUCUCAUCACAACAGAGUGUAUCUUAAUCACGAGCAACAAGUUUCAAUAAGAAUUUCUCAUAUUCAAGUGUUGUACGAAAUCCAAAUUUCUAUAACUUCACAUCUCAAUUUAUUUUUCAACAUUACAUACAACAAAUACGUUUGCUCAAGUUUUGUAUACAGUAUUAAAUAGAGUUUUCAAACAAAACUUCCUUACCUAUUAUAGUAACUUGACUGACUUUAGCUUUCAACUUUUCCCUUAGUUUUCCUUUUAGUUGAGUCUCUAGGUCUCCCAUAUGUUGUCAUUUUCUUUUGACAUAAAACAAAGAUUAAAGUUUGUAGGCAAUUAUCUUUAAGAAAUUGUUGCUAGAUAUUUAGCUUUGAAACGCUCUUAGUGUUAUACAACUAACAAGUUUCUCACACCUAUUUCAACAUUUUUUAAUUAAAAUUUAAGGUGACAAAUGACUCUAUUACAACAAGUAAAUUAACAUAUUUCUUGAAUUUUCAACCACUUGCUCAAGCAAGCAAUUGACUAAGCUGCCAACUCGCUAAACAUUAAAGAGUAGAGGUUUCCACCAUUGCUAAAUACAUGUGAAAUAUUAAUCAACUAGUGUAACAUAUUUAGUACUCGACUAAACACAUUUGAAGAAUAAUUAUACCUAAUUCAUUAGCUAAACCAUAAUCUGCAUUAAAGGAUUAAGUAAACUUAAAUUAACCUUUAAUUUAAUUUAGGACAAUACAAAAGCGAUGGAAAAUUAGAUAUGCAUAGUUAAAACACAAAUAGUCAUCAGUGAAAGUGAAAAAAAAUAAUAGGCACCAUGGCAUGCCUUUAUAUUCAUAGGUUCAAAAAUGUCUCAAUAAACCAACUCUAGAAGGUGUGAAACCUUAGGUGUAUGUCCAAAAGGCUUCCUAUAGGUUUUACUUGCUAGACAAGUCUUUCAAAUAGGUAGGCUAACAUUGAGAGAGAGACCCUAGAAGUCCUUUCCUAACUAGUUUAAUCAUCGUUUCUUUGCGUAUAUGUCUUAAUUUAGCAUGCCAUCUGAAAGAAUCAAUGGUAUUAUAAGAGCCACGUAAGAAGAUGAAGAAUCUAAAUCCAACAUAAAUAAACCAUUAAGUAAAAAACCUUGUCUAUACAUGGCCUUAUUUUAUUAGAGUUCACCUUUGGCCAAACAAAACGACAGAUGAAACUUAGUUCAAAUAUAACUAUAAUUGAAUGUAGACUACAUUGGAUACUAAGUGCAUGUGAUACAUCAUGGAAGAGUAGCGUGUGCCUCAAACACAACUUAAGCUUUUGUAUGCCAACGUUUAGAGCAUCCUUCUAUUAGGAUAGAGCCUUUAAAAACAUGACAUAAUGUAAUAGAAUUUUGGAUUUUAUUAUUUAUUAAUAAAUUUUUAGUUCACUUUUAUCUAUCCUCAUUCCAUGCAUUACCUUGUAAAGAUUCUGACUUGGAUCUCUUGCAUUGUUCGUGACUUGGGUGCAUUAGGAGUUGCACGGAAGAUCCAAGUCACAAGCUUUUUACAAGUAGAUGACUUGUUUAUAACUGGUUUGUGGGUUUAGACAACCCAUUAGAGUUUAUAUUGCACUACCUUUUAAUUGGAGGGAUGAUUGGUAUUGACUACCGGGAUAUGUUGCCUAUGGUGAGUGCAAAUGUGUGUGUGGUUUUUACAUUAUAUAGGACCUAUGGUGAGUUAUGACAUAAAGCUAUCAAACAGUCAUAACUUUACCAAGUUGCUUCAUUGUAAGAGAAUACUUAGCUUGCGUUAAAGUUAGUAGUGACAUUGACCUAUAGGUGAGAUUAUAAACUAAUCAUAUAUUCCCUAUGGAUUGGAUCACUGUUGAUGGAAACUAAUUACAAUAGGUAUUCUCAAUAGAGUCACCAUGAUAUCUUUUAAGAUUGAGACAGUGUGUCCCAUUGGGUGAUUUUAAGGAGGUGUGUUCAUGGAAACUAUGACCAUAGUAGUUCCUUAAGUAGAACUUGACAUAGGCUCUUUGAGAGCUAAGACAUGUCAAUUGAACACACAAUAAGAAAAUCUAUAACUCAAGGAUAGUAGAAGUUGUCUUGAAAGACUGAUAAUGUUUAUCUUGUUAAACUACGGAUACUAGUUCAUGAGGAGACUGGACAUAAUGAAUAGUAGGUCAUAGACUCGAAUACUAAGUGUCUUAUUGUUAUUUAUAAUGGGCAUUAGAGAGUGAAGUUGAUUAUCUAUAGUGGGAUGUUAAGUCAACUUCAAAAUUAGAUUAUAAGGGAGAUAAUAUUGUCCUAUAGGUCCUAGUGGUCCCCACUUGAGCUCAUAUACCUUGUUGGCAUGGUUUAUAAGGGUUGGAUUGACUAUUGGUUCACUUUUGUGCAUAAGAAUGUUUUGGUAAUCAUGUAAGGUUGCAUAGGGGUUAGUAAAUAAAGUCUUUGGAUUAAGGCUAAUCGACUAAUUAAAAGCCUGUAUGUGGAUCCACAUUUUUCACAUGCAUUCCCACUCGUUGGCAGGGCUCGCUUUUUUAAUUGAAAAAUUGUAUUUUACAAAAACAUAGAGUUGCCACUUAUUUCUAUUAUUUUUUUAAAGGAAAGAAAAUAAGAAACUAAAACCCUAAAAAAUGUGACUCCAUAGUUUUGGAAAAUCAUGUCUUCAAAAAGCCUAAGUCUAGGUCCGGGAAUCAAGUUACUUGUUGGGAAGGUACCUCAAAGAGAUAGCACCCCUCUAAGCCCUAAAAUGGUUUCUACUAGCUAACUUGAUGAAAGUAUGACAAUUAAUAAGUUGAUUAUGGAUACCUAGAUAGGCUAAAGUGAUUUUAAAAUUCUACAAAUUCUAGCAUGCCAAACGAGGAUUCAAAUCACAAUCAUAAAGAAAGGAUAGUAUGCGUACCUAGACUACUUCUUACGCAUUAUCACAAGACAUCAAAGUUAGUUUGACAAUAUAAUACAAUAUAUCUCAUGCAUUCAAUCCAUUCAAAUAAUCAAGAAAUAAAUCAGAGCAAUCAAGACAAUAUCAAACAUAAGAGUAUUCACAAACAAAUUUUGCAUAUUUAUAGAAUUAAAAAGAGAAGGGGUUAAGGGACAUACCUGGAUAGCGAACAUAACUUACAAUGUCCUUGCAUGUAGCUAGAGAGGGUUAGCUCACAAAUAAUAACAAAUAACUAUGACAAUAAACCCUAAUAUACACGGUAUAUAUACAACUCAAAUGAAAUGACAUAAGUCUAAAGAAACAACAACUAUCACAUAGGACAUGCAUACAAGCUCAUUUUUUAAAUUUAAACUAAUGCUCAAGAUAGCCAUAAGUAUCAAAAUUAGUGACUAAGACAAAAACAUGCAACAAGGGUCAGAACGGUUGCAUUCACUCGAAAAAAUCAUAAACAAAUAUCUAAAAACAUUAUUUUGUCAUGGGAAAAAACAAACAACAUUCUUAUCAUGUCUAUAUUACAAUACCAAAGCCAAUUAAGAUCAAGCAAAGAUAUAUCAAUUAACUCCAUAUUAAAAGAUAAGUUAAAGACUAUAUAUAAUUUCUAGCAUGCUGUCAAAACAUAAGGUUUCAUAAAACAAUUGCUAAAUAAUAUCUACAAUGAGAAUUUAACUACAAAAAAAUUUAGGGAACUUCUCCUAUGUGUCUAAAUGAUCAUCCAAUUGUCUGAACAAUUUAACAAAGCUCUAUUUAAUCCCGGUUUAUAAAAACAUCUGAGAAGGUCCAGAACUAGGCAGAAAACAGUGACAUGCAUAAAUUGAAUUUUUAAAAAUAAUUAGAGAUCUCAUAAAAUCAGAAAAAAAAUCACACACAUCUUUCAAAGUGUCUAGAAUCCAUCAUGUACAAUAGACUCAAUUUUGAAAAAUGAUAUCUCCCUCAAGAAAGAUGUUUUUUUUUAUAAAUAUUUUACAUGUUAAAAACCAUUUUCAAGAAGUCUAGAAUUAGGGAUAUCAUAACAAAUUUACAGAGUCAUCUAAUAAUUUAUUUUUUACAAAAAAGAUUUAGGUGUCUAGAAUUGGGUGAAAACAAAACCAUCUAAAAGACUCAUUCAUAUAUUCCACUUUAGAAUUUAUUUUUAACUCAAACAAAGUUCUAAAUUCAAGUUCAAGAAGUCUAAAAUACCAUAAAAUCACUGAAAAAAAUUUAGAAGCAUCAUAAAUAGAAAAAAUCAAAUUUUCUUUUAAGAAAUGCAAUAAGUUGAAUAAGCUAAUCAAUAAAAAGUUUUUGGAAAAUGAUUUUAUGCAAGGGUUCCACCAAUUCCCCAAUUGAUAUACACAAAUAUUGCCUAAAAAUAUCCCAUUUAUUUGGGACACAAGAUUAGAUUCAUGUUUUACUCAAAACCAUAAUUUUUAUUGAAAACCGAGAAAGAUUCAAAUCGAUCAAGACAUGGUUGCAUAUUAUUUAAGAAAAUGAGAUUUUGAAAUGCAUUUUAACGGGGAAUAUUUUGAGAAAAAGUUUCUCUUUAAAAAGAAAGACAUGAUUUGCAAACAACAAUACACAAGACUCAAACAAAGACAACCUAGAGGAAGACAAAAUUUCAAAGUAAAAUUUUUGACAACCAACCAAACCAAUUUGGUGGGAGUAGGAGCCAACUUUUAUGAGUUUUUGAUGACCUCCAAGAAUUAAAUUUAAUGAACAAACAUCAAAACAAAUAACUAAACGACCUUAGAUCAAAUAAAGCUAACCAGAUAUCAAUAAAAAAACUAACAAGGAUUAAUCAAGCGCAUAAACUGAAGAUAUAAUCAAGAAUUAAAUUAGAUCAAUCGAACACACAAACCCAUGAUUAAAAUGAUGUAAAAUAUAGUAUCAUAAGCACUUACAAUUCUAAAACACCUGAACUAAAUAAGGAUCAAUCAAGAACUGAAACUUAACAGACUUAAAACAUGAAUAUAAUGACAAGAGGUCAAAUUAAUUAAUUAAUUAAAAUUCUAAAGACUUGUAAACUGAAUAUGAUCAAUCCAAAAAACCAAAAUUAACAAACAUGGUGAUAAUGAUAUAGAAUCAAAUGAGUUAAUCAACUAAAAACCCAAAGCAUCACAUGAAUCAACUAAGAUGAAAAAAAAAAGAAUAAAAUAAAAUAAAAACAUGAUGAUAAUGACAUAGAAUCAAAUAAAUUAAUCCACUAAAAUCCUAAAGCAUCGCACAAAUUAAUUAAGAUGAACCCGGAAACUAAAAUUUAAAAAAACAAGAUGAUAAUGACAUAAAACCAAAUAAAUUAAUUGACUAGAAUUUUAAAGACACGAAAAUUAAAUUGAAUAAAAAAACUAAUAAACAAAACUUUAACUUUUCAAUCUAAUUAAAUUUUUUUUAAUAAUUAAUAAAAAAAAUAAAAAACUAAAGAACAAAUAAACUCACUUACCUCUUCGAAUAGGUGCGCGGAUUGUAGCAAUGUCUCCAAGUUGUAUGUGUGUGGUCAUUCCAAGAUGCAGCCUUCACUUUCAUUCUUUAAUGGUGCAACCUGCCUUUCAUCUUAUGGUGUGUCAUGUGGAGAAAUUAUGUGGUGCGACUAGUUGUUUCCCCUCAAAGUUGUAGCUAUAUGCUGAGAGGUAGCCUGUCUUUUCUCUUUGAAAAUUUGGGCAGACCCCUUUAAAAUUCUGGUCGUGGUUCCCUUGAAGAUGGAAACUUUGCCCUAGAAUGUAUGUUGUUCGUGGCUUUUAUCUCUAGAAUCUCUCCACUUCGCAUGUUGUGCGUGGAUUUUAUAUGGAGAAUCAUUAGUGUUGCUGCCUCUAUCGAAUACCUGAUCGUGAACCCUAAAAAAAAACCUCCCCCAAAAAUCCUAUUCUUCUCCUAAUCUUGUCAUUCUCAUUUUUUCAAAAAUAUUAUCGUCCCACAUUUUAAAACUUAUCAUCUCUUUUUUAAAUAAAUAUUUUUAUUUUCCAAUUAAAAACUAUUUUUUUUAAAAUCUGAUUCUUCAAUUAAAAAAAAAGAAAAGAACUAAUGUCAACCAUUUUUUUUCCAUUGGUAAGUUUUCUUGCAAAAACAUCAAAUUUAUUAAAUUAAAUAGUUGAAUGAAUAAAUAAAUAAAUUAGAAAAUGAUAAAACAAUAAUAAAUAAAUAAGUUAAUUAAAAAAAUAAAUAAUAAAAAAAGAUAACAAAUAAAAAUAAACAAGUGAUUGAUAAUAAUGAAAAAAAAUAAAAAUAAAUAAACAUAUAUAAAAAAUGAGCCACGCAAGCCAUGCAACAAUGCAAGUCAUACAAGUCACACAAAAAAUGCCUAAAAGAUGACCUAAGUGUACUUAAGGUGGACCUAUGUGAACCUAAGUGUACCUAGAUGAACCUAGGUGAAUAUAGGUGGGUCUAAUUGGGCCUAGGUGGGCUAAGUGAGCCUAGAUGAGCCAAAUGUGCCUAAAUGGGUCUAGGUGAACCUAGGUGUGCCAUGUGUGCCUAGGUGAAUCUAAGUGUGCCAAGUGUGUCUAAGUGAACCUAAGUUGCCUAAAGGGGCUCGAGUGACCUAAAAAAAAGCUAGGGUGAUCCUAAAUGAGCCAAAUGUGCCUAAGUUGGCAUAAGUGACCUAGGUGGGCCUAAUGAGUCUUAAUAGGCCCAGGGGUGUCCAAAUGGGCCUAGGUAGGCAUGGUAUGCCUAAAUGGGUCUAGGUGAACCUAAAUGGGCCUAGGGGUGCCUAAGUAACCUAGAUGGGCCUAAGGUGGUGCCUGAUGGUGGGCCUAGGUGGGCUAAGUGAGUCUAAAUGGGACUAGGUGAAUCUAGGUGAAAUAUGAUGUGCCUAAGUGACCUAGGGUGAGCCUAAGUGACCUAAGGUGAUCAGCAAGGUACCUAAGUGACUUAGGGUGAGUAUGUGUAAUCUGAAAGGUGCCUAGGUGACCACGGGCGAGUGUGUGCAAGCUAGAAGGUGCCUAGGUGUGCUUAAGAAGUGUUUAAGUGAAUCUAGGCAAUUUAGGAUGCAUCUAAGUUACCUAAAAAGUGUACCUAAAUAGGCCUAAAUAUGCUAUCCUAAUGUUGUACCUAAAUAAGCUAUCAUAAAAAGAAAGGAAAAACCUAAUUCUAAAUCAUGGCUGCCAAGGUCAUAAUGGGGGGCCAGAUAAAUCCCUCAACUAGAGUCUUUAAGGUGGCUAAAAAAAAAAAGCUUAUGUGAGUAUCAAUGGACCACUAAGGAACAUGCUAUAGAGUACUAAAAGAACACUUAAGGCAUGUGCUAAGGGACAAAAUGGAGGGUCUACAUCGUGAUUUUAAUUAAUCAAGUAGGAUUUAUUUUAGGUUAGAUUAAGUGACCCAACUUUUGGUGGGCUCAAGUUACUUAAGCUUAAUUAGAGAACCUUAUAAAUACCUCUUUAAGGGUUAGAGUUUUCAAGAUAACCGUCUUCUACCAUCUAAAGAGAGAGCCAUAGUCUCCACUCUCUCAUACCUCUUAUCAGUUGUGUGUACCGGUUGUGUGUAUCGAUUGUGUGCCAAGUGUAAGGUUGAGUUAUCAUAGUGGAAGAUUGUGGGUCUACAAGACAACCUAUGACUUUUUUCAAAUUCUUCAUUGCAUGGAUUUGAUUUGGUAACAUCCAAAUCAAGGUAAUAUUUUCUAAUGAAUAUUUUAAAUAUUUUUGUUUUUUAUAAAUACAUGUUUUUGUUGUGCAUAGGAUUUAAAAGAAAGUCGAGGAAAGUUUGGCAUGCACCUUGUUGGGAACCUCAAAUUACUCCGUUGCGAUACCCUUGAACUUGUAGGGUGCAUGCAUCUAUCUUUAGGGAUCUCUAAAUCUACCAUAAAAAAAUAAAUGGCUUAAAAAAUAAUAGAAUAAUAUAAAUCUAGAGAUUAAAACUCAUAUUUGUGAUCUGGAUAUUCCUAGAUCGAAAUCUAUUCAAUGAAGACUGUACUUGAAUAAUUUAAAAGUCUUAUACACCCAAUGUCUUUUGUCCGAUGACUCGAACCAUGCCCAUGACACUCAAAAGAGUGGCAUUUGGAAGGGUGGAUGCCUAAACUCUCACUUUCUUUCUAGAUCUAGAAGAAAACAAUUACAAGGCCAUUCAGAAACUUUAACCUCAUAAAAAGGUAUUUAUAGAGUUUCCUUAUUAGGCUUAAGUGAUUUAAGCCCACAUGGGCUUGACUUACUUAAUUUAACCUAAAAUAGGUCUUAAUUGAUUAAUUAACCAUAUUGGGCCAUCUAAUUAAUCAAUUAGCUUAAUCUAGAGACCUUAUUCACUGUCUUUUGUAUAAUAUUACAUAAUUACCAAGAUGCCCUUAUGCAUAAGAGUUAAUUAAGAGCCAAUCUAACCCUCAUAAAUUGUGAUAGCAUGGUAUAUGAGUUCAAAGUGGGGACUAUUAGGACCCAUAAGAGUAUUGACUCCCUCAAAAUCUAAUUUUGAAGUUGAUUUAACAUCCUAUUAUAGAGAAUCAAUUGUACUUCAAUACCUUAUGUAAAUAACAACGAGAUAAAGUUCGGGUUUGUGACCUACUAUCCACUAUAUGCAGAUCCCCAUGAACUGAUAUUUAUAAUCUAACAAGGUAGAGCUAUCACCUAUCAAGAUUAUAUCUCAAAUAUUUGAGUUACAAAUACCACUUAUUAUAUGAUCAAUUGACAUAUUCUAACUUUAAGGAGCAUAUGUCAAAUCUACUAAAGGAAUUACUAUGACCACAUAUUUCAUAAUCACAUAUCAUUUAGAUCACCAAAAAGGGGAUCUACUGUCUCAAACCCAUGAGAUAUCAUGGUGCCUUUAUUAAUAAUACCUGUUGCCACCAACCUUUAUCAAUAGUGACCUAAUCUACAAGGAUAUAUGACCUCUUUAGAAUCUCACCUAUAUGUCAAAGCCUUUUGUUGAUUUUAACAUAUGUUUAAUAUCCUCUCAAGGUUGAGAGUUUAUAUAGUAUAGUAGCUUGGUAAAUCGCUAUAAAUGAUAGCCUUACAUCAUGAUUCACCAUAUGUCCUAUCUAAUGUGCAUCACAUCACUAAUACACUCACUAUGGGAAACCCAUCUCAAUGGCCAAGACAAACCAUCCUUUUAAUUAUGAGGUAAUGCACUACAAUCUCUAUUGGAUUUCUUAAAUCUAUGAAUUGAUUGUGGAUAAAUUAUCUACUUAUAAGAAAUCUAUGACUUGUAUCCUUUGUGCAACUCUUAAUGCACCUAUGUUAUGUAUAAUGUAAGAGAUAUGAGCCGAAUGCUCAAAUCAAUGUCAAUGUAUAAAUAUGAUAGCAAUGAGAUAGUCAAGUAUGACUUUGUUACAUCAUGUCUUACUUUUAGUAACUCAAUUCUUACAAACCUAACUUGAUCAUGGAUAGAGACAAAGAGAUCUGGGAUUCCCUUCACCUCAUUCAUCUGUUACUAGGGGAGGGGGGUAACAUACUAUCGACCUAUUAGUUUCAUUUUGUAAUCCAUAAAUCUCACUUGAUUCCUUACUACAUGUUUUGUUGCUCUUAAGUCUACACUCCACUUAAGAAUAGAAUGAGAAACUAAUACAUGUAUUCAAAUAUAUGAAAAGAAACAUUUGGGAUUAAGGUGUACCUUCUUUGGCUCAGUGCACUUACAAGCAUAGUGACUCAACUUUUUAAAGUUGUAGCAUUUCAUUUUGGCCUUAUCCUUAUUCCCAUCACGUUAGCCUCUCUAAUGUUGUUUUUAUUGCCUUUCUUUGGCCCUAAGUUACCUAGAAUACCAUGUUUUCCUUAUCUGUCAUGCUUAGGCUUGUUAACUUGACAUUAUCUUUCUUGGGUAAUAAGUAAGGUGAAUUGCACCCCUAGACAUUUUUUUUUCUAACUCAAUUAAGUGAGAAAUAUCGUUGUCCCAUGUGAGCACAAGUUUCAUUUGGCCACAUGAUUCAUGCAAGAGCAUAUUACAAUUGCGAAAUGUUGCUCAUUAGUGGAUUUAAUUCAUGAAUUAAGGUUUACAUUGUCCUCAAAUGCUUAACCAUUAUGAGUUUUGGAUCCAUUACCUAUUGCUCAAACUUCAAAGUGAUUGCACACAUUAUAGUUGCAGAUAUCAAACCAUAGAAAAUUUGGACUUAUUCCAUAUCGUAUGAAAAGUGAGGUAGUGCUUAAUUCCCUUAUCAAGUCGUUAUAAAUACCACUCAACAUGUUAAAAUGUGCACAAUGGUCUUUCUUAACCUAGAACUGAUAAGCUUUCAUAUCAUGAUGUUGUUUGACUAAAUUCCUUUUCCUUAGGUUGGAUCAUGGGAUCAAGUUAAGACCUUUAAGGCCCUCUUGUUCAUUUAACAAGUAUUGGAUUUUUUGUGCCACAUCAUAAUUAUUGUUGUCUAAUUUGUCUCCUAUAAUGAAAUCAUCAAUGGUGUUCUUAGUGGCCAUUUUACAACAUUUGUUGCACAGAGUAUGACAGUAGCAUAUAUUUCUUAAUUUUAUACACAUUGAUGUUUGAUACCAUUACACAUUCGAGACAUGGUUAGCUAAACGAAGUGAUUGUGGAUCACAUUUCCAUGAGUCUCAUGGUUGAAAAUCCUUUGACUAAGCCCAUAGUUUGAGAUGUUUAUCAGGCUUAUAUUAGUAGUUUAUGACUCCAUAGAUUAUGAUUUGUUUCAUUUCAACACUUAGAUUGUAUUUGAUAAAUUAAUUUAAUGAUUUAAUUUAAUUUGAUUUAAUAACCUAAUUUAAAUUAUUAAAUAGAUUAAGUAUAUUUGGUUAAAUAACUUAAUACCACAACUUAAAAUAAAAAUAAUUUUAAAUAUUAAGUCAAAAUAGUUAAUUUAUUCUUAUUUUCAAAUUUAUUUAUUUAUUUGUCUCAUUUGCCCAUGUUAGUAAGAAUAUAUUUAAGAAUUAUGAUUCCACAUUCAUGACUCGUUUUUUAUAAUAAUUUUUUAUGAAUAUAUAUAUAUAACACUUUAAAUAUGAAUAUUUUAUAAAUAAAUUUAUUAUUUAAAAUUAAUGAGAAUAAAUAUAGCUAAAAUCAAUGAGGAUAAUUAUUAAUCAAAAUUAACGAAGAUAAAUGUAUUAAUUUAAUAAUUUGGAAUAAAUUUUAAGUUAAUUUUAUUAAAAAACCUUAAUAGUAAAAAAUAAGUAUUAAGUUUUAAGUCAAUAAUUAAAAAUAAUUUAAUUUAAAAUCAAUUUAAAUCAUUAAUUAAUAAAUAAUCAAUUUUAAGAGCUACACACUUAUUUCAUUAAAAAUAUAAUUAUAUAUAAAUUUAAAGUUUCAAUUAAUUAACGUGUUCAAAAAAUAUUUUUAAAUUUUUGCUAGAAGUAAAUUAUUAUUUAAAGCUGUGGAAUCUUGGAAUUAGACUCAUUUCGUAAGGCAAGUGAAGUCAAUUAUUAACGCUCACUUAUUAAAACCUUUACCCGAUGAAUCGCCCCCAGUACCUCCUAACUUGUGAUCAGAAAGACACCUGCGCCCACAUAUAAAACCUUAUUAAAAUCUUUGAACGACCUAUGAGCCUACCAAAGUCAAGUUGUUUCGUGGAUCACUUAAAUAUCUUCUCUUGAUCAUCUUUAUUAAUAUUUACUUUUCCUUCUUCAAUUAUUUUUGGGAAUCAAACGAGUGGCCCAACUUGGAUGACGAAACAGGUCAAAUAAAUUAAAAUGAGAUAUUUUUGUUAAAUGACAUGUUACGUAUUGGCUAUUGGGUUGUUGAGGUUUGAAAUUCGGACAUUGAGUGACUUUGAUUUCAUUAACAUUACGAAGGUUGGUAGCAGCUUCCCUCCCGUGGGAUUGCCUCCUUUUCAAAAGUCAAGUGGAAAAUGUAUUAAUUUCCAGUCAAGGGGCUCGAAAAGUCUUUAUCUCUCUAUAUAAGAAAUGUUAUAAUGAGAAACCGUAAGCAGAUUGAUUGCUCUCUCCUUCCUGUGGGUUGCAUUCAUCAUAUAUGGGUAGGUGAAGAACAGAGAGCAAAACAAAUACAUUAACACAUGCAUACAUGUCUGAAAAUCCAAAAAUAAACUCACGCACACAAACUUUGAAGCCACCUGAUCAUUGACUGCCGAUGGAUGAGAGUUGGUGAGACACAGCUAGCUUAUAAAUACCCAACACUCACACCCAGCUUUCUCAAGCCAGCUCCAAGCACUCUUCUCUUUCCUUCCUCAAUCUUCAGCUUCAAUUUGAGUUCGUAGCUAGGAUCAAUGGCUUCAAUUGAGGAAAUUAGAAACGCUCAACGUGCCAAGGGUCCGGCCACCAUCCUAGCCAUUGGCACAGCUACUCCCGACCACUGUGUCUACCAGUCUGAUUAUGCUGAUUACUAUUUCAGAGUCACUAAGAGCGAGCACAUGACUGAGUUGAAGAAGAAGUUCAAUCGCAUAUGUAAGUAUAUAUAUUCAUGCAUUAAUUCUUACAUUCACAACAUUUCUAUACAUAUACGAGUGUGCUAUUAAGUGAGGGUCACCUCCAAGUGAAUGAAUGUUUCAAGCUUAGAGAAUAGCUUUUAGCUAAAUUACUUUAGGAAACUUGAAAAUCAUUUUACUUCAGUAACCGAUAUUCCUUUCAUUUGACUGUAAUGGCUUGAAGAGCUGUUCUUUGAAUCAUGUAGCAUUGCUAGCUAUAAUUAAGAAUAACCUUUUAUACUUUCUUCAAUGUUAAAUGCAUGUUGAUCAUCUUGAACAAUAUACUAUAUGACUAGUCGAUUGGUAAAACUAAUGUGUUCAUGUUACUUCUUUUACAGGUGACAAAUCAAUGAUCAAGAAGCGUUACAUUCAUUUGACCGAAGAAAUGCUUGAGGAGCACCCAAACAUUGGUGCUUAUAUGGCUCCAUCUCUUAACAUACGUCAAGAGAUUAUCACUGCUGAGGUACCUAAACUUGGUAAAGAAGCAGCAUUGAAGGCUCUUAAAGAGUGGGGUCAGCCAAAGUCCAAGAUCACCCAUCUUGUAUUUUGUACAACCUCUGGUGUAGAAAUGCCUGGUGCAGAUUAUAAACUCGCUAAUCUCUUAGGCCUUGAAACAUCGGUCAGAAGAGUGAUGUUGUACCAUCAAGGGUGCUAUGCAGGUGGAACCGUCCUUCGAACCGCUAAGGAUCUUGCAGAGAAUAAU
rnacentral:lncRNA from 1 species